GAGAACUUCAGCCCCAUUUAACUCUUUCUGCUCUGCCUUCUCUUCUUCAACGAUUUCAUAUUCCUUAUUAUCCUGCAGCGAAAACAGAGUCCCCUCUCUUUUCGUGAUUGAAAUUCGGCAUCAGAUAGUCUCUUCGUUGGGCCUGUUCUCCGCACCUCGUCGCCAGCCGUUCCUCUCAACGUGACGGUUCUCAUCGGCCAGUUCCAAUUUCCAGAAUUCCCAACUGUGCUGGUUUUGCUCCCGCUUCCAGAAUUGCUCAGUUUUGUUCGUUCCCGAAUAACCAGGGAGGUUUGCUUCUCGUCUAAUAUCUUCUCUAUUUUCUACUUUCUGCGCGAUUCUCAUCAUUUGUGAUAAUCCUUGAGGCUCACAGAAAUCCAUCUCGGCUUGUAUCCAGGGCUUCAAUCCUGACAUGAACGUCUCUUCCACCACUUUAUCGGCCAGAUCCGACAGAGGUGCUACUAAUUUAUCAAACAAAUUGCGGUAUUCUUCCACUGUAGUCGUCUGUUGAAUGCGCAAGAACCGACCGUAUAAAGAUCCCUCCCUUGUUGAUCGAAAUCAGAUCAACACUCUUUCUUUUAAAUUUGCCCAAUCAGCGAACUUAUCCCACUCUUCUUGAGACCGAUACCAGUUCAGUGCGGGUCCUUCGAAGCUAAUCGUUGCCACGGUCAUCUUUCCGAAAUCAUUUAGAUUAUGAAUUUGAAAAUACCUUUCGGCGCGAAACAACCAUGAAUCCGGAUCAUCUCCAUUGAAGAUUGGCAUCUCCACUUUUUUGAAUUUGUUGCGGUCGUUGUUAGCGUCUUCACUCGUUUUCAUUUCUUCCUUCUUUGGUUCGUUUUCGCGAAUGGAAGUUCCUUCGCCGUCAUCGCUGUUCUUCAUCGGAGUACCCCGAAUUGAUAACUCGGUGAUCCUUUCGUUCAUCAUGGAUCUCUCUAGGGCGGCCGACUCCAUGAAUCGUAACAUCAUUUGGUUCUGUUUUUCCAUGUUUUUCGAUAUUUCGGUCAACGUUUUUUCGAUAAUUGGCAUUUUACUCAUCUCCUUCUUGAUGCUCUGAAUUUCCUGGUCAUACGACUCCAUCUUUUCUUCCAUCCGAGUCUGCACCAUCUUCGUUUACUUCUUCCAAGAUCACGCUCUGAUACCAAUUUGAUGGAACUCGUAGCCAAUCGACUGAGAAUUCAAUCUUAUUGUUUGCAUAAAACAGAAAAUAACACGUCUCUGUUUCCCUCUCUUCCAGGAGAUAACAGAAAGAUUCAAAUACUGCCAAAAAAAUCCAUAUCCCUCCCUCCCUUAACAAACUUAUUUAUAUGGCUAACUAACCUAUCCCUAACCAACUAAUUACUCACACGUGUCUCCCUCCCUUAACAACUUAUUUUACUUAUAUGGCUAACUAACCUAUCACUAACACGUGUCUCCCCCCUUAACAAACUUAUUCCCCUUCAAAGAUUCAAAUACUGCCAAAAAAAUCCAUAUCCCUCCCUCCCUUAACAAACUUAUUUAUAUGGCUAACUAACCUAUCCCUAACCAACUAAUUACUCACACGUGUCUCCCUCCCUUAACAACUUAUUUUAUUUAUAUGGCUAACUAACCUAUCACUAACACGUGUCUCCCCCCUUAACAAACUUAUUCCCCUUCCUCCUGUAGUGAUAUAAUAUUGGAGGUCUAACAGAUUGUUAUAUUAAAAUAAGUAUUCAUCUUGGCAACUUGAGUGUGGUUGUUAUAACAUAUAUGUGUGGGCGUGCUAGUCAUAGUUAUAUGUACGAUCCUUUAAGGUCAUUUUGAUCAUUGGACACAAAGCCAUAAGAUUGGCCAUACUUUUUUUUCAUCAUAAAAGGAUCUGUGCAAUCAAUCAAUCAAAUAAUUAAAUUCAUGUCUUCAAGAAAAUUUGUAAACAAAAAAGGAAGUAGACACAACCAUUUGAAAGAAUUAUGAAAUGCUCUAAACGUAGACGCUAGCUCGUAGAUACUCUAUGGUGUUGAUGUAAUUGUCUUUGAGAAGGAAGCAAUAAGUGUAAGUUCUGAAGUGUCAAAAGUUGUUAUUUCUUCUUGUUAACUCAUAAGUUAAGCCACUGUUCUCCUUUGAUGUAUUUCCUAUCUACAAAAGGUCUCACUUCCUCGUAGUUGAAGGUCUUUGCCCAUUUCACCCAAUCUUUAGUGCUAGCUCCACUGCCCCUGCAAUUAUAUUGCCCAAAAGCUACUGUCCUGUGUACAUAACAUUUGAAAAAAAUUGUAUUAGAUUAGGUUGAUUGUGUGCAUUUACGAAAUACCUUUAAUAUGUAAGGUUUUUUUUUUUUGAAGUACCAUCAAUUCCUGUUUUGAUGGUAUCCAAAAAGUCCAACAUAUCAAAGAUAUUUCGUAAAACACACCUGGUUUGUAUGAAAAUCGGAGUGGGCCACUGAAGAAAGUCUGCCAAAUUCGGGAGUGUACUUUUUGUCUUGGGGGUGGGGUGGGGUUGGCUUUUGAGUUUUACCUUUGUCUUGAUGGGUCAUUCCAGUCACUCCAUCCUAAUGGAUUGAUUACAUCUUCAAUGUAACAGUUAGAAUAUAUUGUUCUUGAGUAGUUCCCCCACGCUCUUCCCAGGUAUACUUUCCCACUUCCAUUAAUCACACAGCGUACGAAGGAGAAACCGGUGUCAUCGUCUGGUGAGGCUCGAUGAUGUGCUGCUAUUGCUCCAUAGCUCUCUGCUGUAGAAGUUAUCACACAUUGCUGAGUUUUGAAGAGAGAAGAUCAAUAUCAGAUGGAGAGGUUGCAAAGAUUGAAAGAUCAAAAGGUUACAUUUGUCAAUUUGACCUUCUUAGAACUUAGAUUCAAUUCGAUCAGUAUAAUUUUAGGAGUCUUAAUUUAGUUCCUUUGAUAUAUUUAAGUUUCACAGAUCGUCUUGGGUACUUCGAACCAUUGUCAUAUCAGCUCUCUGCUAUGAUAUAUUUUAGGAGUUUUGAUUUAGGAUAUAUUAAAAUACAAGAAAUUUUGUCGAUCUUUGGUUGGUUAACGACAAGAAAUCAAUGUCAAUUUAUAACCCUAUUAUAAUUAGGAAAAUUAUUUGUAAAAUAAUAUUAACAAAAUAGUAAAAUUUUACUUUCUAUUAUAAAUAAACCUGUAUUUAAAGUAAAAAUAUCUAAGUCUAUCGCAUCAAAUAAAUUUUACUUUCUAUUAUAAAUAAACUUUUCUUCUAUUUGUAAAUAUUAUAAAUAUUUUCAAUAGUUGAAAAAGUUGUAGUUUUGGUGUAUUAUUUUAAUUUAAAUCUUGAAUGUUCAUAUCAAUUUAGACUCUCAAUUUAAUUUAAAUCUUGAAUGUUCAUCUCAAUUUAGACUCUCAAUUAAGAUUUCAUUUGAAAAGUAUUCAUACAUCAAAUAAAAAAGUCUACACUUUAAGUAUUAAAUACCUGGACAAUUUUAAAGCGUAAUUUAGUAAAGGAUUUAAAUUGAUUGAUUUACAAAAAUUUAAAAGUUUAAAGGAAACAAUUAAGAUGAGUAACAGAAUAGUAAAAGGAGAGUACCUCAUAGAGUGAUCUAGCAGUACCAAAAAUGAAAUCAACACUUCCUUGAAUGUGACAUUGAUAGUAAUAAUGUGUGCCCAAAUCAUCUAGAAGUGUAUCUUGUCCUCCCAAGAAUUUCACUCUAUAGAACAUUGCUUUAUCUCCUGUUAUUCUUAAUGCUACGCCUUGUCUUCCCUUAUCUCCUGGCUUUGCCACAACUGUAUUCUACAAAUAUCAACAUUAUUCUUAUUAUUAAGACUUAUUCUAAAUAAACUAUUCUCUCCCUAUAGUUAUAUAGUUUCUUUUUGGUUCUAACCUCAAAUGUGAUUCCUGUGGCACAAAAGUAGUCUGAGUCUAUUGCAACUGUUGCUGUUCUAUACGUCCCGAGCUCGACUCCGUCGAUACUUUUGUCUGAUGCUUUGUCAUUCCAUGUAAUAACAGUAUCUGUAACUCUAUUCUUGUUUCCAAUCAAGGAAAUAUAUGGCUUGGUGAUGGGUAUGUAUACCUUCUCUCUGCACAAAAUUUUGUUAAUUCUCUAACAAAAUAAAAACAGCUCAAAAUGUCUUAUGGUCAAGAGAAAGUUGGUCUAAUAAUAGUUAAUUCCUACAAUAUGAGUUAAAUUCUAAUUCUAAACCAUGAACCUACUCUACCAUUUAACCUUCCCAACAUUAUUCACACAAAUCUCCCUGCUUACACACACUUUUGUUUGAAUUAUUUUUAUAUUUUGGAAUAGUUAUUCAAAACAUCAUAAUCUCAUACAUUUUGAUACAAUCUACCUACAAAGAUUAGCAUUUUAAAGGUGACAUUUUUAUUUUAUUUUUAUUAAACUUAAUAUAAAUGAUUAUCCCGAAUCCAAAACAUCAAAUUCAAAGUGUGUUCUAAAUUUGAUCCAAAAUUUAGGUUGAUUUAUUUAGAAUUUAUAACUUAUCAACUUAUCAAAAUUAAAAGAUUUUUUUGUUACUAUCACACCUUAGAUAUAACCUGAAUUAAUCUUUCCAAAAAGAAACCUAAUUAACCUCACCUCUUUUCAAAUGACAACAAACAAACAAACAAUAUUUACAAAUAAUUGUUUCAUUUCUGUUUAUUGUUUAUCUAAAAAAAAAUAAAAUAAAAAUGAACCGUUAAAUUUUAGCAAAUAUAAGUCUUUCGACGAUUUCUAUUUUCUAGGAUGAACCAAUUUAUUUAUUUAUCUGAAAUAACAAAGCAUUUUACAAGUGAUUUCUAACGUAUUCAAUUACUUUAAUAUUAUGUGUUUGUUUCUCAUUUAACUUUUAUCAAUGUCUAAAGUAUACCAUAACUAAUGUCUAUAUAAUAUACUUCAAUCUUUAAAGGUCACCUACAAUGCUGUUAUUAAAAGAAAACCACCUAUAAUCAUCAUAUAUAUAUAUAUAUAAUCCUUAAUAAUUUAAAACUGUUAGGGUUAUUUAUUUAUUUAUUAACUUUUAUUGUAAAUAUUUCCAAAAGAUUUUUGGACGAAAAUUGAGACUUGUAACGUUGAGAUAACAACCCUAAAAUAAUGCUAAAAUCUAAAUUCUCGUUUUAGAUAUCACUGCACUAAAUAUUUUUCAAUUUUUCACUUUUGUUAAAAAAAGUUUAAAAGAUUUUUACUCAAAAGAUAACUUAAAAAUAUCUAUAGAAAGUUAAGUAUAAUAAUCUAACUUUAUGUCGUAUUUUCCAAACAAAACAAAAAAUUCAUCAUGGGUAGUUCUUUCUUUCUUUCUUUUUUAAUAGAAAAACAACAAAUUAAUAUCUAAUAUCUAAAGAUGAUAUCUGAUAAUGUACACAAUAAUUUUAAUUUUGAUGUUUGCAUAUGUGAUUUGUAAUAUGCACUGUAAAAGAAAUUAAAAAAGAGAAAGAAAAAAAAAAGGCAAAAUAUAAUUGAUGAUAUGUAUAAUUAUAUACAACACGAACCUGUAAAUGCCAGGAAGAAUAUAAAUCUUAACUCUCUGUUUGUUAUUAUGAGGAACCAUAUCCACCGCCCCUUGCACCGUGGUGGAGUCGCCGGAGCAAUUUUUAUCGACCACAAUGAUUCUGGUCCCAUUCCCCAACCCCUCGCUGGAGCUCAUCCUCUGCCGCCGCCAAACAUCCACACGCAGAUCAUCCCAACUGAUCACACCACCACGACCCCUACCGCUGCUCCCUCCAGCGACACACAGCAGAAGAAAACCAAGAACGAUGAUGCAAGGGAAAAACCCUCCAUUAUUCAUGUUAUUACAUAGGAAACACAAGAAGUUCCUCAUCAUGAAAACAAUUCGAUCAGUGCUCAAAUUAAAAGGUUGGAUUGUUAAUAGUGAUUUUAAAGUGAAAGUGGAAGGAGUUAAAAGGGUGUGGAAGAGAGGAGUUUAUCUAUGAGUGAGAGUUAAAUGUUCAUGAAUUUUAAAGGGUUUUUUUUUUGUUUUUGUUUUGGGAAAUAGAGGAAGGAAAAAUAUGAAAGGAUCUUUGAAUGGGAAUGUAAUCUAUGAGAAAAGGGGGAGUGUUACGUUUAAAUAAAGAAUGAAGAGAAGGGUUUAGAGAGUAAAAAUUGUUUUGAUGAAAAUUGUCUUUGCAUGGGAAAGAAAAAGAAAUAAAAGGGCUUGGAAGGGUUUGAAUUUGAAUAAUGAAUGAAUUUGGGAGUUUUAAAUAAACUUCCCCACGAACCCACUACUUUGUGUGUGUGAAUCCUACUUAAUUAUCAGAAACAACGUAACUGAUCUCUUUUUCAUAUAUGUGUGUAUAUUCAUAAGAAAUAUUUAAACAGCAGGAUCUUAACUUAACAAAUUAAAAGGAAAAGAUACUCAACCAUUAUAUAAUUAUUUUUAUUAUUCUCAUUUUGAGUUUUUAUCCAACCAUUUCCAUUUUAAAUAAUGGGAAGAGAUACAAGAAAUAGAGAGAUUAUCGGGAGAGAUUAAAGAAAAGUAUAUACAUAUGUUUUCAUUUAAGAUUUUGAGUUCGUCUAUCCAUAAUAAUAAUUAUGAAAAUAGACUGUUUAUUUUUAUUCAAGGAUCUUUGAGUUUUGUGUUCUAGUUAGUGUUAAGUUCAAUAAUGAUGGAACUAAUUUCUUUAAUGCAUUUGAACAAUAAUUCUUUUACGUUAGACAGAGAGAUCAAAGAGACAGGUUUUUUUUUCUCUUUAAAAUUAAUUAAGAUUAUUUUGAGUUUUGAGUGAGUUUUCGGAGUGAAGGGUUUUUUUCUUCUUCGUCUCUUUAAUUAAUAUAUAUAUAUAUAUAUAUAUUUCUGUAGUACACAGCUAUUAACAUUCAAAUUCUUUUACGUUUGGGGUUGAUGAUUAUGUGUAUAUGAAGAGAAAAAUUGCGAAAAUUUGAGAAAAUUUCUGCUUAGAAACACAUUGUAUUGUUCUUUCUUUUUUCAAAUUGUGUACAAACCAAAGUAUAUAGUUGUUGAAAUAAUUAUCACUUAAAAGUUGUAUUUGCAAGAUUCAAAUACUUGAACGCUUCAUUAAAUAACUAUUUAUUGUAAAUAUUAUUAAAUAGACGUUGAUGCUUGAUUAGUAUCAAAAUGUGAUGUGUCACUAAUUCCUUAAUUCAUAUUCCACCUACCUCUAGUGUUCUUAAUCCACUCUAUAUGCUUAAGCAAUUACUUAUUUCUUGUGCUGACAUGUAUCACACUCUGAAACUACGGGGACAAGCUAGCCCUUAAUGUUGGGAGAAAGAUUCCUGCCCUGGCUCCUUUCCCGUGCUUACUUCUCUAAUUAUAUAUACUGAAGCCCAAAUUUGGUUGAAGAUCACAAGAUGUUUUAAAUAAGAAAACUCUAUUUAUUUUAUUUUCUUUAUUUUAAUUAUUAACUGCCAUGCUAUUAUUAAACUUUUCUUUUGAUAAAUAUUUUCAAAUAUGAAUGAAUUAUUUUUAUUUGUAUAAAUAUAUAACUUGGGAUCAUAAUUCCUCUAGUGAAUAACUAAAUAAAAAUAAAAUAAACAGAUGGGAGAUAGCAAGAAAGAAACUAAGUAGAACCUCACGACUAUCAACCUAUUAUUUUGACACUUGUUUAUCCAUUGAAUUUGAGCUUCAACGGCUACUUCAAACACUUCCCCGACGGCUUUCCUUUCCUUGACUCUUCCUUUAUCCCUUGUUGGCAUCAAAAUAGAUCAAUGAAUGAGUCCACUAAAUCUUAUGCCAUUUUUCACAUAAGUUACUGAAACUACCACUGAAUCAAGAGCAAGGGAUGCAAACAUUUGGUGGGUUUUGUAAAACACAUAAAUUGGUUGAAAUUUCAAAGAAAUUGGACAUAACGGAUAAGUUUUGAAGAAUUUCUUAUUUUCUUAGUUUUUUUAUUUAAUUUAUUUAUAUAUUAUAUUUUCUCUACAUCUGUGUUUUCGUUGUGCAUCAUGAUGAUCAAUAAUAUCAUCUAGCUAUACGCGAAGUUAUUAACUAUAGUAAUAGCUAUUAAGACAUACAUAUAUAACAAAUAACACAAAAGAAUUUGUUAACCCAUUUCGGUAAUAUACCACCUACGUAUAAGAAAUAUUAUUAAUAUUCCAUAAAGAAACCAACUUGUUUAUACUUAGAAGAAAACCCUUCUAAACAUAAAGCUAGUGAAUUAAGUUGUAACUGAAACUUAAUUAAAUCAGGCUCCCCUACAUAUAUGAUCAAACACUUUAUUGAAGAUAAGUUUGACUCCCCCUGAGUUGACAGUGUACAGAUUCUCAAUACCUAUUCUUCAUUCUACUUCUUAUCACAUGUGACUUGCAUAAUCUUCGGCAAUUCACAGUAUAAAGGUAAAGUGACUACCUUUGCAGAAUAAUAAGUCUUCGAGAAAGAAUCCUUCGAGUUGAUUUUUCUUAACAAAAUGUACAUCAAUAAAGUGACUACCUUUUCAGAAUAAUAAGUCUACAAGAGAGAAUCCUCCGAGUUGAUUUUUCUUAACUAAAAUGCACGAUAAAGUCCAAGACAUGACUAUUUAAGGAUCUCCAAAUAAAGUAUUGAUCACAAAUAUAUUAAUAAUAUUGAUAAAAGAUUCCUAUUUAUUAGGAAGAUCUUUUACCUUUAUCAAUAAUAAUAAUCUUUUUAGUGAUUCUGUAAAUAUCAGAAGAGAACAACUAUUUUUGACUUAUUUCUUUUGGCAAAAAUACCUAACACCUCAUUUUUACACCACAUUAUAAACACAAACUCUUAUCAUUUUCUUUGCUAAAGGGUAGAUCUUAAAGGUAUGUCAAUUUUUAAUUUCCAUACUUGUCAUAGUUAAGAAAUUUUAUUUUGGAUGUUUAGUAUAUAUUAAGUUUCUAAUAUAAUUAUAAUAUUUUAUAAUAGUGUUAUCUUGAAAAAUAUUGCAAAAUUAUAAUUUAGGAUAAUAAUUUUAUAAAAAAAAGCAAAAUAUUGAAAAUAUUUACAAAAUAUAGCAAAAUUAAUCAAACUCUUAUGUAGCAAAUUAAACACUUUGUUAGAUUUUGUAAAUAAUUUUAUUUUUUUGUACUAUCCAUAACAAAUUUUCUUAUAGUUUCUAGAAUUUGAUACUAAUGGUAAUAAUUAUUUGUAAUGAAUACUUGAAGUCGAAAUACACCCAAGAUGCCAUAAAAAUAUGAUCAUAAAAAAACAAUUAUUCUUCUUAAAGCUCUAUAUAAGUCGAUGCACUUAAGGUUUCAAAAUUUUAAAUCAAUAUGUUAAAAGAUGAAUUUUUCUACGUUUCGGAUAUGCUUCUUGCAAUAACAAUAUCCAGAGAAAUAUUUUGAAAAAUAUAAUGCAUUUGUCUAAUAUCUUCUUACUACUACAUGAUAUAAUGAGUAAUAAUUGAUUGAAAAAUCAUGAAUGCUAAUCAAUUAAAUUAAAACUAACAUUUUGUGAAGUGAACAUUGUAAAUUUUAAUAAUGGGGAAUGAAAAAUCAUGAAUCUUAACAAACUAGAACAAUCUCAUGCUGCGAAGUGAAUAUUGCAGAUUUGACAAUUGUAAUUGAGGUUGUGAUUGAGUAGAGAAAAAAAUAAUUAUUUUUGUAGGUUGUUAUAAUCAUCCAAAUUUAAAAAAACCACGAAAUAAUGAUCAUAAAAUAUCAAAAGCUCCACAAGAAAAAGAGAAAAAUGUGGAAACAAAUUUUGCAUAUCAUAUUAAUAAUAUAUUUGACCCAUCAAAUAUGACAAAUUUGAAUGUGGUAGAAUUUUGAAUCUCCCGAAGAAAAACUGAAAUAUUAAAUGAUAAAAUAGCAAGUGUUUUCUUUGUGAUUAUAUCCUAAUUAAUGUUUUUGUAUCUCUCAAUUUUAUUUUUAUAUUCUAAGUUUUGUUUAAGGAAGAAGCAAGUAUAGUUGUCUUAUGCAGCAUAACUCAUGAACAAGCAUUUGAAGAUAUAUGUUUGGCAAACAGUGUAACUACGCACACAAUGCUAACAAGUAAAAGAUAUUUUUCCAAAUUAAUAAUGUUGAAAGCGAAAGUCAAUAGAAUAUUGUCAACGCCCUGCUACAAAAGUCAUUUUAUGUGAUCCAGUAGAGACGUGUCACCUAGAUACUCAACGCCUAGUAAGCAAAGAUACUUCAACUAUCAAUAUCAACUCAGCUUUAACACUUAGCUCGAUUUAACUUUGAUAAACACAACACACCACGAAAUAACAAUCAACUUCUCUUUAUUUAUAUUUUUGACAAUUUCACUUUUUACAUUCAUUAUUAUUUUAAAUAUACCUAAUAUUGUAGGCCAUAUAUGAAAUAUACCACUUAUAAUUUAAUAUACAAGAGAUAUUAGAUGUAUAUAAUGUUAAUCAUAUAUUCCCUUUUAGAUUCACUUGAUUUCGUAUGACAUAUAUCAAAAUAGAUUAGAAAAUAAUCAAAAUUUGUAUAUAUCACAUAAAAAAUACUCUAAAUUAUAUAAAAUAAAUGAAUACAUAUACCAUCGUAUAUCUCAAAUUUACAUAAACAAACAUACAUGAGAGUAAAAAAGAGAGUUAUAGGUUUGCGUGAACCCUCUCCUCUUCGUCUCCUUUUCUUUUUCGUGAAACCUACCACCGUUGCCUUCACAAUCUUUCAUCGUUUAAUUGGUCGUCUGUUGCUCUAGCCGCUGUCGUUAAGCUUUCGUUCCUCAUCAUCUAUCAUCCAGCCGACUCGCGUAUUGCCAAGUCACUCAUCCAUCCAGUCAAACUCUAGUGUAAAUCAGAUAAGUCUACUGCUUUCUAGUUUUAUGUUAUAUUUAAAUCUACUGCUUUCUAAUUUUUAUGUUAUAUUUAAAUUCUUUUGUUAGUUAAGAUUUAUUUUAAAAUUUAUUAUUAGCUGUUAGUUUACUAUCUAUUUUCCCUCAUCCUCUCUCAACAUUGAGAGCACAAUAUUGAUACAAAAUAAAAAGACUCUUUGGUUUCACACCAAUUGGUAUCGGAGCGCCAAAAGUUUCUGGGUCAAAUGGUUGUUUGACGUGCUAAUCCGGCGGCAGCAGAGCAACUUGCUCAAAAUCAAGAGGCGGGGGAAAACCUCGUCCUCUCUCCAAGAACUACCUCAUGACGCUGUCCUCUCUCCAAGAACUACCUCAUGACGCUUGCUGUCCGUGGAAGCUUUUGUGGACAGAAUCUAAAAUACACUUCAAGAAGUCUUGCAAAGACUAGAGGCAUUUACACCUCCUCGAGAUGUUCAUCAAGAAGAUCAAGAACUUGUUCGUGACUGGGGGCAGCGUGGCAUCCGUGGUGCUUAAAUUCAUAAGGCUGAAAGAAAUCGUCAAGAAAGGAGAUAAUGAUGCCCAAGAACGAAGAAGACCAUUUCAAGACUAUCAAAAUCAUUUUCCAAGAAACCAAGAAAUGUAUCAAGAACCUCAAGAUUGGAGUUCCUCUGAUAAAGGCCUAUUUUUAAUCAAAAUAGAAGAUUUCGACCUUAGUUUGAUGAAAGAAGGAGAGAACCAACAUAAUACAAGAUGAAAAUUGAUCUUCCAAGCUACGAUGGUAAACCUAAUAUUGAGAUUUUUCUUGAUUGGUUGAAGAAUACUGAAAUUUUUUUCAAUUAUAUGAAUACUCAAAACUGAAGGCUAGAGCAUCGGCUUGGUGGGAACAACUUGAGAUUAAUAGGUGAAAAAAUAGAAAGAGACCUAUUGACUCAUGGGAGAAAAUGAAAAAAUUAAUGAAGUCGCGUUUCCUUCCUCCCAAUUAUAAGCAAACUCUUUAUAAUCAGUACCAUAAUUGUCGGCAAGGAGCAAGAACAUUUGCUGAUUAUAUAGAGAAAUUUCACCGGUUGGGCGCAAGAACCAAUCUAAUGGAGAAUGAGCAGCACCUUAUUGUAUGGUUUGUAGGAGGAUUAAGGUUUGACAUCAAAGAAAAGGUAAAAUUACAACCUUUCUUAAAUGCUUACCCAAAAAAAAACGACGGUGGCUAUUCUUGAAGAAGAUGGAGAUUAUGUUGAAGAACAAGAAGAGGAUCACUCUCAAGAAGAAGAAGUAUUAGAACCCGACGAUGGAGAGAGGCUAUCGUGUGUGCUGCAAAGAGUCUUAAUUACUCCAAAAAGUGACACCUCUCACCAACAAAGGCAUAGUCUUUUUAAGAUCCGAUGUACCAUCAAAGGCAAAGUGUGCAAUGUGAUCAUUGGCAGCGGCAAUAGUGAAAAUUUUGUCUCCAAGAAGCUUGUGGCUGCACUUAAGAUGAAAACGGAGCCUCAUUCAAAUCCUUACAAGAUUGGGUGAAUCAAGAAAGACGGUGAUGCCCAAAUAAAUGAGGUUUGUUCAAUCCGAUUAUCAAUUGGAGGGACCUAUAGGGAUCAGAUUGUGUGUGAUGUCUUGGAUAUAGAUGUUUGCCAUAUUUUACUUGGAAGACCAUGGCAAUACGAUAUUCAAGCUGUUCAUAAGGGGAGAGAGAACACCUAUGAGUUCCAAUGGAUGAACAAGAAGAUUGUGUUGUUGCUCCUAAGCAAAAAGAAUGAGGAAGGAGUCAAUCAAAAGAAGGCUGAAAAGAAAUUUCUAGAAACCAGAGAAGCUGAUAUUUUGGGACUUGUUAUUUCUGGCCCUCAUACUACAAAAAUUUCCAGCUUGGUUCCACCAAAAGUGCAAGACCUAUUGAGCCAAUUUCAUCCUAUAAUGGAGGAGCCCUCUGAAUUGCCUCCUCUUCGAGACAUCUAGCACAUUAUAGAUUUGAUACCCAACUCAUCUCUUCCCAACCUUCCUCAUUACAGAAUGAGUCCUAAGGAGUAUGAGUUCUUACACCAACACAUUGAAGAUUUUUUGACAAAAGGGCAUAUUCAGCCGAACAUCAGUCCUUGUGAACAUCGGUCCUUGUGCCGUACCAGCUCUAUUAACUCCAAAGAAGGAUGGCAGAGAAUGUGUGUAGACAGUCGAGCAAUCAACAAAAUCACGGUCAAGUAUCGUUUCCCUAUUCCAAGAAUUAAUGAUUUCCUUGAUCAACUUGGAUGAGCUCUUGUUUUUUCAAAGGUAGACCUAAGAAGCGGGUAUCACAAAAUUCGAAUAAGGCCGUGAGAUGAGUGGAAGACGGCCUUCAAGACUAAUAAGGGGUUAUUUGAAUGGCUAGUGAUGCCUUUUGGGCUUAUCAAAUGCCCCAAGUACCUUUAUGCAAUUUAUGCACCAAGUGCUACAUUUAUUCUUAAACAAAUUUGUAGUAGUCUACUUUGACAAUCUUAAUCUAUAGCAAGAAUGAAACAAGAUCAUAUGCAGCACCUAAAGCUAGUUUUUGAAGCCCUUCAAAAAAGUAAGUUUUUCAUUCAUUUGAAGAAAUGUAUUUUCUGCACGGAAGAAAUAUCUUUCCUAGGCUUUAUUAUAUCUGAAAAUCAAGUGAAGAUGGAUGAAAGCAAGGUGGAAGCUGUAACUAAAUGGUCAUGGAUGAAAGCAAGGUGGAAGCUGUAACUAAAUGGUCGAUUCCUAAAUCAAUAAAGGAGAUUCAAGCUUUUAUGGGGUUAGCAUCUUUUUACAGAAAGUUUAUUAAGAACUUUAGUUUUAUAACAGCUCCUAUGACUGAUUGUUUGAAGAAGGGAGCCUUUUAUUGGGGAGAAAAACAGCAGCACAAUUUUGAUUCCCUCAAAAGAAAGCUUGUCAGCCAACCAGUCCUCAAAUUACCAAAGUUUGACAGCCCUUUUGAAGUAGCAGUAGACGCCAGUGGAGUUGGAAUUGGUGCCGUCCUUUCCCAAGGAGGUCAUCCGGUCGAAUUCUUUAGUGAAAAGUUGAGUCAUUCUCGACAAAACUAGAGCACAUAAGAGCAGGAACUUUAUGCACUUGUUAGGGCCUUAAAACAGUGGGAGCACUACUUAUUAUCUAAGGAGUUUGUGUUGCUCACUGAUCAUUUCUCCUUGAAGUAUCUCCAAGCACAAAAAAAUAUUAACAAGAUGCAUGCUAGAUGGGUAUCUUAUAUCCAAAAAUUUGAUUUCUUAAUCAAGCAUCAAGCGUGCAAAUAAAACAGAGUUGCAGAUGCCUUAAGUAGAAAAAGUGACUCUCCUCAUUGUGCUCUCAGUUGAAAUUACAGUCUUUAACCAUCUUCCACGCUAUAUGGGAUUGAUGAAGACUUCAGUGAGAUUUGGAGUCAUUGUACUGUUCAUAUCCAUGAUCAAGAUUAUCAUUUGGUGGAAGGUUUUCUCGUUAAAGGAGACCAACUAUGCAUUCCACAUACUUCCUUAAGGGAAGCACUAAUAAAAGAAGCUCAUUCGAGAGGCCUAGCUAGACACUUUGGCCAAGAAAAGACUUUUCAAAUUAUCAUGAAGAAGUUUUAUUGGUCUCAAGCUAGAAGAGACAUUAAUAACUUUGUGAAAAGAUGUCAUAUUUGCCAAAGAGCAAAAGGAUCUUCAUCUAAUGUCGGCCUCUACACUCCUCUACCGAUUCCUAAGAACAUGUGGGAGGAUUUGUCAAUUGAUUUCGUAGUGGGUCUACCUAAGACUCAAAUGAGAGUUGACUUGGUUAUGGUUGUGGUGGACAGAUUUAGCAAGAUGUCUCACUUCUUGCCUUAUAAAAAAACUAUAGACGCAGUGCACAUUGCCACUCUCUUCUUUAGAGAGAUUGUUAGACUACAUGGCAUCCCAAAAACAAUAGUUUCGGACCGAGAUACUAAAUUUCUUAGCCAUGUUUGGAAGACAUUGUGGAGAAGUUUGACACCACCUUGAAGUUUAGUACCACUGCUCACCCACAAACGGAUAGACAAACUGAGGUAACUAAUCGGUCCUUGGGAAAUCUAAUUCGCUGCCUUAGUGGAAACCACCCUAGACAAUGGGACAUGGUUCUCCCACAGACAUAAUUUGCUUUUAACAAUAAGAUGAAUAGAACCACGGGCAAAUGCCCUCUUGAGAUCGUGUACACCAAGGCACCAAGGUUGACAUUCGACCUAACUAGCCUUCCUAAAGAAGUGAAAAUCCAAGAGGAAGCUGAACAGUUAGCUGAAAGGAUACAAAAGCUUCACACAGAAGUCAUUGACUAUAUCACUAAAACUACUUAGUCUUACAAAGAAGAGAAGAAUAAGAAGCGAAGGGAUGUACAUUUCCAAGUUGGAGAUCUUGUAAUGGCACAUUUGAAGAAGAAGAGGUUCCCCUUUGGAACCUAUGGCAAGAUGAAGGACAAGCAGAUUGGCCCAUGUAGAAUACUUGCUAAAUAUGAGCCUAAUGCUUACAAAAUUGAACUACCACGCGGAUUUAACAUUAGCCCAAUCUUCAAUGUAGCAGACCUUAGAAGCUACAAGGCACCGAAUGAAUUUCAACUUCCAUAGCAAACUCGGGGCAAGUUUGAUGUUCGGGGAGUGGAAUGGUGUAAAUCAAAUAAGCCUAAAUCUACUUAAUCUAGUGCUUUCUAGUUUUGUGUUAUAUUUAAAUCUACUGCUUUCUAAUUUUUCUGUUAUAUUUAAAUUCUUUUGUUAGUUAAGAUUUAUUAUUAAUAGGCGGUUAGUUACUAUCUAUUUUUCCUAUAAAUAAAGUAUAUCCUCUCAUUGAGAGCAGAAUAUUGAUACAAAAUAAUAAGACUCUUUGGUUUCACACAAAACUUCGUUCCUAACCUGUAUUUCGAUCAUCCAUCUGUCGUUCAAAGUCCAGUGUGGUCGACGAUUUGGUUGUGCCGUGAAGGUGGAAAGAAGAGGGUUAGAGAGAGAAUAUUACGUGGGAUUGCAAAGGACACGGAAAGAAGAGGGUUAAAGAGAGAAUAUUACGUGGGAUUGCAAAGGAUUGGAAUAAUGGGUGAAUUAAUUGGGGUAAAACAAAAAUGACAGAUAAAUUAAGAAAAGAAGAUAGUCAAAAAUAGCAAAUUUGACAAAAUAUUUACGAUAUAUAACAAAUUUUUCAGAUUAGUCGAUGAUACGCCCCUAUUAUUGACCAUGGAUAGAUACCGAAGUCUAUCGGUUACUAUUAAAUUUAUAAAAUAGGGUAAUAAUUAAGGUUGGGGACAAAAAGGUAAUUUACCUAUAAUAUUUGUAUAAUUAAGAAGUAAACUUAGACUAUUUUUGUAAAUAAUAGAAAAAAUUGAAUAUAAAAUAUAUAUCAAGCCUAUAUGUGUUUUCCCUUUUCGUUUUUUUUUUUUUUUUUCUAGUAUUUUAGGGCCUACAGGUAUUUUAGUUUUUCUUGCUAAUUAGCAUUUUCUAUUUAUAAAACUUGGUUUGUUAUAUUUACUAUUUUGAAACUUCUUCAAAUGAAACUUUAAAAUUUGCAGGGCCCUAACUUUCAUGUUUUUUUUUUAAUCUAUAACAUGAUCUUUUGAUUAGACAUUUCAAAAGCUCAUGAGAUUAUAAACAGGAACCAAAAACUUUCAAGAUUGAACUUUUAAUUUAACUAAGACAAACAUACAUAGUAUCAUUUGAUUUAAUUUACAUUAAAUGUCCUUGAAAUCCUAGACAAAGUAGUCCAUGAAGAAUAGUUUUGCUACAUCGCUAAGAGUAAGGUUGAGGAAGAUCUUACUUACUCUCAACUUAACACAGCCGACUGAUAUGGUACCUGACCUCAAUUCUGUACAUACUAAGGAAUAGCACCAACAUCAAGUGAAAUUGUUCUAAGAAGUUAGCUUUAUCCACCAUCACCACCACCCCCACUAACCAUCAAACACCAACCAAACUAUUUACAACAACCUAGAAUAAACACAGCAGUUGCAAAUGCUCGAUAGAAAAACCAACACACUGCAACUAUUCAUACUAUAUAAACUCAACUGUACUAUUCAUCUACACCUUCCAUAUCCAUAUCCAUAUCCUCUGCUUCUUCCUCUCUACAGUUCUGUUCAGAAGCCUCCAUGGAAUCCAUUUCUGAUUUCACACCAUUGCUAUUAUCACCAUUAUCAUCCUCACUACCACUACUAGUAUUAUCAUCACUUUCUCCAUUAUUGUUCUUCAUAUUAUGAGUCGUGUUUUUGGUGUCAGCCAUAUCAUCCUCACUCUGCUCAUCUUCUUCUGAUGAUACUUGUUUCUGCUGCUCGUCGUUUGCUUCACGGAGCUUUUCAAGACUAGCUAUUGCUGUUUCCUCGAGUGUCUCCUCCUUUAUCUGACUAAAAUCAGUCCCAGCAUUAGCGUCGAUGCAUGGCAUGGCUAAACUGUUGGAUUUGACAUGAGCAACAGACUUGGACUGUUUAUCGUCUGUUCUGUUAGUGUCAGGUAUUGUUGAAAGUAUAGAUGGUUUGGCCUCGACAUUAAUCCAGCGGCCCUCAAACCAAUCUCUCGAUAUUCGAAGAUUGGUCCUGUGUAUGUUCAAGAAUAAGCUUUCACCUAUUAACAGCAAAGGCAUUCCAUCGUGAAGAAACAUGACAAAAUAAAUGUAGAUUUAGUGUAAAAUUGAUAAAGCGUUGGAACCACUUAAGUGUUUUUCUAAUCAGAAUACCUGGAAAGUAAACAUCCACAUCAUCCUUGCCUGAAUCAUCUACGCCAGCAACGACCCCUUCCCACCAACCAUCACUCCACCACGCAUCGACCGCAACUCCAAGAUCAAGAGUGAGCUCGAUUUGCUCUUGUGGGGCUGGCCUUGUAAUUAGGCGAUGAGGGUGCCUCAUGCCGAGUUUAUCAGGUAAAGCAACUUUAUAAGCAGGGACCCAUUCCUACAAGAGGAAGAACUUGUCAGUUCACUAACUUCACUUUGAAAUUUCUUGUUAAAAACGAAAUACAGCAGUAAGGCUAAACCUAAAAUGCACUUGAAAAUUGAAUAAACAGAGACCGACUUUAUUAAAUAUGGAAAGCAGUAUGCACGCUGUACGACCUGGAUGGUUGUAAAAAUUAUCAAAUGGUAAAUAGGAACAAUAGUAGACUUGUUGCAUGUUUGGAGUGAUUGUAAGAUGGUAAUAAUCACUUUUGUCAUUUUCCAAUCUCUCCAAAACGUACUUUCAAUGAUUCAAAAUCAUUUCUAAUGGCAUAAAAAUUUACUUUAAAAGUGCAAAUUUUAAAAUUACAUUGAUUUAGAGCAAUCAAAGAUAUGUUUCAGAAUAAUUUUGAACAUCAAAAGAGGUGAUUUUGACCAUUUCAAGAAUUGAGAACACUCCCAAAAAUCCCCUUUAUGCAAAAGCUCUAGUUAUAGAAUAAAACUUAGAUCAUAAAUCUUGUGAAAAGUCCCCACGACAACAUGGGAUUGAAUAGAUCCUCCUAUACCUACUUUUUGGGGUUUCUUAAAUUAACAAUUAACCCAAAAGCUUGUAGGCUCAAAAUAUGAAGAUGACCCAACAAGUGGAAAUGAAUUUUAAAUAGAGAAAAAACAACAAUGUAGGGGGACUCAAACACAAAAUCUCCCUAGACCACCUACUUUGAUGUCACUAUAACACUUGUGAACUUGAAAUAAUUGAAAGAUCCAACUAGUGGAAAUCAAUUUUAAUUGGAAAGGAAAUAACAAUGUAGGGACUUGAAUAUAGAACCUCCCUAAACCACCUACUCUAAUACUCUUAAAUCACCCAUUGACCAAAAGCAUGCAGAUGGGUGAAGGCAAAGUAAAUUAUAUAUCAUUUAAAAGACAUGUUUGGGACAAGAACUAUCUAAGACCAUAAUAAUCAUCUCUUUGUUAUAGUAAAUUUUUGCAGACACCGAUUAACUACAAUCAACACUAUUUCAAAACCUCCCAUUUGCUACAAUAAUUACUAUUUGCUAUAAAUUUUUACUAUUUUACAUUCAUCAUUUCUUUAUUCUAUACUACAAUGUUUACCAUUUUCUUCUCGAACUUACAUAAUUUCCACCAAACACAAAUAUUAUGACCAAAACUAAAAAAAUCUACACUCCAAACACAAAUUAUUAACUAAUUCCUUGCCCCAAACACCCCUAAAAGAGUCAAAGUUCAACAAAAUAGAAUAGAAGCUAAGAGUGUUCCAUUGUAACUCUUUUAACACUACCUCGAGGUUGCCAUAGCCAUCCUCAUCUUGCAAAUCAUCAUAUUGUACUCGAAUCUGCUUUGGUGAUGCGUGCAAGACUGUACACCUGAACCAGCAGCCUCGAAUGCCGCUAUCUUGACACAGUAAUUCUAUCUUCUCAUUGACCUCAUACAUUGGGUCAUUAUCAUUCAAAACAUGUUUAUGCGAAAGGAACCUGCUGCCUAAAAAGCUGUAACCAUGCUUCUGGCAAGAUUUAUGAGUUAGCAUAUGUCGACGACUGCCAGAUUUUCUAACUUUUGCAUUUUCAAACUCAAAUGUCCCACAUCCUUUAGCAUUUCUGAUCCUUUUAACUUUUGGUCUAACAUUAUUUUUUGGGUCCAAAUCCUCAUCAUCUUCCCCAGUCAAGUUAUCAAACAUGUGCUCAGAUUUUGAUAAUCCAUUGAGACUCAAACAAGAGAAGACUGGCUGAUCAAAAUAGCCACGCAAUUUACUCAGGUCAAAGGGUUUUAAUCGGUUGCUUUUGAACUGCCUGUAGCAAAGAUGAACUUUGGAAAGCGAAUCAUGAGGAAAGGCAUUCACACAUUUUUCGUAAUGUUCACGAUUUAAGACUGUCGCAGAACCAUCAACACACUCAACACUAAUGGCCUGCACAUAUGGUGUGAUGAAAACCUCUUUUGGGUGAGAAUUACGUAAUGUGAUCACACCUUUCACCUCCUGACUAUGAUGAAACCACCUCACUUUCACCUUUUUCUGGCACCUCUUAUCUUCGUACAUGUCUUCCAGGUAAGCAAGAUAGUGGUUUUCUCCCUUAGCCAUGACAUAAACAAAGGACUGUACCUGAAUAGCAUUGAUAAGUAGGAAAGGAAGAAUGUUAUUAUUGGAAAAUGAUGGUAAAAGCAGAUAAUGCAAAUACCAUGGAUAUAAUCUAAUAGACCAUCAAACCACAACUUUAGGGUAUCAUGGAACAAAUGCACGGAGAAGAUAUUGAUAGCUCUCUCGAAAUAACUCCCCAUUAGUUUGAAGAGGAAACAUCAUAAUAGAUUAAACUUGGAUAAAGUGCAAAUUUCCUGUUACCAAAAGCAUCCAAGAGUCUGAAACAUGUUGAAGCACGAAAGUGGAAUCUAAGUGAUGUACCAACUUUUACUACCACUCUAUUUACGAGUAAGAAAUUACUCAAGGAGUAAGAGAAUAACUACUUCAAGAAACCAAAUUUCACCUUAUCCCAAAAUACACGUGUCAUAGAUGCUAAGAUGACUAUCUUAGCAUAGCACAGUAAACUUAAGACAUACACAUUUUUGCAUUUGUUAAACAUUAAGUUACAAAAAAUUGAUAUAUUGUUGCUCACAUAAAUGGGAUAAUAUAAUCCUUGAGAUUUAAACCAAAUUGAUCAACCAUCCAUGUUUUUAAAUGCCCAAGGCGCACUAGGACGCAAUGGUCCUCUGGAGCCUAGGUGCAAGAUGCCCAAAAAGGCCCAGUUCUUUUUUUUCUUUUUUUUUUUUUGGUGAGGUGCACUACAUACAAAAAUAUUGCAUUAAAAAGAGAAGGCAUAGUUGAAGUGGAAAUAUGAACAAAAAGACCUCAAACACACGAUUUUUGUUAACUUGAUUCUUUUAGUUAAUAAAGAAGGAAAACCCUUAAUUAUUACUAUUUAAAAAAAAAAACAUGAAAAAGCCCAAGGCUUUGAGCCUUGGGACCUCACAAAAGGUGCAUGCUUAAGCCGCACUUAUUUGUGAGCAGGCAAGGCCGCUAGACCUGCACCUUGAGCCUAGGCGUGUGCUUGAGAGGGCUUUUUAAAAUACCAGGUAGGGAGUAGAUGCUUACCAUGAUUGAAGUCCCAUUCCGGCUAAAUGAUGGGUAAUGCUUGAGUCGUUUACCACAAGUCCAUGCAGCACCAGACCAUACAAUAUCUGAUGCAAGUCCCUUGGAAUUCCUUGAUGGGCGAACCUAAGUCAAGAUCAAACUAAGGGAUAAUUUCCCAAAAUUGUUUGAAUAAUAAUAAUGGAAGGGAAGGAAUUUACCUUAUCAUCUGGUAUAUCAGAUUGUGGGAUAACUACUCCACUUUGUGAAAAUUGAAGAGACCCCAGUGUUUGUAUUGCAUCAAAUUUACAAGGCUCUACAUAAAAAAAAUUGUCAAGAUGUUGAUACCGACAAUGUAAGAGAGCAUAACUUUGAAGCAUAAAAUGCUUUUGAAGGUGACAAGUAUCUUUAUCCCCUCAAAGCAACCAAAGAGUAUCGCCUAAUAGAAGUGAAGUACACUUGAAUAAAUAACUAAAAUUUAUAAAUAAUAUAAGCUUGCAAUGUGUAAAUGGCCAUAUAACCACAGAACCUUGUUGCCAAACUCUACAUAAGCAUGGCAAGAAAAAAAGUAACUAUUGUAUGUGGCAAAUUGAAAAACUAUGCCAUGAUUGACUUGAGGCGAUUAUGAAACUCAGCUUGCCUCAACAACACAAUAUGGUACUUUCUCAACUGUUCUUGACAACAGAUCAUGAAAAACUAGAUUCACGACAAAUGUAGUUGCCAACUAAAGAAUUUUAUACGCAAAUGCUCUCACAAACGUAGAAAGAUUAAAAAAAGGUGUUAACUUUAGCAAAUUCGGUCUAACACAACGAGAAUUCACCAUAAAACCAACUAUGGAAAUGAAAUAAAAGAUAAGAAAAGAAAAGCAAGCCAAACCAGAAUGAUCCCCAGAAGAAUGCUGCUUGGAUAACAUGGAAGUAAGCCAGUCCACAACCUCCCUCCUCGAUCUCCAUUUGAAACCAGCAUGGACAGAACUUUCCUUCCCAUGAGCUCGCAAGAACUCAUCAGCAACAACAUAAAACAUGUGUCUGACACUCCUCUCAGUCCCCACAACUGCAAGAAUAGACUCUCCAGCAGAAUCCUUUAAAAAAUAAUGAACCACGCGGUUUCCUCGUUCUUGGGAUACAAACUGCUCCUUCCACUCCAUAAAAUAGUUACCAUGUCCCAUCAUUUUGGCCAAUAUUUUCAUAAAACAAUCAACAAGAAUCCAAAUCAAACAUUAAAUGCUAAUAACAUGAGCAGGAGUCCAUGAGAACGGCCAAUGGACGCAGAAUCGUUCAUCCCAAUAACUACUGUAUGAAAUCAACUUGUUCCUGAAUGUUGACCACCAGUCCAUCAAGAUUACCCAAAAUACAUAGACCACAAAUUCUCAGCCAAAACUGCCAGAUCUCAAGUCAAAAAGGAAAAACUACGUAUACGAUCCAAGAAUCUUUGAGCCCCCCAAACUAAUGUCCCUGGAAAUCAUAAUAGAAGACCAUAAACCCUAAGACCAGCAACAAUUUCCAAUUAUUGAACUAACAGUUGUAGAAACAAAAGAAGUGUGUGUCCCCACAAAUAAUAGGUUUCUUCAAUCCCCCUGCAAAAGAACUGAAGAAAACACCAAGGCGGCGGAAAAACCCUUUUGACAAAUGACGCAGCAGAAUCCACAGAGAAUGAAAGGGGAAAAAAGAAAGAGAAAUCUGCAAUGGAAGUUAGGCAGGGAGCUCUCCAAGCUUGGAGGAGGAAAACUCCAAAUUUGAGACCGAAAAACGGAAGAAUUGUAGAAUGGGAAAAUUGAGAGUUGCCCAAGUGUUUAAUGAGCGUACUAAUGAAAAAAUGAAAAGAGGAAUGAGAGAUGAGAAAAGAGAGAGGGGAGAAACGCCAUAAAGAUUGGAAGGAGGAAAGGUUUCAGAGGAAUUGAUGAGAGGGAGGGAGGGAGGGAGGAAGGAAGGAGAAGAGAGGAGUGGCAGCAAAGCACCGCACCGCAGCAGAAAAGUGAUGAUACUGACCAAAUCCUAAGAGUCGGGUCCAACAACUGAGAAACAUGGUCUUUUGGAUCUAUGGGCCGCCAUUGAUGCUUCUUUCUACACAAUUUGGAAAUGUGUGUUUUUUCUUCUCUUUUUCCGUAUUUUUAAGAGAAAAAUAUAAACGUAAAAUAUUUAGAAAGAUUUUGACGAACGACUUAAAUUACUUAAAUUGACUCAUUUUUCACAAAUGUAAACUAUAAUUUAUUUUCUUAAUUAGAAAUUCGUAUAAUUUUUACACGAUGCUACCAUUAAAAUUAUAUAUUAUAUUCGUAAAUAUAUUUAAAUUAUUUCUUUGUUCACAAUACUUUCAAUUUAUUAUGAUAUUUAUAAUUUUCUUAUAUAAAUUUGUAUCUUUAUUACGGUAAAAAAUUAAAAAUAUUGUCCCUUACUAGGAGUUAUAUAUUUGAUUACAUUAUACUUUAAUAUAUUUGCAAUCUAUAAUAGUUAUGUUCUGUGUUUUAGUGUGUAUAUAUAAUUCGGAUCUUCAACAUUCCGACCUGGCAGCAUCAUCCUUACUAUCUUUAAAGACUUAUUAGAGUGAAAAUUCUCUCCACAAACCAACAUGAGUCUUUUCAACAUGUUUUGUCCUCACUCACAUGCAUUCUAGAAAAAUUUUCAGGAGGUCAAUCAACAUAUAAUUACCCCAAGUUCGCUUAACUUUGAAGUUUCUAUGAUCGAGCCAUCGAAAAGGAAGGUGCACAUUUUUUUAUAUAUGUAUUAAUUUUUAAUUCUUUUAAGUCUUUGUUAACACUACUUUCAUGUUCUCAUGAUCCCUCUCAUUCAGAUGUGAUAUCGGUUCAUUUAUGUCUCCCUCCUAAUCUUGGACGUUGCAUACCCCAACAUAUAGUUCUAUUAAUUUUUUAUAGGAUGGCCAAAAUGUAGUUCUUCUUCACCAUUGAAUUCUCAAUAAACUCUAGAAUGUAUCGCAUAUAAAACUAGAUUUUCGUUUGUUUGCCUAUUUAAUCGAAUAUCUAAAAUAUACCUAAUGUAUGAAAUGUUUCAUAUGUUUUGAAUAUAUAUAAUAGUAAGCUCGAAAUUUCUAGUCAGAUUCUAUCAGAUAAGUUUUGUAUUUGCCAGUCGAUGAAAGUUUUCUUCUUCACUGUCGAAACCUCAAUAAACCCUAAAAUGUAUCACAUUCAAAACUACAUUUUCAUUUGAUUGUCUAUUUAACUGAAUAUCUAAAAUAUACCUAAUGUUUAUAUGUGUUGAAUAUAUACAAUACUAACCUUGAAAUUUCUAACUAGAUUAAGUUUGAGAAGUUUUGUACUUGUUCUCCGUCGAAUGUCUUCUUCUUCACCUCUGAACUCUCUAAAAUUUUGAAGUAAAAACCGUAAUCCAUGUUAGAAGGAGUGGGCGACCGUUUUCGUAGAAGGAAAGCAUGAAAGGUUUUCCACUUCUUUCCAAAACUGUAUCCCAUGAUUUUUUCCAUUUAGAUAUAUGUUAUAAAUCAAUUAAAUAAUAGAAAUUGAUAUUAAAUUAAUUUGGGCCCCACUUCUUUCCAAAAUCAUAUCGCACAAUGUUUUCCAUUUAGGUAUUUGUUAUAAAUCAAUUAAAUAAUAGAAAUGAAUAUUAAAGUAAUUUGAGUCCUACAUUUGUGUAAUGUACUGGCUCAUUUAGGACUUUUGUGAAAUUUAUUAGUAAUUUGGGGCUUCAUGUAAUAUCAUAUAGCAAUUUGGGCUAUAUGAGUUAAAAACCCAAAUAUUUAUACCCUACAAAACAACUUCGAAACGGAAAAAGCGUAGAGCCCAAAAUGGAAAAAACUUGAAUUUUUUUUAAGAAAAUAGUUUACUUCAUGGCCUUUUUUAUUUUGUUACACGGGCCGUAAAUAUUUUGUUGUUUUAUUAUAUUUAGGAAAACUUGUUAUAUUUAUGAAAACAAAUCUAUUUUUAACCAUCUCAUUUUAGUUUUCAUAUUUUAACUGAAUCUUAAACUUAGGGUGUGUUUGGUUUGGAUUUUGAAGUAUUUAAAUAUAUAAAAAAAUUUGUUCACACGAGAUUUCGAAGAAAUGUAAUUCGUGAAAUUGAACUUUGUAUAUUGAUGAAUAUUGUGAAUACAAUCUCUAAUAUUUACUCAUUUGAUACUUUCUCUCGAAUACAAGAUAAAAUAAACUUCAGAACUUCUUAGUCUUCGAUCUUCAAGAUGGUUGAUCUGAACUCCGAUAUUUUGGAUUUCAAAACGUCUUAGCCUUCGAUCUUCAGGAUGGUUGAUCUGAACUUCGAUAUUCUGGAAUCCAAGAAAAAUUUAAUCUCCAAGUCUUCAGUCUUUCAGAAGAUGUUGAUCUCAAGGUUGAUACAGACAUGCAUAGACAUGCACGAAGGUUGAUACAGACAUGCACAGACAUACACGUCUUGAGAGCUUGUAGAAGUUUGAAUCUUCAAUUCUUGAGAGCUUGAACUUUAAUUAUUCCUUCAAUUCAAGAUCCCCAAAAUGAAUAGCAUUUAUAGAGAAAUUUCAUGAGCUGGUGGGCUUGGGCCCAUUUGCUUGUUAGGCUCGGGCUUGGGCCCAUUUGCUUAUUGGACUUGGGCUUGAGUCUAUUUGUUUGUUGGGCUUGGGCCCAUUUACUUUUUAGACCCGGACUUAAAUCCCUUUGUUUGUUGGACCACAAUAUUUGCUAGGAUGAUGUGGUGAAAUUUAAUUAGCCAAAAUUUCAUACUAAACAAAUGUCCCAUUUUUGAGAUUCAUGCAUGUGUAUGAGUGGGUGGAUCUCGAAAAUAAGCUGAAACACAAGAGAUUUGCUCUUGACUUUGGCUCUAGUUAAUAUGACAAACUUAAUCACGCUAUGCAUUUGGACAUAAGUGUAUAAAAAAGUGAUAUAAGGUUUGACGAAUUCUGAUAUAUAUUCGAAUUUAUUUGGAGGUGCAGAUUGAAAUAUUGCCGACUUAUCUUAGAUCAAAACCAAGUUUUUUUUUCUUUUUAAAUAUUUUGUUAAUUAAUCCUUUAUUUAUUUAUGAUUUUUUUGGGUUAAUACUAAACCGUCCGACAAAAAGUUAAAAUUUAUAUAUCACAUUUUACAAAAAAAACAAAAAACAAAAACAAAAUAAUAAUAAUAAAUAAAUAAACAAUUUCACAUCAUGUUAAAAAAAUAAUAAGAUCUUGAAUAAAAAGGAUAACAUUUUUAAAAAAUUGGUAAACUUAUUACUAAUUAAUAUAUAUAUAUAUAUAAAUUAAUAUUAGUAGAAUAUUUUUUAUUGUCAAAUGGAUAGCUUGAAAGAAUAUCUUCCAAUAUCUUCUUCAUCUUAGGAAGAUCUAUAUCAUCCUUAGUCUUAGGAAAAGAUUCACAGCAAAAUCAUCCAAACUAUGUUCACACAUUUCUUAUAAAUAGGUGAAGAUGGGUCAAAGAAAGCAGAUAAAGAAAGAAAAAAAAAAUCGCUCAUUAGUCCCUUGUGAAAAGAAAAAAAAUUUGCCCAAGCUUUCCUUUCACCGCCGGAUUCCUUCACGCCGAUCUUCUCUUCCACUGCAUUUUUUUUGCCGUACGGUAAGAUCGUUGCCCCCCUUUUUUUUUAUUUAGCGUUCUAUGUUUUUCUUUUUUUUUAAGGACUCGUCGGAGGGGAGAGGUAGGGAGAAAAAAUACAGAAGAGAAAGGAGAAGAAAAAAAAAAAAAAAAAGAAACAAAAGAGAGAACAAAGAAAAGGGCCGAAGAAAAGAAAAAGGCAGAGGAGAAGGAGAGAAGAAGAAGCAAAGAAAAAGAAAGUUGGGGGGAGGGGGUUAGUGAGAGAAAAGAAAAAAAGGAGAGUUAAUUUUUCUGUAGGUUUUUUUUAUUGUUAUUAUAAAUAUUAUUAUAUAUAUAUAAGAUUUUUUUUCUUUUUUCAUUAUUAUAAUUAUUAUUAUAUAUAUACACGAAUUUUUUUCAUUAUUUUUUUGUUUCUCUAUCUUUACUUUUUAUUUCCCCCAUUUUUUUUCAUUAUUAUUAUAUAAAAAAAUAUAUUUUUAUCCUUUUUCUAUCUUUUCUGUUUCUAUUUUCCUUAUCUUCUUUUUAUUUUUUCUUCUUCUGUUUUUUUAUAUAUACAUAUAUAUAUAUAUAAAUCUGUUCACCUUUAUAUUUCUUUCUAAAAAAAAUCUUUUUUUUUCAAUUAUUAUUAUAUUUAGGUUUUUUUAUUCUUUCUUUUUUAUUUAAAUCAUUUAAAAUUGCGUAAUUAAUUUUUCGUUUUCUUUUCUUUUCAUUUUUUUUUGUCCUUUUACGUUUUUUUUCUUUCCUAUCCCUUUUUAUUUAUUUAUCCUUUUAUUUUAGUUAUUACUAUUUUUUUCUUUUCUUUUUUGUAAUUUUAACCCAAAUAACAAAAUAAAAUUUAUCUAUUUAUUAAAAAAAAUGUUUUGUUACCCUAAAUGUCUAGAUCAAUUGAUUAUUUUAUUUUAUUUUAUUUAUUUAUUAUUACUAAAAAAACAAAGCUAUAUUAUUCUUUUUGUUUUAUUUAUUCUAAUUUUUUUAAACUAUUUUUUUGUGCAGGUUUAGUAGAUGUGAUUGAAUAUUUUAUCAAAGGUUAAUGUCUCCUCUUUUUUUUUUUUUUUUUUUAUAUAUAUUACCACGAGUGACCUUUUUUCUUUUUUUUUUUUUUCUUUUUUUAAGGUCCUAUGUAAGUAUCUUGUUUGGUCGACAUUCUGACUUCUUCUUGGGUUUGUACAUGAUAGACGAUCCAACUCUAUCAUGACGUCCACUGCUGAGAUUUAUUGAGUUUGUACUUGAUAGACGAUGCAACUCUAUCAUGACUUAUUGUGUUUGUACAUGAUGGACGAUGCAACUCUAUCAUGAUGCCUACUGUUGUUGUGACUUCUUGAGUUUGUACAUGAUAGACGAUCUAACUCUAUCAUGGCACCCAUUACUGCGAUUUCUUGGAUUUGUACAUGAUAGACGAUCCAACUCUAUCAUGACGUCCACUGUGAGACUUAUUGGAUUUGUACAUGAUAGACGAUGCAACUCUAUCAUGGCGCCCACUACUGAGACUUAUUGAGUUUGUAUAUGAUAGAUGAUCCAACUCUAUCAUGAUGCUCAUUGUUGUUGGGACUUCUUGGGUCUGUACAUGAUAAACGAUCUAACUCUAUCAUGACGCCUACUGGUGCUGCGACUUCUUGGGUUUGUACGUGAUAGACGAUCCAACUCUAUCAUGGUGCCCACUGUUGCUGCGACUUCUUGAGUUUGUACGUGAUAGACGAUCCAACUCUAUCAUGACACCUAUUAUUGUUGCGACUUCUUGGGUUUGUACGUGAUAGAAGAUCAAACUCUAUCAUGGCGCCCACUGGCGUCCAUUGCUGCUACGACUUCUUGGGUUUGUACAUGAUAGACGAUCCAACUCUAUCAUGACGCCCAAUACUACUGAAACUUAUUGGGUUUGUACAUGAUAGACGAUGGAACUUUAUCAUGGCGCCCCUUGCUUUGGCUUCUUGCUAGCUUGAAUUUUAUGACACUUAUUUUUCUAUUUUAUUUUUUUCGAAACCAAGUCGUCAACACUGCCUCUCCUCUGGUGAUUUUUUUUUUUUUUUUUGUAGAAUAAUGGUUUACUUCACAGAAUGAUUCGUGAAUGGAAACAUACAUCUUGUAAUACUUUCUAACAAAAAUCAACCAAGAGAAUAUGGACUUAGUCUUAUUGUGGAGAAGUCGUAGGCUGACCCUUUUGCAGAUCAUAGGCUACGUUUAGACAACAGUUCGAUUCUUCCCAAAUUAUUUGUGGAAAUACUUUUAUCUAAGGGGAAUAACGUAUGAAUCUUGCAAUCCUCCAUCCAUGAUGAGGCUCCUACUUCUGAAAGGGCUCUCACUCUCAGGCAUCAUCUAAUCGAAGGUCAAACACGUUGGGGCGCUGUGACUAAAGUCCUUGGAGAGUUUUGCUUUACUGAUUGCUACUGGGAGUGGCUAGACUUUGUAGUUGGUUGAAAUGCAUGAAUUCUCUACGAUGCUCAUUUAUUUGGUGCCGUAACAGCUUCUUUGUACACCUAUGAUCGUAAUAGCGAUGUGGUUCGAGCAUUUUGUGAAGCUUGGUGUCCUUCGACUAAUACUCUUCAUACUAUGGCGGGUGAGUUAUCCAUUUCUCUGUGGGACAUGUGGUCAUUUGAGGGCCUUCCGAUUAAAGGGGAGUUCUAUGAGAAAGUCAUCCCCUCCUAUAGAGAGUUAAUCCCUACACGAGAUAAGAAAAAAUGUCUUUCGAUAACAUGCCAAUAUCUUUUUCAGGCAUAUUAUUCAAUAAUUCGUACGCAGAGGGAUGACCACAAGACCUCUUCCAAAAAUGACUCCCAAGUGACUAUUAGCUCUUGAAUUUCAUUUUGGUACCUCGGGUCUAGGAGCUACGAUAAGUCUGUUGUACGGAAGCAAAAGAAGGCAUCAUGCUCCAGAUUUACUCAGAACCCUGAUGGCUUGAAGGUCCAAUCUCGAGAAUGGUCCUCCAGAGAAAACAUGUUAUUUAUCGAGCUUGGCAUAAGGGACGAUAUGAAGGAUGCAACAUAUUUAGCUGCCUUCUUAUCCUGCUGGUUGUGCCUCUUUGUGUUUCUGCAUAAGGGAUCAUUUCUUUGCCUUGGAGUGUUUAGGAUUGCAAGCUCAAUGGCUGACAGAUCUAUCUAUAGUCUUGCAGUCUCAAUUUUAGCAAACAUUUAUCAUGGGCUAAGUUAAUAACUAAAGCCUCGAAUCCAGUAGAAUGCAUGGAAUUUCACUUCCCAUACAUUACGUUCAUGGCUGGUUAACUCAUUAUGUUGGCACUCAUUACCCACUCCCCAAAGAAGUUCGAGGUCCCAAGAUGGCUAACUUCUCCGAUGAAGGCGAGUCUAUUUAUUUUGGAGAAUAUGAGACGCGAGAGCUGAUUUAUAAUGGUGCAAGAAUUCAGUGGCACGCGAGUCUUCAAAACUGGAAUAAACAUAAACGCAUGAUUGAUACUCGUGAUUCAUCGUUUCUGCAGACUUCCUAUUUUGCGAGCACGCGUUCCUGCUACGUGUCAUCCCGUUGUGGGAAUAUUUGGGUUGUAACCUCAUACCGUCCGUAUCGAUUUGGGAUACAGUUUGACUUUUACCAGGAUAUCCUUGAUUAUAUAGGAGGCAUGCCACUUGUGAUCUUACUGAAUAAUAUAUUACAUUAUUAGAGGUUGUGUGUGAGGCGUAACAGUUCAUUUGAGUUAUACUUGUAUGCCUGUUCUUAAGAGCCUUGCAAGCAUGUUACACAACAAUUUAAGAAUUGGUGGGCCACAAAGCACGGGACCUAUUUUGAGUUUAAUAGACACCAUUUAGUAAGCAGUGUCAUUCCUCCCCCAUCGCAACCAAUACUACCCAAGAAUCGAGGGAGCAACCAAGGUGGUAAGCCAAUUUGUUUGGUUAAAGCGAUGCGCUCGAGAAGGACGUGGUAGAGCAUAAAGAGAAGAGUGAUAGCAACAAAAGUGAUCAUCAUUGGAAAAGACCUUUGAUGAAAGCGAAGGUAUCAGGUGAUAACUCUUGCGAAAGGGGCUCAAGUGCUAUGAGAAUUCCUAAUGUCCCACCACUGGUUUGCAUAUUUUCCUUCUUUAAUAAUUUUCUUUUAUUAUUAAUCUUCUUCAUGAGUGAUUUAUCCAUUGCUUAUUUUUGCAGUCACCUUUAGACCACCAUCUUGAAGGGCUUGUAGAUGUAGACAGUGAUGAAUCACUAACUGGUCCUCAUAUGGCUGACACGACUAUCGAGAAAGUUGGUAUUUUGAAGACACCAGCUGCAAAACCAGUCGAACUAUCCUUACAUCUCUCUGCUCUUCUCGAGAAGAUUCGUUGAGGUAAGAUGAAAGUGAGUGGCAAAGACAUCGAGAAUCCUCCCUUCAGAGGUGUCUGUCCUACAGUGCCUUCAACGAAGGUUACAUCCAUGCAUGCUCCUCUUAAGAUUUCCUAGCCGCCUAUAAGCACCUCUAUGAAACAAGUAGUAGAACACCUUGAGCUUUAUCAAUGGAUUGGUGAAAAUGUAGUUUCAAACUUCUUUUAGAAAAAAACCAUGUGUAUAUGAGGGAACAUUCAAGACAAAAUCCUGCACUCCUUUUCAAUAUAUCCCAAGACUUAGGCCAGAAAUUACAAUAGUUCUCUAAGGAAUUGUGAAUAUUCAUGCAGAUGGCUUGACUCCUCUUGAAGAAUACCUGAAUAGUUAUCUUAAGAGGGUAGACAGUUUCAACAAUGUAUAAUCUUCAUAUUCUGCACAGUUGCUAUCAACAAAUAAGGCUCGUCGGUUAGAGAAGACUUCUGCUAUUAAGGAAGCCUUAACUUUGAUGGAACAACUACGAGGAGAUGCUGAAGUCAUUCAUGAGAGGGCUGCAAAGCUAUCUUUGGAAAAGAAGGAACUAGAGAGCAGACUUUAGGUGAGAAAAAUGAGGCCAUAAACAAGCAAGAGCUAAUAGUUGUUAGGCUUUAGGACGAAGUCAACACUCUCGAAAGCACACCUACUAUAACUGAAGAAGCCAUAGAGCCCCUCUCUAUCGUUCGCAAGAGUAUGGAGGCUGCACGUGAAGAAUUUAAAAACUUCAAGUGGAAACUUUGAUUUUUGCCCCCAUAUUGCCCUUUUUUUUUCACUCUUUGUAAAUGCUAUUUGAAUGUUUUUUUUUAUCCAAAUGUGUAUGCCCAUAAAUUUUGUAUUGCUUACAUGUGAGAUGACAAUGAAACAUGAUAUUUUUGUUUUUACAUGUGACUGAACUUAAAGUGAACCUUAAGCUGCCUGUGUACUCUUUUUAUAACAUAGGGAUCAAUUCAUAAUGUAGUUCAAUUUUUUUUAAAAAAAAUUAAGCAUAAAACUUCUUGAGAAAUUUGUCGCUGAUUGGGCCAAUUCGUAAUCCGUCUUGAUCAAUGAUUUUGUAUGCUCUAUUUGUGAAAACUUCUUUGACGAUGUAGGGUCAAUCCCAUUUAAGUGUGAAUUUAUUUUCCUGUAUGUCUCUAGUGAUGAUAGGUCUUCUUACUGCAAGCACUAACUCACCAACUUGAAAUGAUUGUGGCUUUACAUAUUUGUCAAAAGCUUUAGACAUUCGCGCUUGGUAACAUUCAAGUGCUUGUUGAGCUUCUAGUCUCUUUUCAUCAAGUGCUUCUAACUCUUGAAGGCGUAGUCUAGCGCGUUGUCUUCAGUAGUCAGCCCUUCUUGAAUUGUCAUCCUCAAUGAUGUAAUUUCUCUCUCUAGUGGAAGUACUGCUUCUACUCUGUAAACUAAAAAUAAGGUGUAACACCAGUAGGAGUACGAUGGGUAGUUCGGUAGGCCCAUAAUGCUUCUCCAAUCUUUUCUUGCCAAUCUCUUUUUGUCUUGGAGACCACCUUCUUUAGAAGAUUACACAGAGUUUUGUUGAAAGCUUCUGCUAGUCCAUUUGCCACGACAUUGUACAUAGAAGAUUUGUAUUGUUUGAAGUUAAACUUCUCGCACAACUUAUCCAUUAGAGUGUUAGCAAAUUGUCUUCCAUUAUCAGUCACGAUGCGAUGAGGAAUACCAUAUCGAUAAAUGAUGUGUGUUCGAACAAAAUUUACGAUGUUUUCAUUCUUUGCUUCUCUUAAUGGUACAACUUCAGCCCAUCUAGAAAAAUAAUCGAUUCCGGCAAGAAUGACCAGCCGAUGACUUCGGCGUGUUCGGUCCAACCAAGUCGAGUCCUAAAGCUUCAAAAGAUCAUGAGGCUAUUGUUGGAUGAAAAGGCUCUAGUGGUUGAUGUAUAAAAUUUGCAUGGAAUUAGCACGCUUCACAAUGUUUCACAUAAUACAUCGAGUCAUGGAUGAUAGUGGGCCAAUAGUAACCCAUUUUUUUCAACUGAUGUUGAAGUUUUGGACCAAACUUGUGAGCACCACAUACUGAAUGUUCUUCUUCUAAAGCCUUUGUUGAUUCAUCUUUUCCUAGGCAUUGCAGAAGAAGACCUUCAUAUGAGCGUCGAUAAAGUGUGUCGUUGUAAUAAAUAAAUCGUGCAGCUCUUCUUCGUAUCUCAGCUCGAUGUCGAAGCUCGAUGGGAAGUUUUCCAUGCUCCAAAUAGUUUAUAUAGACCGACGCCAAUCUUCUUCAUCAAUUGCAUACACAGAUAUCACAUCGGUUUCUUCGUAUUAGCCUUCGAUCAAGGGAAUAAUCCACUUUUUGCUAAGAGAAAUAUUUAUCGGCACGUGUUCUGAGAUUGUUAAAGUCGUGACCAAAUUUGCUAAUGCAUCAGCUUUCUUAUUUUCUAAUCUUGGUAUAUAUGUUCCAGUAUUAUGUCGUCAAAUAUGUCCAUCAAUCUUCUAGCAUAAAUGAAAUAGGGUUUCGGAUCUUUAUGUUUGACCUCGUACUGAUAGGAGAGUUAAUUUAUAACUAGCUUCAAAUCACCGAAUACUUCUAUGUAUUUUAUACUAAAUUCUGAAGCCAUUUGUAAGCUAAUGAUAAGGGCUUGGUACUCAACCACAUUAUUCGAACACAAUUCACUGAGUGGGAAGCUAUAUGACAACAUAUGUUUCUCCGGAGAGAUAAAGACAAUGCCGACACCAAGUCCAGUUUUUUGUGUUGCACCAUCAAAGAACAUGGUUCAAGGUUUCAUGCUUUUGACAAACAAAACUUUCUCAUCAAGUAAGUCUUUACAUAAUACCCAAUCUGAUGGAAUUGGAUGGUCAGCCAAGAAAUCUGCCAAUGCCUGACCUUUUACUGCUUUUUGGGAAAUAUAUACAAUAUCAUAUUGUUGGAGUAUAAUUACUCAUUUAGCAAGACGUCACGAGAUGAUUGACCUUGAUAAAAUAUAUUUAACAGGAUCAACUUUUUCUACCAAAUGUAUAGUGAAGGCUUGCAUAUAAUGUCUCAGCUUAUCUAUUGCAAAGAAAAGAGCGAGACACAUUUUCUCGAUUGGAGGAUAAUUCAAUUCAGCUUCAGUCAAAGUUCUAUUUAAAUAGUAAAGUGCACAUUCCUUUCCCUUGUCAUUUUCUUGUGCAAGUAAUGCUCUGAGCGAACCUUCUUGAGUUGCGAUAUAUAAUAUCAAUGGCUUUCCAGCUGCAGGCGCACUCAAAACCGGAGGAUUGAGCAAAUAAUUCUUUAUGCUAUCAAGUUCAUCUUUGGAAUGGUUGACAUUGACCCGUAAGAUUAGAUAUAAAUCUUCUGAUGUAGGCCAAACAACCUUGUAAUCUUCUCAACUCGUGAAAAGUUUUUGGACUCGACAUCUUUUGGAUAGCAUCAGUUUUUGAGUAAUCAACUUCAAUUCCGCGAUGCCUCACAAUGAAUCGCAGAAACCAUCUAAAGGUCACACCAAAUGCAGACUUAAAAGGGUUCAUUCUUAGCUGGUAUUUCCUUAGAUGAUCAAGGACAAGCUUUAGGUUUUUUAUGUGGUCGCAUUUCCUCUUGGAUUUUACUACAAGAUUGUUAACAUAACAUUCAACAUAUUUAUGUAGCAUAUCAUCAAAGAUCCUUUGCAUAGCGUGUUGGUAUGUUCCACCUGCGUUUUUCAAUACGAAAGGCAUUACCUUAUAACAAUAUAUACAUUUUGGGGUUCGGAAAGCUGUAUUCUCUUCAUCCUCAAGAGCCAUUCGAAUCUGAUUAUAUCCUGUUGACUCAUCCAUGAAAGAUAAAGCUGCAUGUCCUGAAGUCGCGUCUACCAUGAUUUCCAUAAUAGGCAAGGGAAAAUUAUCCUUUGGGUAUGUGUUAUUUAGGUUGCGAAAAUCAACACAAACUGGUAGCUGGCCAUUCUUCUUCCUUACUGGAACAAUAUUAGCUAUCCAUGUUGGGUACUUGACUUCGUGAAUAAAUCCAGCUUCAAUGAGCUUGUUUACCUCUUCCUCGAUUUGAGGAAUGAGUUCAGAUCGAAAUCAUUGUUGGACUUGCUUGAUGGGUCGUUGCUCUGGUUUGAUUGCUAAAUGAUGAACAACAACCUUUGGAUCAAGUCCAGGCAUCUCCUUAUAUGAUCAUGCGAAGACAUCUUUGUACGCUUUUAGUAAGCUCACAUACUCAUUUUGGUCUCAGCAUCAGAAAGUUGGGCGCUUAUGAAGGUUGGACGAGGAUCCUCUAUUGUACCAAGAUUGCUUCCUUUAACUCAUCAACCCUUGAUUGACCCUCAUCCUCAAGUGAUAAUGAAGCGGCUUUGGCAUCUUUUUCAAACGUCUCAUAGUUAGAUGCCUCCUCUAUCGUAACAUGGUCACGACUUACCACAUCUACUUCAUCUUCUGGUUCAUUAUUUUUAGGUCGAGUAAACACAACUUUGUGUCGUUUUACUUUUAACAAACCCUAUGUAUUUACUGAGAUGAAAAUUUUUCUCUUCUUUCUAGAUGGAACUGCACUACGAAUUUUACCGUCCCCCGCUGCUAAGUCAUGUUUGCUUGAGACCGCUACAAAAGGUUUCUUUUGGCCUCUUGUUAGGGACACACUUAACCUCUUGAAGGCAGAUUCUCUUGCGUUCAGAGUUGGACUUGCAGAUUGUACUUUUUUUGAAGUUGUAUUUAACUUUUGAAAGGCAGACUCCUUUACGUCCGGAGUUGAACUUACAAAUUGUACUUUCUUUGAAGUUGUAUUUAACCUUUCGAAGACAGAUAGUCGAAUGAAACUAGAAGUUAAACCUUGACUUUAUCUUUCCCUGUUGAUGUAUUCAAUCUGUGGAACACUGAAGGACGUGCAGUAAAAGAAGUAAUGCAAUAAAAAACAGAACUCCUAUGACUUUGACUUUUUUUGCCCUUUUCGGAGUCUCUGCUUUCUUCAUCAGUAAUGUGAAAUGUGUCUGCAACUUUUACUUUUCUUUUACCUGAUAUUUAAAUCAGUUCGAAAGAAUUAUAUCCAACUCCAGCUCUUGAAUUAGGAAUAGAAUAUCCUUGCUUUUGAAGCUUCUUUUGUGUAGGAGAAAGUCUAGACCUUUCAUCAAAUAUUUUCACGUUUUUAAGUUCGAUGCAAGUUGUGAUGUCAUAACCCGCCUUUGCCAUCAACUUAUAUGCUUUUGGGUCAAAGCCCCCAGUUGUUCGUCUUUCUGGAAGGAAUGCCUCUAUGCCCUUUUUCUCAAAUCUUUUUGUUUCUCCUUUGUCUAUCUUGGUAAGGGGUGUGGUGAAGCUUUCCUUUAAUAUUUCAUGCUUCCAAUCGUUAAGUUUUCAGAAUAUUCUGUGAACGGUGAUUCUCCGUUCUUAUGUCGAGAUAAAGGAACAUAACGUAAAAUAGGAGAUUUUGAGGCUUUUUCUUGUGGGAUUGUUAUCUUUUCACACUCUGACACCUCAGACUUAGCUUGGGUUAUUGACUCGUCAUUAUUUUAACCAUUGAGUGCAUCCCCUUCAUUUGACAUCUUUGUUGUAAUUUUUAUUUGCUCGAGCUGAUAAGUGUCUUUGGCUACAGGAACUUCAGAUGAUAUGACUUCACUUACAUCAUCAUCUUUUGUAUAAAAUUUGGCAUCAACAAAGUGUGACUCAGCCUUUGAGAAUGACUUAGUGUCAGCAUCAAAUUUCCUAACUCCUUGUUUGUAAAAUUUAAAACAUUGAUGGAAUGUGGAGGUUACAACUCCAUUUUCAUGUAUCCAUGGACGCCCUAACAACAUCUUAUAAGUGGUCCUCGAAUCGAUCACAUGAAAUAUUGUGGUUGCCUGCAAAUCCCCUAUGACAAUUUCCAAACGAACAAUGCCUAUCACCAGUUGUGCUCCUUGAUUAAAGCCAUGAAUCACCAAUUUACUGCUUGAUAACUCCUCAAUUGAGAUACCCAAUUGAUUAAUGGUUGAUUUUGGCAGAAUGUUGAUGGUAGAACCAUUAUCGAUGAUAAUUCGAUUGAGCUUUUGCUCUCGAACAUAUCUAGACACGAAUAUGGGUCGAUUAUGAAGCUUUGACCCAAGUAACAAGUCCUCAUCACUGAAUGAUAUUGACGUACAACAGGGAUCACACACCUUCGUUUGUGAUGUAUAAAUAGUCGAGACAUAAUCAUUUUUUAAUAUCUCGACAAUUGUAUCCUUGAUUUCUCGCGGAAGUGACAGAAGAUCAUUUACACCAAAAGAAGGCAAUUCCUCUUGCUUGGUGGCUGUUUCCAUGGGAUAUGAGGGAGAAGUGUCAUUGUCAGUCGUACUGACCGCAUGACAUGAAGCUAUUUCAAUUGGAAAGUUUUCUGGAAAGAAGUCCAAUAGACUUAUUGGUUGUCGUGGUCAAGGAAGCUCUUCACUUUCUUCCGUGAUUGGUUGAAACUUUCUCGCGUUCUUUUUUGUUUUUCUUCUCUGAUACUUACUCUUUCUUUUGUACUUGCGGUAUGAGCGAGUUUCUUUUGUAGUAGAGUUUUGUUUGUGCCUCUUUCGACGCGUCACUAGCGUCCAUCCCUCAUCAACAUCCUCUACCUGCUUUUAUUCUUCUUUGGAGCCAACAGUUUGGAGGUCAUCAUUUUGUAAGGCCACCGGUGAAGAAUAUAUGAAGAUAGGCUCUAAAGAUACAAAUUGGAUCAGAUUCCUUGCAGCAGGUAAUCGAUCAUCCGAAUGAAUUGUUUCUGUGGCAAGAUUUGUUUGUGCUACAUCAUCAAGAUCUAGCUCAAUCUUUUUGUCUAGAGCUAAUUUCAAAAUCAACUCCUUCAACACAAAACAUUUCUCCACAGGAUGACUGAUGACUCGAUGAUAUUUGCAGUAAUUGAGAUCUUUUACCCUCCUCAUUUCCGCAGGUCGUUUACAUUUAGGAAGUUGAAUUGGUUGCUUUUCCAGUAGUUGCUCCAACAUAUCAAGUAAGUGGGAGUUUGGAAAAGGAUAAACUUUUUCUUGUCUUUCUUUCAACAUCAGACAUUUUUUUUCGUCUUCUUCUUGUUGUUUCUCAAAUUUCUUUUCUUUGUAGAUAAACUUCAAAGUUGUCGUGCUGACGACCAUAGCCUCCUUGGUAGAACAUUUUGAUACCUUAUGGGUGCUCUUCACUUCUUUUUUCUCUUUUCUAACUUCUGGAACCAGUAAAUCAUUGUUCCCUCUAUUAGCAAUACUUAACUCCAUAUUGUGAGCUCUAGUUGCUAACUCUUCAAAGGUGCGAGGUUUUAUUCCCUGUAAGAUGUACAGGAGUCCCCAAUGCAUUCCUUGAGUAUACAUCUCUACUGUCAACAAUUCAGUUAAUCUAUAUUUGCAAUCAAGGCUUAAUGCUCUCCAACGGUUAAUAUAAUCGACGAAUUGCUCACCCUUUCGCUGCUUGGUGGCAGUUAACUCUAUCAUGCUGACAAUACGACGAGUGCUGUAGAAACGGUUGAGAAAGUCCCUUUCAAGCUGCUCCUAACUGUCGAUGGAUCCAGGCUCCAAGUCUAUGUACCAGUUAAAGGCAUUUCCUUUGAGAGUUCGGACGAACUGUUUGACCAACAAAUCUCCCCUGUACCAGCAUUUUCACAUGUUUCAAUAAAAUGAGCAACAUGUUGUUUUGGGUUGCCCUUUACAUCAAACUGUUGGAACUUGGGUGGCUAGUACCCAUUCGACAUUCUCAGGUUGUCGAUCCUCUUCGUAUACGGCUUGGAGUACAAAGAGAAAGUUUGAGUGAGUCCACCAUAUUGAGUUUUGAUGGAGUUUGCAAUCAUCUCCUGCAAUUGCUGGACAAACAGAGAUGCAAUUGAAGUCGAAUUUUGUGGUUGAAUUUCUUGCAUAAUUGCCUUGCCUUUGUCAACAUUCUUGACAGUAUGUGUGUGACUUGAUUCAGCAACAUCAUGACUCUCGAUCUGAUUCUUUAGAGAUUCAAUCUCGUAGUCCAUUUCUUUAAGCGCCUUCAUGAGCAUGUUAACCCUCUUUUCGAGCUCGACCAUUCUAUUUUUGCUUGUAUCCAUGCCAGUCAAUAAUUGACAUUAUGUUUGGAAGAGGCCCCUCUUCAUUUAAGCGUUCAGAAGAUGAGUUGUGUUCAUCAAUCACAAGAUUUUCUUUGAUUACAAUUCCACUUUUUGGUGGACUGGAGAUUUGUUCCCAAAUAUUCUUUGCGACCUCAAAGUGUGGCACAUCCUCAAAUGAAUAAAAUUUCCUUGAGCGACUGCGAGUAUUUGGUCGCUUGCUGAUGUCACCUAGAGCUUUGGAAGUGUUGCCUUGAAAUGUCACGGCUUUCUUAGAGAUGUCCUUCAAAAAGAGAAAGAGAUGAAAGGUAGAGAUUGUCCCACCGGGCGUGCCAAACUGUUCACACGAGAUUUUGAAGAAAUUUAAUUCAUGGUAUUGAACUUUGUAUAUUGAUGAAUAUUGUAAAUACAAUCUCUAGUGUUUACUCAUUUGAUGGUUUCUCUCAAAUACAAGAUAAAAUAAACUUCAAAACUUCGUAAUCUUCGGUCUUCAAGAUGUUGUAGUUGCAAGUUGAUCUGAGCUUCGAUCUUCUGGAAUCCAAGGAAAGUGUAAUCUCCAAGUCUUCCAUCUUUCAGAAGAUGUUGAUCUCGAGGUUGAUACAGACUUGCACAUCUUGAGAGCUUGUAGAAGUUUGAAUCUUCAACUUUUCAAAGCUUCAGUACUUCAAAGCUUCAAUUCUUCCUUCAAUUCAAGAUCUCCAAAAUGAAUAACAAGGGUCUCUAUUUAUAGAGAAAUUUCAUGAGCUGGUGGGCUUGGGCCUAUUUGCUUGUUGGGCUUGGGCCCAUAUGUUUCUUGGACAUGGGCUUGAGCCUAUUUGUUUGUUGGGCUUGGGCUUGGGCCCAUUUGCUUCUUGGACUCGGACUUGAGCCCAUUUGUUUGUUAGACCACAAUAUUUGCUGUGAUGAUGUGGUGGAAUUUAAUUAGCCAAAAUUGCAUACUCAACAAAGUUAUUUUGAAAAAAGUUGUGAUGUUUUGCAAGUUUACAUAAUGCAUUUGUUUAAAAAUUAUUUUACAAAAUAGUUCAUUUUAGAGAAAUAAUUAAAACCAAUUUUAUUGAAAAUGAAUUAUAUAAGUGAUUGACCCGGGAAUUCACAAUUUUUUUCAUCUUAUAUUAAAAUUACAAAAAUGCCCUUCUUACUACCCUUCCUCUUAUCUUUCUCCCCCACCUUUUACCUAAUCGAAAACUCCUAUAAGUAUUUACUGUAAAUGGGAAUAAAUACAUUAAUGUAGAUUCUGGUUCUCCACAAACGAAAGGAUAUUUAGGUCCUUAUAGAGGUGAACAAUACCAUGUUGCUGAUUUUUGACGUGAAAGCCAACCAAGAGUCAUGAAUGAGGUAUUUAAGGGUAGACAUUCUUCAUUAAGAUGAACAAUUGAAAGAGCAGUUGGUGUUUGGAAGAAUGUAUGGAGAAUUGUUCAGCAAAUGCAUAGUUUUCCAUUUGACAAAUAAGUAAAAGUUGUUGCUUCAAUGGCUCUUCAUAUCUUUAUAAGGAUUCAUUCAAAAAUAGAUUUUGAGUUCAAGUCUUAUGACAACGACAGGAUGCUACUACCUUCGAAUGAUGAAAUAAAUUAUGAGGACAUCAAUUAAGAACGUAGAGGUUUAAUUGGUGAAAUGGAGAUGAAUGAAGAAUGCGAUCGAAUUGUACAACUUCUAUGUCUAGUUGAUAUUAUAUUAUUUAAGAAAAAUUAUUAUUAUUAUGUUUUGUUGUUGGAGAUUAUGAUUACGAAUUUAAAUAUGAAGAUACUCCUACUUCUAAAACGAGAUGAUUAUGAUUAUGAAUUAUAAUUUUAACUUUAAUAAUUUCAAAUUUCUAAAACAGUCAAUAGUUUUAAGAUAUCAGACAAUUAAUGUCAAAAUAUAUUUCUUUUAAAAAAAAAUCGAAAUAUAUGUGUUUCUUUAUGAAACUAGGUUAUAGUGUUUAGUAGUCUUUUAUGAUAAUUUGACUUAAGUAUAAACAAUUUUUAUAUAUGACAAACCAAACAAAAUUAUGCAUAUAAACACUUAUAAAAAGAUAUAACCAAACAUACAAGUGUUUAAAUUUUAAACUCAUUUUCAAGAAAGUGUUUGAAAGGAAAUGUAUUCUUGAAAAAUAAUUUUUUCAAUGCACCCUAAAAUUAAUUUUUACUCAAAUAAUAAUAAUUUUAUGCUUGUAAACAAAAUAAAUAAUCACGUUCCCCAAAUUUGUAGUAAAUUUAUUAUAGAAAAAAAGUGAAUGGAAAUUAAACAAGUUUCAAAGUAUAGGGACGAAAAUAGUAUUUCAAUAUUUUGUAAGUACAAAUUGGAGGUGAGAAAUUUGAACGACUUACUCUUAGUCCUUACCAUUGUCAAUUAAGCUAAAUUGUUUUUGGCUUCUCAUGUUUAUUCUAUAUCUUUCAUUUCUUUUUCUUUAAAGGGAGAAAUGUUUGUUCAAAGUAUAUUAUAGUAUUAAAAUUAUGUUGACAUGUUGGUAUUUCAAUUAAUUUACAAGUUUUCGUGAAUUUGACAUAGACAUGAGACAUGAAUUGUCAUAGAGAAAUCCACAAAACAUAAGAAAAAGUAACAAAAUGUCACUAAUAUAAAUAAUAUACAUGUUUAGUGUUGGUGUAAAUCAACAUGACAUGGACACGAAACAAGCCACACUGGAAGAAAUAAAUCAAGCCACCAAGGAUUUUAACCUACCUUCUAGAAGCUUUUAAGUGGUUAAUUGGAUGCCUAUUAAAAGAGGUCAUCUGUCUUCUAAGUCCUCAUUCCAUUCUUAUUUUAUUUAUAUUAAUAUUUUAUAAGUUGUGAACAACGAGUUUUAAUCUUUUUUUUUUAAGUUCUCUAGAGGUAAUAUUUUGUGUUGGGGAAAUUUUAGAAUCAAUUUUUUUAACUGAGUGAUGGUAGAGCAUUUUUAAUAGGUGUUGGAAAAAUUAUAGAAAUGGCCAUUUAAGGAUUACUUUUAAAUUGGGCGCAAUAUUGUCAUUCUCCUCCUUAUUAUUAGUAAAAAGAAAAGAAAAGAAAAGAAAAGAAAAGAAAACGAGAAAUCUGGUAUUUCUUCUUUCCCUCUCUUCCUCCAUGCACGUGGCCCCUUUGCCCCUCUUCCUCCAUGCAUGCGACCGCUUUCCCCUUCAUCUUUCAAUAUUUUCAUCCGCUCUAAAGUUAAUCAUCGUUGACCUACAGAUCCUUUGAAGCUUUCAAUGUUCGUUUUAGUGGUUGGAACCACCACCGUUCAAUCGUUUUCCUUUCCGAGCCCAACGUCAACGAUCUCGAUUCACACUAGGGGUGCGUUUAGUUCGCAAGUAGUGGAGCUUGGACUAGUUUUGUAUGGACACUAUCAUCAAGACUGCGUCAGCGGUGGUGUUGAUAUCCACCUUGCGCCGCUUGACUCGUCGAUAAUCCCCAACCACACACGGUCCUUGCCUUCUUUUGUCUCAGUCGCGUCAUCCAUCCGUUACUCCAGUACCAAAUAAAUCCUAAUUGCAUUGAUUCGUUUCACUCAGUCUUACUGUCAGUAGUUGGAUCUUGGAGUUUUUGGUAAGGAUUUACUUAUUUUGGUGUAGUUUAGUUGGGUUUCUUGUUCACUUUCAAACACCCACUAAGUUUUGGCUUGAACUAAACAUUACCCAACGUUUUGAUGUUAGAUUUGAAUUCUUUGAGGGGUUUAUCUACUGUCUAGUCGAGAAAGAGCAAAAUUUUGGGUUGUUUGGCACGAACUUGGGUAAGACUUCAAGCUUUAUGGUUUAGGUCUUGAAUACCUAUUUAAUUCUAGUACUAAUGUUGAAUAGCCCAUUAUGUGGAUGCUUGUUUUCGAAGUAAAAAGUCAAUAGGGUGCUUUCGAUUAGGAUUAAGGCUACUCUUAUAAGUGUUUGGUAAGAUUUUGGGUAAUUUCGGUAAGAUUCGUCAAUAUCCAUUGAAUUUUGACUUUGAUUUUGCAAUAUCCAUUAGAUUUCGUUGUUAGGCUUGGAGUUUUGGUAGAUUUUAGUCGUUGUCCAGCUGCGAGGAGACUCAAAAUCGGAUGUUGGCACAAAUUUGAGUAAGCUUCUAAGCUUUAUGGAGUGAGUCUUGAGUACCCAUUUAAGUGUAGUGCUAAUAUUCAGCAUGAAGGGAUAAAAGCCCUAUGGCAGCGGAAUAAUUUAAUGAACCGUUUUUAAAAUUAAUUUGGGAAUCUUAAAAUACUGGUACAUUGGCAAAAUUUUAGAAUCAAAAUUCUAAAUAGAUUCUAAGUAUGCUUUUAAAGAUAAGAUACGAGAAUUUACUUUUGAUUACGUUUCUGAAUUUACAAAUCAAUCUCCAAAUUGGGACACCAUCUGUCGAAGACCUUCCUAUCCUCUAGGAUGAGUUUGGUUUGUGGGAACCAAUUGGGAUGGGAAAAAGGUUUAGAGAUAUUUGAGAAAAACUCUUUUUGCGGAGAGAAAAAGCUUUGGUUUUUUGCUCUUAAUGAGCUUGGCUUAAGAAAACUAUUUUUUUCUAGAUAUUUAUAGCUCUUUUUCCUUCUUGGAAUAGGAAAAGGAGUAGGAGAGAAUCAUGAGAUUCUUAAUAUCAAAUCUACUGAUUAGUUAAUAAUUAAUUAAUUAGUUAAUAAUUAAUUAAAUUAUAUUUAAUUAAUAUUUCAUUCAAAUCUUAUUUGAAUAAAAAUCUCUCAAAUCUCUUAUUAAUAUAAUUAAUUAAAUCAUAUUUAAUUAAUAUCUCUGCAAUAUCAUUUUAUAAAUUUAUUAAAUCAAAUUUAAUUAAAUAAAACUAAAUUAUUAAUUAAUUCUCCAAUUAAUUAAUAGCUAAGUUAAAUAUAAGAUAUUUAACUGAAAUUAAAUUUGAAUCGUUUCUCUCGUAACCAAUAAUUUUAAUAUGAAUCCAAUUCACAUUAAUAUUUUAACUCAUUCAAAUAUUUUCUCUUAUAAAUUAAUUUUGAAUCAUAUCCAAAAUUAAAUAUAUAAUAAAGUUUCACAAACUUUAUAUUAUAAUGUAUCACUAUACAUUAAACUAAUUCUCUAAGUAUAUUUGAACAUUUCAAAUUACAACCAAUAUAAAUAAAUCUCAUUACUCUUUACGAGCUAGGAAGGGGACCUAAUGGACCUACAGAUCAAAAGCUAAAACGAUUUGAGAUUAAUUGGCUAAACUCAUUAACCACAUUAAUCAAUAUUCGUUAACUGUGUGUACACUCUACGAAAGACUCACAGCUGAACUCUUCUCACUGUAGAUAUAUUUAUGUGUCCACGGAUAUAGACCAAUAAUAGUAAGUUAGUCCUUCACGAGUGUUCGUAACACCAGCUGGAUCAAUUUACCAUUUUACCCAUGGGUUACCUCUAAUCCUUAAAUACCAGUGCUCCUCUAAUGAACAACCUGUUUAUGGUCCUACCAAUAAACAGAAACCCCUCUCGUGCCAUGGAGAGGGUAGGGCCCUUUGUUCAAGACCUGGAGACACCAUUUAAGGGAACACUCAUGGUUUUUAAAUGCUAGGAGUCGAAAAGUUGAAGGUUGUUCGAGGAUUGUCCAUUGGGGUUAAGGCUACUUUGUUAAGUUAUUGGUAUGGUUUAAAAUGAUUGUAUUGAGUUUUCUUAGAGUUCAUGAAUGCCCAUUAAGUUAAGCAUUAAGAUAAAAUUAUCCAUGCUACUCAGGUCCUAGAGUUGAAUGUUAAAGGUUGAAAAUGAGCCUUCUUUUAACUUUGAAGUCUCACUUGGGUGCUACUUCUAUAAGAUUCGAAACAUAAGAUGAUUUGGGUGAUCUUAGGAAGUGACUUAAGGUUGUUUGUUCCCUGUUGAUAUAAUGCAAUGGUAAUGGAGAUAAAGUACCUACAUGAAAGACCAAUUGAGCUUGAACUAAUUUAGAUACUCAUUGGGUUAAAUAUCUAAAUUUCAAGUCUAAGAGUUUAUAGGUGAAAAGUUUAGUCUAGUCCAAGGCGAUUUGAGAAUUCAAAGACUAGUUUUAAAUUGGGGACAAUAUGGUCAUUCUCCUUCUCCUUCUCCUUCUUAUUAGUACAAAUAAAAGGAAAGAAAAGAAAAGGAGAGAAUAGAAUUUCUUCUUUCCCCCUCUCUCUCCACUCUCCACGCACGGGACCCCUUUCCCCUUCAUCUCUCAAUCUUUUCAUUCGCUCUAAAGCUAGCCACCGUUGAUCGAUCGAUCCUUCAAAACUUCUGAUGUUCAUUUCAGUUGCUGGAAGCACCACCAUUCAAUCGUCUUCCUUCCCGAGCCUGACAACGACGAUCUCGAAUCACAUUAGGAGUGCAUUUAGUUCGCAAGCAGUGGAGCUUGGACUAGUUUGGUAGCACACUGUCAUCAUGAUAGUGUCAACGGUGGUGUUGAUAUCCACCUUGCGCCACUUGACUUGUUGGUAAUCCCCAGCCACCCGUCGUCCUUGUCUACCCUGCUGCUCCGUUGGGUACAGGUUUGUUGGCUUUACUUGCGAUUUUUGGUAAUAUAUGAUUUUAACAUUUGAAUUAUUAUGUCGUUAUUGAUGUCAUAUUUAAACAGCUUGAAAGUAUAUUUUAUGAGCUUUUACUUUUAAAACGGGCCACUCACUAAGUUUUAAUGCACACCUUCAUUAUUUUCUCCCCCUAGGUAGCGGUAAAGGAUUAGACAUUGGUUGAGCUCUCAGUUUUUUACUAUACACUCUCAUUCUUUUGUAUGUAUAUACUUAGGUGUUAUAUUACAAUAUGGGGUGGUUAGAUGUAACAUCAAUGCCGUUAAGGACUCAUGGUUUGGAAGAUUCCUCAUUAGACUGAAAUCAUUUUGUAUGUAACAUUUAGUUUGAAAUUUAACUCUACUUGAAACUCUAGAAUAGUUUGGAUAUGUGUAUGGUGAGACACACUUGUUGUGUUGUGGAAUUGAAGUCUGUUUAUAUACUUUUAGAAGAUUCCUUUUCAGGUUUGGCUAACCCAUAUUUAGGGAAGGUGCUGUCAAUUUUUUUUGUAGAAUUUCUUAUUACAUAUUCUAUAAAGUUUAAGUUGAAAAAGUUGUUUUUAAAAGUGUUUUAUCAUGUCAUGAUCUAGGUUAGAGAGGAAAACCUAGAUCGAGGUGUGACAUGUCCUCUCACAAUUAUAUCAUAUAUUGUUUAUUAUACUUUUCAUUAUUUCUAUUUCUAAAUUAAGGGAUAUUUGAUGUAUAAAAUUGACCAAUGGUCAUUGUUGAUACACAAGAAAUAAUAGAAAGGAAAUUUCCAAAUUUCUAAAGAUAUAUUAAAACCCUAUUUUGGUAUAGAGCAAUUAAUUACCAAUGCCUCCUCCUUCAAUGUAAAUCUCGGUUUUCCCUCAACCGAGUUUUCAAACCCUUAAUCAACUCCACCACUAUCAAAUUAGAUCAAAGCGACUAUCUCUUAUGGAAAACACUUGCUCUUUCGAUCCUCAUAGGCUAUAAACUCAAAGGACACCUUACCGACUAGAAGCCUUGUCCCCCAAAGUCUGUUCUUGUGUGAAGCAACACCAAUACCGUAUACGUCCCUAUAAUCGACGCUGAAGAAGUCGAAGAAGCUAGACAAAUAGCAUUAGUGUCAUCAUUCAGCUCGACUACUACCAUUAACUAACCUUUGUUUGAACAAUGGAUUAGUGUUGAUUUAUUAUUGCUUGGCGGGUUGUACAACUCUAUGACACUAGAAGUAGUUAUUCAGCUAAUGGGAUUUACAAAUGCAAAUGAUAUGUGGGAAGUAACCCAAGAUCUAUUUAGAGUCCAAUCUAGAGCCGAAGAAGAUUUCCUUCGGCAAACAUUUCAUACAAAUAGAAAAGGUAAUAAAAAAAAUGGAAGAUUAUUUGCAGAAUAUGAAAACUAACGCGAACAACCUUGGUCAAGCCGGUAGCCUAGUACCUCAUCAUGCCCUUGUUUCACAGGUAUUAUUGGGAUUAGAUGAAGCGUAUAACUUGGUCAUUGUUCUUAUCCAAGGAAAGUUGGAGACAUCUUGGCACGACAUGCAAUCUGAGCUUCUAAUAUUGAAAAACUGUUGGAUCACCAAAACACUCACAAUAUUACUGGUUAUUAAUUCCAAACGCUACUGUUAAUAUGACGCAAACUCAAAAUUCAAAUGAUUCUAGAUCUCACAGCAGCUUACAAUUCCAUGAGAACAACAUAAAAAACUUUAAUAGGCACCGAGGAGGAUAGAAUAAUAGUAGAGGUUUUGGUGGAGGACAAAACAACAAACCUACGUGCCAAGUUUGUGGUAAGUAUGGUCAUUCCAUACUUAUAUGCUACAACCGUUUUAAUAAAGAAUAUUUGAGUCCUUUAGCCGAACAACGAGGGGGAAAAAUUCCAACUCUCAGGAAAAUCAGAAUCCAACAACCCUUGUUGCUCACAACAUGAACCCCCUUGCUAUACUAAAAACACGGUGAUUGAUGAGAACUAAUAUGUUGAUAGCAGAGUGAUAAAUCGGCUAGAGAUGUCCAUUUAACCAGUGGGAUCGGGGCUCACGGGAACCCGACUCGAAUGAGGCGAGGCAUCCCCGAAUACACAGGGAAAGAGGGAGGGAGUGAAAGGGUUUUUUCCCCAUUGGCAAAUCGAGGUCGAGGUCGAGGAAUGUAUUCCUCAGCCCCGCCUUGCCUCGCCCAAAAAAACAUAUAUAUAUAUAUAUAUAUAUAUAUAUAUAUAUAUAUAUAUAUAUAUAUAUAUAUAUAUAUAUAUAUAUAUAUAUAUAUAUAUAUAUAUAUUAUUUACUUAAUUAAUUAAUUAAUUAAUAAUAAGUUAAAAAAGUUACCUUUACCUUUAGUAAUACAUUGUCAGUAAUACUAACCCUGAAUUAUUUUCUCUUCUACCACAUUUGAUAUUUUGAUUUCUCUUUCUUUUUUUUUUUCUCUGUUUUCUUUUCUUUCUUCAUCUCUAUGUCACACCCAAAACCGUACGGUGACGAUAAUGCCGAAGUAGUAGGAAUAGGAUGCGAGUUUGUUACCAACCUUGAAAUUUUCUUAUCGCAAAAUCUUAUUUUCAACCCCUUUUACAAAACUCAAAACGCAAUGGUGGUCAACCUAAACGCCAAGUAUAAUAAAUACAUACCAAAAUAUAUACUUUAUUGAUAACAUGUGUUUGAUACAUAAUUACAACACUUUGACCAAAUAACUAAUGCUUAACUAUUUCCAAAACGUCUGGAAUCAUCUCGCCACAAAUCCUUCAACCUUUUUCUCUACUUGGCCCGAACGCCUGAUCUUGAAAGAUGAAAAUUUUAAAACGUAAGUCUAAAUGACUUAGUGAGGUUUUAUGAAAUCCUUUUCUCAAUGCCGUUUGAUAAAUCCUUUUCGUCAAAUCAUAAAUAUCAAUUAAACACUUUAUUUCCACAAAACGCAUGUAAUCAUUUUCACAAUAGAAUUAAAUCGUCUCGCAAAUCAUAUCAAAAUACAUUUCGCAUAAACACUAAUUCCCAUAACACAUCUUUUUCGCAUAACAUAAUCAUGUCAAACAAACACACAUUAGUUAAUUAUUCUUUUUGCCAAGGAUCCAGAAUCGUUCUCUAUGCUUGGUCUCAUUACCUCGCGUUUAGACUACUGUAUGAACAGCAUCCGAGAACAUAUAGAUUCGUUCUUGUAGCUCAGGCCGCUAACUUUUACGCUCCUUUCAAAGCAUAAGCUAACUACUUAUCACCAUGUAACCCGUACACCCCAUGGUGGUCUUGAUUCUUUAUGUGCACAUAAAAGUUAGCAUCAUCUCAAAGAAACAACUAAUGGUUUGAAAAACAACUAAUGGUUUGAAAAACAUUUUAUAGUAUGAAAAUCAUAAUCAUCAAAUCAAAAUUUAACAUUAUAAAUCAUGCUUGAAAACAUAUAAACUUUUCCUAGAAAUCUCUUUUGAAACACUUUUUAUUUGAAUUCUUCUUUCAAAUCAGUAAAAAGAUAUCAUAAUAAAGUUUUUAACAUAAAUUCAUUUGAAAGAAAAUACUCAAAAAGCUUUGAAAGAAAAGCACUCACCACACUUUACCAAAAAUCUUCCUCUUCUUGUUUUUCUUGUGGAACAAAUCGUCGUACUUAAUACUUUGUUUUCUUCUUCUCACGAAAGCAAAACAAUAGCAUUUUAGCUCUUUUUUUUUGUUUUUAUAAAAUCUUUUGUGCUUACUUAAUGACCAAGUCCUCUAUUUAUAGAGUACUUAAACUAUUUUAGUCAUGCUUAAACUCUUUUUAGUUUUCCAGCUUCUGCUUAAAACUUUACACAUGUAAAUUUAAUACUCAACUCAACCUUGCUUAACUCCUUAAUCUUACACGUUAAUCCUUGUCAAAUCAUAUUUGACAUUUUUCACCAGACCUUACUUCUUGCCUAACCCCAUACUACAAAUAACUUUAACCAGUUAACACUUCUCGCGAAUAAUAUACAUACAUAUAGUUAGCUUAUAUAUAUAUCAAUGAACCAUAUACACACAUAUAGUUAGCCUAUACUUCUAACAAUAGUCUAAACUUUCCAUCUAUGUGUAGCCUAACUAUAGGUGUAUCAACAAAAUAUCAACUAAACUAAUUCACCUAGCUAUAUCAAGUAUAUCAACAAAAUAUCACACCUAUAUCCAGUAUCAACAAAACUUGUCUAUCUAACCCAAAAUAUAAUCACCAUAAAUCAAAUGUGGCCACCCAAAAAAUCAACAAGCUCCAUGCGCACUUCAUCCAACUCGAAUUGACUAUAUAGGCUCUUUGUAUCAAUGUGAUAUGGAACCCAAAAUAUUAAAGCUAACACUUUGAUUACUUGAAUUGAUUAUUUUAAUACUUUGAUUACCACUACAUAGAAAGAAUAUAAGUAGAUUGCCUUAACAUAAUCCAUAACAAGUUUCUCUGUGCUAAAUCAAAAGUAAACUAUAACAAUUCAAAGUAACAUAUCACCUAUAGCUUAUUUUAUUUCCUAAAAAAACAUAAUAUGAUCAAAACUAAACGGAGAGCACAUUAAAGUAUGAGUUAUGUGCUUCAAUAUCAAUGGAAGAAGAAGCAAUACAAUUUAACUCAAAGAAACAUAAUAUGAUCUAAAAUCUUAAGAUUCAAUUCAAAGAAACAAAUUGCCUUAAAAUAACUCAAAACAAGUUUCUAGAAAUCAAAAGUAGACUACAACAAUAAAAGUUGACCCUCCCCCCAUAUUGCCUUAACAUAAUCUAAAAUCCUAAGAUUCAAUUCAAAUAAACAAAUCAUCUAUAGCUUAUUUUAUUUCCUAAAGAAACAUAAUAUGAACAAAGCUAAACGGAGAGCACAUUAAAGUAUGAGCUAUGUGUUUCAAUAUCAACGAAAGAAUAAACAAUAAAAUUUAAUUCAAAGAAACAUAAUAUGAUCUAAAAUCCUAAGAUUCAAUUCAAAGAAACAAAUUGCCUUAACAUAAUCUAAAAUCUUAAGAUUAAAUUCAAAGAAACAAAUCACCUAUAACUUAUUUUAUUUCGUAAAGAAACAUAAUAUGAUCAAUGCUAAAUGGAGAGCACAUUAAAAUAUGAGCUAUGUGUUUCAAUAUCCACGGAAGAAGAAGCAAUACAAUUUAAUUCAAAUAAACAUAAUAUAAUCUAAAAUCCUAAGAUUCAAUUCAAAGAAACAACCAAGCAUGUUUGGUAACUCCACAAACUAUAAAGUAAAUAAAUAAAUAAAUAAGCCUUGCUAGUUGCUUCCCAAAAAACAAUAAGUCUUGCUAGUUGUUUCGCUCUUCACUUCUUUUGCAAUUCUUCUAUUCUAAAAAUUAUCCAAAGCUCUACAUAAAAAGUACAAUAGACAAGUUCAUACUUUGAACCUAAAACAAAGUGAUUAUAUGAAAAAAGAUACCUAUAGAUAGGCUCCAUUCUUAAGUUUUAGGUGCACUUUAUUUUCCAAUCACGAAGGAGAAGAAUUUUCUUGUAUUGAACAAAUAUAGUGUUUAGGUUUUGUUACAUUGAUUCUAAGUAAAAAAAAAGAAUUAAGCAUCUUAAACGUAGAAGUCGAAAUUGGUUAUUAAAUAUUGAUAGAUUAAAAUCAAAGCUAAAGUGGUUGAAUGCACAAAUUCCAUUGAAUCCAUAACAAACCUUUCUAGCUCCACUUAUGGUACUCUCUGUCACAAGACCUAGGAAAAUGGUUCUUCUAAAUGAAUGUUGAACUUCGAUAAAUAUUUCUUCUCCCAAAAACAAUAUAUUUAUAAUUUCAAUUAUAAAACAAACAAAUCAGUGUGUAUGGAGUAGUAGAUAAAAAUUUAACUAGCACUUUAAAAGACGUACUCUACUCAUUGUUGGUGCACUGCUGCCCAAAAGUCCAUCAUCAUCACUUAAAUGAAUUAAGAGAGAAAAUGUGAGAAGGGUUAAAGCGAAAGAAUCAGUCCCAACCAAGUAUAUGGAAAACCAUUGGAAAAACACCAAGGUAAGCAUGCUAGCAACUUAUUUAUUAUUUCUUUGGUGCAUGGAAAAUGUAUUUGAAUGUAUUAUCGAGAAGUCAUUACAUGAAGUUGUUAGACAAAUUCAACAGCAAAAACCAUGUUAAUCAUGUCCUAAAACCAGCAAAAACAUGUUGGAAUUUAUGUCAUAAAACUCAUAGUUUGUAUUCAAAAUUCUGUUCAAUAAAAUCGUCUCAUUGAUACUAUAAUCUGAAAGCCAAUAAACUAAUGUUUCGAGGCUAUUAUGUAGACUUGAACUUUAUGUACAGACAUAAAAGUGGAUCAAGUUUGAGUCGUAGCCUAAAUGAUCUAUAGUAUAUGGAUAAGGUUAGGCGCCUUUUUCGAGAGAUACUAUUGAUGCGGUCUACUAUGUAGUUAGUACAAACGAUGUGAUCCUAAAUCGUUCAUGUAGAGACAUGGAAGUGGGGCAUCCUAUGUAAAUAGUUUACAUAAGACUGGAACCGUGAGAUAAUCGCUUUUAAGUUAUAUCACUGUUAACUUUAUGUAAAAGUGACUAUUUCGUUUAUAGAUAUCCAAUGUAACUUAAUCUUAAUCUUGAGCUAACUAUGAACUUUUUCUCACACGAAAUUAUCCUUAGAUCUGCAUAGGUGAGGGCAGCUCAAUGGCGCUGGCCCAAUAAGCCUCCCAUUUCAAGGGUAAGAUCAGGUGGAUAGCUAGGGACAUAGGGUGUAAGAUGAAAUUCACUCCUACCCACUCUAGGGUUAGUAUAUAGGUUUUUUCCUUAAGGACUGAAUCCAGGUCUUGAACAAGGGGCCCCACCCUCUCAUUGGCCCUAGAGGGAUUCAGUUUAAAGGUUGGACCUUAAACCAAUUGUUCAACAGUGGAUCAGUGAGAUUUAAGAAGAAAAGAUAUAAUCUCGGGGGUAAAACGGUACUUUGACCCAGCCGAGAUUAUAGACAACCUGUGAAGGAUUAACUUACUUAUCAUGGAAAUAUCACAUGGACACAAAUAUAUCUAUAGUGAGGGUAGUGCAACUACGAGACUUUAGUGGAAUGACUCGUUAGUUAACGAAGGUUGAUUAACUCGGUCUAAAAAGUUCAGCUAGUUAAUCUUGAAUCGUUGGAGCCCAUGAUCUAUAGGUCUAUCAGGUUCCCCCGCUAGCUCAUAAGGAAUCAACUUAGAACAUUAUGAUGGAAUAAUUCGAAUUGUUCGAAUUAGGUAAAGAGAGAGAAACCGACAAAUAUAUCUAAUAUAUUCAUCGGUUACAACUUAAGAUAGAUCUUCAUGUUUAAAUGUGAUUUAAAUAUGAAUAUGGAUGAGUUUGGAAGCUCGAAAUUGAUGAAAAAGGUCAAAGAAGUAAAAAGUCAAAAUGUUGAAUUUUGACUUUGAAAAAUCAAACUUUGACUGACUUUAUAUUCAAAUGUGAUUUGAAUUUUGGAGAAAUGAAUACGGAUUCAUGUUUGGGAGGCUGAAAUUAGUCGAGACGGACAAAAUGGAAAAUGACAUAACUCAUUUAUUUAUAAUUUUUUAAUUCUCACAAAUAUUAUGUGAGCUCAUGAUUAGUUAAUUCAGUUUUGUUGGUUUUAUGCCUCAUCAAUUAGGAUUAGAAUUUGAGUUUUUAGCCAUUUGUCCGAUUGAAAUUCAAACAACUUACGUUGGUAUUUUCUUUCUUGUUUUAAUAUUUCAAGUUUACAUAGAUAUAAUUUUAAACGGAUUGAUAUGAUAUCCAAAUCAUAUAAUAUUUGCCAAAACAAACUUAACUAGUUAGCAUACUAAUAUAUGUCAAUCUAAAAUUUUAUAUUAUAAGGCGUACCUGUGUAUAAGUUUAAAAUUUUAAUCCAUAUAGUUCUCAAACUUUGAGUAAUAUACUUAUCAAUCAGAUCUCAAGUUAUGUAGCUAAUAAUUUGCAUCAUACAUGUUCUAUUUCACAAAGUUAAUGUAAUUAUUAGUUACAAAUUUUAAAUUUUAAGAUUUGUCUAAUACAAUGAUUAGUUUUUCAAACAAUUUUUAUAUUAUGAAAAUUUUAAAUUCUACAUUGAAAGAGAUAUAUCUAACAUGCUUAUUAGAGUAAAAAUUUAAAUAUUUUAAAUAUCUAUUUGUCCUAAUUUAAAAUACUAGGAUUAAACUGGUACUAAAUUGUAGGAGUGAGUAUGAUAGACUAAAAAACUAAGUCAAUCGACCAAUUUAUCGAAGUUGGUCGAUCGAAGUUGAUUUCGAAAAGUUUCAAAUCAAGAAUUUCUAAAAAGUAUUUUCAAAUAUUAAACUAAUCCGUCAAAAAUCGACCGACCUCUACUCAUCGAAGUCGAGGUCAGUUUGACACUUUACUAAACAAACUAUGGUCGAUUUAGGGUAGUUUUUUUUUCUUUCAAAAACCGUCUUCCACCAACUAAUAAUCAACCUUACUAAAUUGAAUAUAAUUUUAAAAUAUUGAUACAGUACAUAAUAAACAAAUUAUUUUAUCACCUAACAAAUAGAGCAAAUACUUGUUUUAAAUCAAAGUGAGGUCACUGACUUUAUAUUUAAACAGUACGGACAUUCAUUUAUAUAUUUUAUAAAAAAAACACAAUAUACAGUUGAGGUAAGGUGGGCACGUGCCACUUCCUCUUCUUAGAUUCCCCUGUUUUAAUGGUCUAAUAUGCUUCAAAAAAACACAUUUACAAUUUUUGUUAUGUAAAAUAAACUAAUGUUGCUAUUUUUUUCUUUUUAAAUAUAUAUAUUAUAUAUAGAACAUAUAUAGUAUUGAAUUUUAUGUCCUAAAAUUCGUAGAUAAUAUAUGUCAUUUGUUGACCGUCAUUAAUAAAAUGUUAUUUUUUUAAUUUCAAUAAAGUGUUAUUGAUUAUUAGUUUUGUUUUAAUAAUCUAAAUGUAAUCAACUUAAGGGACACAAGUUUCCAUAGUUACAAUUUUAAACACACCAAUAUGAUAUUUAUAUCACAUAAUAUUUGCUAAAGCGAACUUAACUAGCUAGCAUACUAAUAGAUGUCAAUCUAAAAUUUUAUAUUAUGGGGCAUACUUGUAUAUAAAUUAAAAAUUUUAGUCCAUAAACUUCUAAAUUGAUGUCAUAUAUAGUUCUGAAACUUUGAAGCAUAUAUUAGAUCAAUGAGAUUGCAAUCUGCAUGUCUAAUAAUUUGUACCAUACAUGUUUUUUUUAUAAAAAUAUUGAAAUUGUUAGAAUCUUGAUUUGUAUGUAAAGAAAUACAAAAAUUAAUGUUCAAGAUACAACUUAAAAGGGUAUUUGAAAGAGGGAGAGGAUUAGAGGAGGAAAUGGUUAUUUAACCCAAUCCAUGUUUGGGGGAAAUGUAAGGUUAGGGUUUCUAAUCCCAUUUUGGCUUCUUCUCAACCCAGGUUCACUCUCUCACUUUCCCUUCUUAUUCCUUUCUCCACCCGUCCUAGCCCCCUAAAUUUCUCUUCUAAAUUUAUCCCGACUCCCCGAAAGUACUCUUUCCUCGUCAUUUUUUGCUUCAUCUUUCACUGGUCGAAGGUCAGUUUCUUUUUAACCGUUUUCAAAUGCUCUGUCUUGUCCUCCCCUUCCAAUAGUUGGUUUCAUUUUUAUGAACCCAACCAAUUUUUUCCCUAAACGCAUAUUUGGGAUAUCAAAGGAGCGUUUCGUUGAUGGAAGCCUUCGAACGUGUUGCCUUCGAAAUGCUUCACCAUCCAUCUUAUUUUGGGUUUUGCUGACUGACUUCUGUUGCGAUGAUUGAAGCCUCUGAACCCUUACCAUGACCCACUUGUAUGGCUGCUCGGACAACCCCUUCACAAGCAAAUUUCCCUUUGUCGCUCGCCCUUUCCAUUGUCGAUUGAGGUUGCCUAUUAGUGAUAAAAAUAGAUACUACAUCCGUUUGGUAGUGUUUGAGCCGAACACGGUAGAGAAGGAGGUGAGUUUUUCUUUAUAGUUUUCCAUUGUUGAUGAUGAGGUCCCCACUUUUUUCUUUUUUUUUUGAUUCAUUAUCAUUAUUUUACCAACAUAUAUUUUUUUAAUUGGUGUGAAUUUGUAUUUUGCUAUUUUUUUCAUGUUUGAUUUAGCUGUCUAUAUUCUAUUUGCCCACUCAUAGCUUAGCCAUUACUUCUAGUAUGUGUAUGUUGUGAAUAUUUGUGCACUUUCCAUUGCAGUAUACUUCAAUAUAUUUUUUCCCUAGCUAGCCUUCGAUGUUUCAUUCCCUUCAUCUAUGUAAAUACACACCAUGUGCAUUGUGUGGCAGGUAUACUGCAUUUAACUUUGACAAAAUUUUCUAGUUAUCUAACUUUUCUUUUUCCAUAUGUUAUGUGUUGGCUUUUCCAUUAUCAUCAGUCUAUGCUCAAAUUUGGUUGUUUAGGGGUCUUCAAUGCAUCAUUACUUCUUACAUUUCCCAGCCAUAUAUACUUGUUAUGCCAUUAUGCCUUAUGUGUGUUUUCUCCUCGGUUCAUCUUCAUAGAAACUCUUGAUUACUCAAUUCUUUGGUAUGUAUAUGCAUAAAUGUGGUUUGUGUUCCAUUGUGUGUUUGGUCUUCACAAUCUACUUAUGUACUUGUCAUUGAUUGAAGUUGUGAUCCAUGUUAGGCCACUUGUUGUUUAUUUACAUGCAUUUUCAUGUCACCAAUUCCAUACUACCCGCCUUUUUCCAUUAUUGUUCUCCAUUCCAAUAACUUUUAUUUCUCCACAUUUUCGACUAUUGCAUAUUUGAAGCCCUUGGUCCAUUGUUUAUGUUCAUUUUCAUGCCUUUCAUAGCACCACAUUUGCUACUACUAUAUUUUUUAGCAUUUUUUCCAUAUUUUUUGUUCAUGUGUACGUCUUUCUUAUCAUCUAGCAUUGCAUAUUGCAUAUGUGGUGCUAUGAAAUGUCUUCACAUUUGUUCCACUCCAUGAAAUUCGAUUUCAAAUUUUGUGCACCUUUUUUUUCCUCCAUCCACCAAGUACGUAGGAAUAUGUAUUAAAAUAAUGUGUUUUUCCAAACUUAUUAGAUAAAUAAUGCUGAUUGGAAACUAAUUACAAAAAUAAUGCAGUUUUGGAAGAGAGAAGGUCGAGCAUUGAACUUUGACCUUUAUUUAAAAAAAAAGGAAGGGGGUGAGUUUUGAGUCUUCAAGACUUGCCCUAAUUAAAUAUAUAUAUAUAUAUUCGAGUCAUUUUGCGCAAUAGCAGGAAAAACAUGUAUGGUCAAAUCACUUCUUUCCCAUGAAGCUUUUCUGUGGGUAGGUUGAGUAUUUAAAGCUCCACUUAAUUAUAUAUAUAUAUUUAUAUUAUGGCCAUUAUGCGUAACGACAAGAAGAGUAGACAUUCAUGCAUGGUCAAAUCGUUUUUUUCUUGUGAAGAAGGGCGAGUACUCUCUCUUCUCUUUUAUAUCCUUCCUCUUCAUUCUCAUCUUACCUCUUGGCCAUUCUUCUCCCAUUCAGAUCAUCUUUCACAAAAUACUCUCAGCUCUUCUUCUUUAAUUCCCAUCUUUCACAAAUCCUCUCAUCCUUCAAAUUACCUCUCAAUUUUCCUUCCCAUUUUCCCUCCAAUCCCCAUCAUAUUUUCAUCCUUAAUAUUUAAAUCAGGACGUUGGCUGCUCCUCGUUGCAAUCAGUCUCAAUAGCUUGGCAACUCAACUGGAGAAUUGAAAAAUGAUUAAGAGAGUCGAGUUGUUACAUUUUUACCUUUUAUUCUUAUUUUAUUAUGAUUUUUUGUUUUUUUUAUUUGAUUCAUAUCGAGUGUUCGUAUUUUUUUAUUGGUACAUUUUUUAAAUAUGUCAUCAUGCAUUUUACACACACUCACAAGUCCUCUACUCAGGCUACAACUUUAUAGUAUUAGGAUUGAGGAAUGAGUAGUGUUAACCUUCAAGAGAUUUCGACUUCCGUGUAGGCACAAGAAAAAUGUUCGUUCAGAUUAAUUCUUUUGUUAUUUCUUAAAUUAACAUUAGAACAAGUUUGAGGGUCUUUCCCUUCUAGAAGUUUAGAUGAUACAAGACCGUAACAUUUUCUAUUUGGCAUAUUUUAUCUAAAAGUCAAACGGUCAAAAUUAUUAUUGUUUUUUUUUAAACAAAGUUACAUGUUUCUAAAAUUUGAAAUCAUACCAUAUUUCCUUUAUUUUUUUAAAAAAAAGGGGUUAAAUCACAAUAUUUUUUACAUUAUUUUUUUUAAGGAAAGUUUGAUUUUAGUUAUUAUUUAUCUUAGUUUCCUUGAAAUUGGUUCUUUGGCUUCGAUCAUAUAUAGUUAGGGUAGUAUUUACCUUGUAGAAGCACGUGAAAACGGUAACAUCCCAAAACUAUUAAGAUAAUUUUUAAUUUUAUUUUGUUGAAAUUGGGUAUUAAUUGAGAUUUGAUGUUAGAUGAGUUAAGUAUUUAAGGAAGAAUUGUUAAUUAUUUGAGAGUUUUGGUUAUUAGUUGUUAAUUAUGCAAUUAAUUUUCGAAAGAGAAAAAAAAAAAUAUUUAAGGAUAAUAUAAUUAUUAAAAUGUUAUAUCGUGAUUUUGGUGGAAUAAAAAGAGGAAAAGUUGUUUUAAUGGGUAAUUAAGGUGGAGUGAGCUUUAUUUCGAAACGUAAAAAGUGAAAGAAAAAUUAAUUAAAAGAUAUAAUAAUGAUAUUUAUUAUUAUCAUUAUUAAUAAUAUUAUCAUUAUUAAAUAAGCCUUCUCUCGUUUUACGUGCAUCAUCUUCUCCACCACAUUGAUUCUCCUUCACCAUUCAACCUUAGUCGCCGCCGCAUUGUGCGUCAGGUCACCACCGUUGCGCAAUCAUCGUCGGGGACACAACUCGCAGCCAGUCAUCACUCGUUAGUCGAGAUCUACUCGUUGGUUGCCAAAUCGAGCAUCUCUCAUUGUCUUCAUAAUCACUUGAAACCGGCUGCCCCUCCUUCGUCGAAAUUGUCGUCGGCCGUAACCCUCUCCUCCGUCGAAACCAUCAUGGGUCGUAGCCUCCACUUGCACAGUGUCGCUGGCCAUCGUUGCGCUUGACGGUCAAGGACGCAAGCCGAGCUGGUCUUCUUUUCGCAAGCCAUACGUCCAAGUUGCGUUAGUCUGAGUCGCGUGAUCCACGAUCUCUUGCACGAGUCGUCUUUGUUUUUCUGAGCCGCGCGCCCGAGCCGACUACCCUGCCGAGCUGUUCCCUGUUUUAGAGUCACUUUUAGUGAGUUUUGCUUAGUAUUGAUUGAGUUUGCUACCCCCAUUAAUUACUUAUUUUGUCCCAAAUGAAUUAAGUUAUGGAUUUAAGUGGAUCUAUGUUUGCUUGAAGGAUAAGUAUAAUCGAAGGAAUUGAGGCUGUGAAUUUUUUCAUUUAAGGUUAUGUUGGAUUCAACUUUAAUCUUGGGGUAAGUUUGGAUAAGCUUGGUUGCUUAGUUAAACAAUAGGGUGAUGAUUGACAAAAAAAUUUAAUUUUAAUUUUGUUUGUGUUUAGAACUGAGUCUUGGAAGGAGUUGACUGGCAACCAACAAAUUAUUAUCUUUAGCAAAUCUCCAGGUAAGAGAUUUUCCUAUUAGACCCCAUUUAGCAAAUCUCCAGAUAUUGGAUUUUCCUAUUAGACCCCAUUUUGGAAGCUGCAUGUAUGUUUUGUAUUAUUCAGUAGUGUAGCUAAGGGUGAUAAAAUAUGACUAUUUGACAUGCCCUUAUAAAGGGUUCGUUCGAUAAUCAGAUUAUAACUAAUGUAAGUACGAUUGAGGCAUACCAUGAUUAAAUAUGUUAUGUUUGAGUUAUGUUUAAUCGAGUUAUGAUAAUGAUGUUAUGAUUUAUAUGUAUAGGCUAUAGUGUUAUGUUAAGUCUAUCUGUUAGAGUCGUACCAUAUGGGCAUCCCUCGGGAUCACCACCUAUGAAUGCUUGUGUGGCUAGUUUUGAUGUAUGAUUUGAUGAGAUCACUUACAGCCUGACUCUCCUUUAGGGUGAUUCAGUCAGAUUCAUUGAGAGCCGAGAUGUGUCUCUACGGGACCACUGGAUAUCGGGCAUUCGAGAGCACAAUAGUAAGAGGUACUUUAUUAUAGGAUUCUAACGAGAUGUUAACAGACACAUAGCGGGAUUAAUAAUGUGUCCUUACUGGGUAUAAAUUUAUACUCAUUCUUUUACAUGUUUAAUUUCUACUGGUAAAGGUAAAGGUAACAAGUUGGCGAAUGACAAGAAGGGACCGUGGUUCACCGUAGGGAAUAGUUUCAGAUUUCUUCCACACUUACAAGUAAUUACAUUUUGGGCCUCAAACUAGUAUUUUAAUUAGCUAUUUUGAUUAUUUAAUUAAUUAUUUCAUUCUCUUUAUAUAUAUUUUACUAUUAUUUUAACUAAAUAUUUAAAAUGUUUAAUUAAAUUUUAGUAUUUUCUUAUUUUUAAAAAUAAAAAGUCUAUAUUUAUUUAAAUGGUAAUGAAUCCAACUUAGUAGGAGAGUUGGUCAUUUUCUUUACAUUUUCUCCAAUUAAAUAAUUUUUUAAAAAAAUAAUAAAAAGAGUAGUGUUUAAGUCGUAGAGGUACAACAAAAAUUUGGAGAUAGCAUAAACAAUUCUUCUCAAGUAUCAGUACUAUUUGAAAAGGUUUGAAAUAAUUUUGUAUUGCUUGCAUUUCUUAGUUGAUAAGAAUCGACAUUUAUACAAAUUACAAAUGAAUGAAUAUGGUAAGAAAUUAUAAUAGAAUCAAUUUACAAUAAAUGACAAAAUAAUAGGAGAAGAUUAUGGAUCUUGAAAUAUCUCUUAAUAUCCUCCUUCAAACUGAUGACUCAGGUUGAGUCAGUAGUUUGUCUCGAAGAUGAAGAAAUGUUGGAGACAACAGUGGCUUUGUAAGUAUCAGCAAGUUGAUUGGUGGAAGAUAUGUAACGAAUGGAGAUAUCUUUGCGAAGAACUUUUUUCCGAACAAAGUGGUAAUCAUUCUCAAUGUGUUUGGUUCGAGCAUGAAAUACUGGAUUAUGAGCUAGAGAUAUAGCGGAAACAUUAUCACACCAUAAUGUUGGUGAGGUCUUGAGAGGAACACAUAGAUCACAAAGAAGUUGUCGAAUCCAGUAAAGAUCGACAGUAGUAGUGGCAAGUGAGCGAUAUUUUGCUUCUGUGGAGGAAUAGGAUACUGUAGGUUGCUUUUUAGAAGACCAAGUAAUUGGAUUAGACCCAAGGAAGGCGAUGAAUCCAGAGGUGAAACGUCAAUCAGAAGUGUCACCUGCCCAAUCAGAGUAAAAAAAGGUCUGUAGAAAGAACAAACCUUUUUGAAAUUUUAUUCCAAGGGGUGAAGUACCUCGUAGAUAUUUGAGGAUGCGUUUAACUGCUGAGAAGUGAAUGACAAUUGGUUUGUGCAUAAAUUGACUAACACGGUUUACAAAGAACGCAAUAUAAGGACGAGUAAAUGUAAGGUAUUGCAAGAAACCAACUAGUUUGUGAUAGAGGGAUGAAUCAUUAAAGGGUGGAGCAGUUGUAUAAAGAUCAAGAGAAGUAGACAUGUGUGUGACACAAGAUUUUGCAGAGAUCAUUCCUGAUGUGUGAAGAAGGUCACUGAGGUAUUUCACCUGGUUAACAAAUAUGCCAUCAGUAGAGGAAUGAAUUUGAAGACCAAGAAAGUAUUUUAAGGGGCCAAGGUCAGAUAUUUGGAAUUCAAGGGCCAAUUGGUUUUUGAGAAGAGAGAUGUAUGAGGAGUCAGGACCAAUGACAAUGAUGUCAUCUACAUACAAAAGUAAGUAAGUGAGAAGAUUUGACUGGUCGAAUGAAUAACAAAGGUUCAACGGUAGAGGCAACAAAAUCCAAAGUAAAUAAAUAAGAUGUAAAGCGUUCAAACCAAGUGCGGGGGGCUUGUUUGAGACCAUAAAGACUCUUGUGUAGGAGAUACACGUGAUUUGGAUGUGUUUUAUCCUGAAAACCAGUAGGUUGAGACAUGUACAUAGUUUCUUGGAGAAUGCCAUGAAGAAAGGCAUUUUUUACAUCUAAUUGGGUUAAGGAUCAAUUGUAUUGAGCAACAAGAGCAAGAAUUCUGCGUAUGGUAGGUUUCUUAACAACAUGAUUAAAUGUUUCAUCAAAAUCAAAACCUUGUACCUGGUGAUAACCUUUUACAACUAGUCUUGCUUUGUGACGAGCAACAGAGCCAUCAGGAUUAUAUUUUGUUCUAAAAACCCAUUUACAACCAACAACAUUCAUAGAUGGAAGUUGAGGUACUAAGGACCAAGUACCUUGUGCUUGAAGAGCAUUGAAUUCCUCACACAUCGCAGUUUGCCAUUCGAGAUACUUUGAGUCUUCUGUGUAUGAUGUGGGAGUCAAGAGAGCAGAUGUGAUGUGAAAAGCCUUUGGCUUAAAAAUACCUGAUUUUGCUCAAGUUUGCAUAGCAUGAGUGUUUCGAGGAGGAGAUGAAACAUGUAAGGUGGUUCGGCAACAUUUAAUUCAUUUCCUGUAUCGACUAUAGAUGAAAUAUUCAAAGACUGAUCAUUGACAUUAAUAUCCAUAAAAGAUGAGUGAGUAAUGUCAACAACGGGAGGGUGAGGAGGUGGGGUUUGGAUAUUGAGAAUGGAGAUAGAAUUUGAGGGUGUAUGAUGUGGAAUGUUUACUAAGGUAAGUAAUAGGCUUGGAUCAGAAUUAGAUAGAUGUUGAGAUGGGGAAGAGGUGGUGGAAUUUGCAUAAGUAAAGAUGUUUUCAUAAAAGAUGAUGUGUCGGGAAACUAUGGUUUGUUUGGUUAAUGGGUUGUAACAAAUAUAGCCUUUGAAAUUGUGAGGAUAGCCUAAAAAUAUGUGUUGUGUGGUUUUGGGUUCAAGUUUGUGUUUGGUGUAAGACUUGAGAAGGGGAUAACAUGCACAUUCAAAAACUUUUAAAUGAUGCAAAUCAAAAGUAUAACCAAAAAGCAUUUCAAAUGGUGAUGACAUUAUAAGUGAGGAAGAAGACAUUCAAUUAAUAAGAAAAAGUGCAGUAGAGAAAGCAUAAGGCCAAAAUUCAAGAGGAAUAGAUGAAUGAAAAAUUAGAGGCAUUGCAGUUUCAACGAUGUGACGAUGUUUACGUUCGGCGACACCGUUUUUUUUUAGGAGUAUAAGGACAUGAUUUUUGGUGAGAAAUACCUUUGGAAUCAAAAAAGGAUUGUAAGAUAGUGUUGCAAAAUUCACCACCAUUAUCUGAUCGAAAGUUUUUCAUUUUUUGAGAUAUUCGAUUUUCAAUAAAGGGAACAAAUUUUUGAAUAAUAGAUGAAACAUCAGAUUUGUAAGCAAUAGGAAAGAGCCAAGUAAAUUUGCUAAAAUUGUCAAUAAAACUAACAUAAUAUCGAUUUUCAUUAGAAGAAAUUAUUGGAGAGGGUCCCUAUACAUUGCUAUGAAUAAGAUCAAGUGGUGUAAGAGAAGUUGAUAAAGACAUUGGAAAAGGUAAUUUUGUCAUGUUUGCUUUUAAACAACUAAUGCAAUUGCAAGUAGAAAUGGAAGAGCACAUAGAUAGACCAAUGCGAGAUAAAAUAGAAUUAAGGAUUUUUGAAGCAAGAUGACCAAAACGAAAAUGCCAUAAUGACUAAUCUUCCUGUUUUGCAUGGAAAUUAAAAGAUUUGGAAUGCAUGGUAGGUGUGGAUAAAGUAGAAGUACUGGGAAUAGGAUAGAGACCAUUGAUGCUUUCACCAAUAUAGAGAGUUCGGCUAGUGACUUUUUCCUGAAAGAGGAACCAAUCAGUAUCAAAAAUAAAAAUACAGAAAGUUUAGGAGUGUGGAGUAUUUUGGAGAGAUUGAAGGUAUGAGAGAGAGUUGAGAGUUUACCACUGUUGGUAUUUUUAAUAUGUAAAGGUUGACCAUUACCCAUGUGAUAGUUUCCUCACCAUUAUAAUUGUUGGACAGGUUGAGAUUUGCCAACUCAUUUGUCAUAUGAAAAUUGCAUCCACCGUUAGAUAACAAAAAAUUAUUAGUAUUUUCAUCAAAGGUUUGAGAAUGCAUAGAAUUUAUCGCCAUUGCUGAUAAUUGAGAGGGUGGAUGUCAGCCUUGAUAAGAGAAAUUCAUAUGAUUAUAGCAAUCGAAAGCCACACAUCCUGGAUUUUGACACAUUUGACAAAAAAACAUGGCCAUUAGAUCCAAAAUUUGUUUCAGGCCCAAAAUUGGGUCCAUGUGAAGGAGAGGACCCAAUGAUGCCACGUUGGUUGGAAUGGAAUGGUCUGAAGUUGGAUGUUGGGCGAAAUGGGCCAUGGUUGUUAUUAGGCUGAAGUUGAUGAGUAUUUCCAUUUCCACGUGAUCCUAUAUUAAAAUUGGAGCGAGAUAAUUAGGAGGAUUUGGGGAAGAAUGAAAAUUAGGGUUACCGAUAGAAUGAGAACGUCGUCCUCCUCGUUCACGGCUGCUGCGAUGUUGAGAUGGUUGGAAUGCAACCAUGGCUGUGGGAAUGGCUUCAAUGGCUGAAGUUUUGGCCAUAGUUGAUUCCUCCAAAAUGAGUAGAGUGUGAAGUUCUUCAAGGGAGAUGGUGCUGUUGCGGGUUCGAAUUGAUGUACGAAAGGCAUUGAAGGCAGUGGGGAGCCCAUUUAGGGUGUGAACGGGAGUCUCUUCAUCUUCAAGAGAGACGGAUGUGGCGGCAAGUUUAUCGACAAGGGCUUUAAUACGAGAGGUAUAUUGUUUAAUGAUUUCAGAAGGAGUUUUUUUUAUGGUGUAGAGUGCUGACCUGAAAUCAAGAAUGUUAGAUCUGGUAUUGGAGAGUAGUGUUUCUCUAGAGACAACCACAGUUCUUUAGAGGAGACAGAGCCAACAACGUGGGCAAGGGCAAAAGAUGAUAAAGUGGCAUUUAUCAAGGUAAUAAGAGCUUUGUCACGGGAUAGCCAUUGGAGAUAUUCAGGGUUGAUUUCGGGAUUAGUGCCAACUAUUGACGAUGAUAAAUUUUAUGGAGGACAGGGAAGGGAAUCAUCAAUGUGUCCAAAGAGGGAAUGGGCUUUGAGAAUGGAGGAAACUUGAUAUUUCCAUAAAACAUAAUUUUUAAAGUCUAGUUGGAUAGGUACAAGAUUGCAGAUGUUGGAUAGCAAGAAAAGAGUAGAGGUGGGAACAUAUGGAUUUGGUGAGGAUUCGAGGACAGGAUUGGAAGAUUCAAUAGGAUCAGAUUGUGAGCUAGGAGUGGCCAUUGAAAUGAUAUAUGAGGUAUGUAAAUUAAUUUAGGGAAGGCUCUAAUACCAUGAAAAGGUUUGAAAUAAUUCUGUAUUGCUUGCAUUUCUCAUUUGAUAAGAAUCAACAUUUAUACAAAUUACAAAUGAAUGAAUAUGGUAAAAAAUUAUAGUAGAUUCAAUUUACAAUAAAUGACAAAAUAAUAGGAGAAGGUUAUGGAUCUUGAAAUAUCUCUUAAUAUAAUAAGAGAAGAUUAUGGAUCUUGAAAUAUCUCCUAAUACUAUCUAGGUGCCAUCUCUCUUUUACAUAAAAUGAUUUAGUGAAACUAAAGAUGAUUUGGGGGCAUUGACACCUCAACGAAGAUUUAUGUUUUCGAAGAAGUAUGGACAUAUAGGAGUUGAUGUACAUACCAGUGAAUUAUUUUGCCUUUAAGAGCCAUAAUUAAUUUUUGGGAUCUUAAGAGCCAUAAUUAAUUUUUGGGAUCCAGCGUAUGGUUAUUUCACGUUUGGGUUGUGUGAUUUAUUGCCAACCAUGUAAGAAUAUCAAGCUAUGCUUAGCAUGCUUGAAAAAGAAAGUGAAAUUGUUUAUUUCUUUAACUCUAAGCAAACAACAAAAACUUAUAGAAAUCGUCCAUUCCACAAGAAUUCAAAAGCAUAUAAAAGUUAAGGGUGGAGAAGAGAAUGUGCUAUUUGAAUAUCUAAUAAAGAUGACACAAACUUAAAUGAAGACAGAAGUCUUACUCUCUUGGUGUUGUGCAUUUAUGGAGUGAUGAUUUUUCCUAAGGCAGUGGGUUCUGUUAUUGGGAAAGUGAUCAUAUUAUUUCUUGGAAUAGAAUGAGGAGUCGAUCCUAUUAUACAUAUAUUGGUUGAAACUUUUCGAUCCCUUAACUAUUGUAGAAAUAAAGGGGAAGGAAAAUUGAAUUGUUGUGUUUCUUUAUUAUAUAUUGGGAUACACAUCAUAUCAAAUUUUCGGUAGAGCUUAGGUGUCCAAGGUUAGAUUUUAGUAGCCCAUGGAACUUAAUACGAAACACAGUUAGUGAGUUUGGUAUGACAGUUUGGGACCCAACAUAUCCAAGGAAGGAGACUUGGGUGUCUUUCUUUGCAAGAAUGAGUUUUGAAAAUGUCAUAUGGAAGGCUCAAUGGAUGCCUUUGAAGGCGGUAAUUUAUGGAUGUAGAAAUUUUCAUAGUAUGCCUUUGUUGGGAUCAUGAAGAUGUGUUAACCAUACACCAUUGUUAGUUUUGCAUCUGAUGUGGCUCAAACAGUUUAUACCAUCAACUCAUAAUCUACAAGACUCUGACUUUUCAUACGAUCUUGAAGAUUGUUAAGGAAGAAAGCAUUAAGUAGUAUGUGCAUGAAAGUGGAUGCGAGGCAUGACAGGAAAACAAAAGGAAGAAUGUAAUAGAUACCUUAAGAGAGGUAGUUGAAACGAUAGAAGAGACAAGCUUUGAACAACCAAAUUAGUGGGUUGAGAAGAGCAUAAAAUUAGAAGCGAAAAAUCGACUGUUAGAGCAAGAAAAUGAGAAACUUCGUAAAGAAACAAAUCAAUGGAUGGAUCAUGUGACUUUUUUGCAAAAUGUGCUAAAAAAGCCCCAGAGUUUCUAAGAAAUCAAGAUAAGUUAAGAAACACUCUUGAGGUGUUAGAUAAAGAGAUGAGACGAAUGAAUAAAGCAAAUAGAAGCUUGAAAAAUGAAAAGACAACAUUACAGGCUAUAGUAAAGUCAAAAAAUGAAUAUAUUAAAGAUUUAGAAAAUGAAAGGAAUAUUUUCUCAAGCUUCUCAAUGAUUUGAAUACAUCAAUUGGAUAACGAAAAGCACAUAUAGUGGAGUUGGAAGCACAUAAUCAUUCUCUAUGUUAAACUCUUGAUAGCCUACACUUGAAGGUGGUUGAGAACUAUGAAGAGUAUGAGAUACUAAAGAAUUAUGUUGAUUUCUUACACUAUUACCUUACUGCAUUUCAAAAUUCAAGUGAGAGGAUAGUGCAAGAAUAUGAGUUAUUGAAGACAGAUUACAUGCAAAUGAAGGUUGAUUAUGAUUUGCAAAUGGGAGAUUUCCAGGUGCUAGUGGAAUGUGUAGAUCAGACGAUUGAAUUUCUCAGAAUAGUGUCUAGAAGUGCAAAUGAUUUUGUAGAAUGGAUAGUUGAUUUAAGGGUUAAUUUUUUUUUCAAUGCAACCUCAUGCAUAUGAUCUAAAUAGAUUCUUGAAGAUGAUAUGCAAAGAAAUUGAACAUUUUUGUAAGCCCUCGUUCUUUUCUCCUUUUAUUUAUUUUAAUAUUUUCAAAGGUGUGAAGAACAAGUUUAAAUCUAUUUGUAAAUUUACUUAUGUAUUGAAUAUGUUUGUUGGAAAAAGUUUAGAAUCAAUUUUAUUUUGGCAAUGACUAUGAAACUUUAUAAGUGAUAGGAAAACUAAGAUUUUGGCCAAAGUUGAAGUUUUGCUUUUGAGUUGAGGGCAUAAAUGUCCUUUUCUAUUAUCUAAAUAAAAAGGAAGGAAAAGAAAAGAAAAAGAUCUCAACUCUCUCCUUGAAAAUCAUUCGAAAAACAUCAGCCACACCUCUCUUCAUUUGCGAUUCUUCUUCUUCUCUUCCUCUCCUCCAACCAACGCCACCACCUAGCCAUUCUUACGCCAUUCAACUUAUUGGACGAUGAACGACACAUCGACACUUCCAUCUCCCUCGUACUUCGACCACGACGCAUGGCGACAACGCAACUCGUCAACGCCGAUAUUGACAACCAGCUAAACGCACUGCUGCCAGUCAUAUACGGUCGUUGUUAGCUAGGUUCCUCGAAGCCCUCACGAGUUGUUUGGGUUACAGAUCGACCAGUUGAGCCAAGUUUGCAUAAAGUCACCGUGCCGCUCCUCACGUCAUUAGCUUGUUAGAUUUGUUUUUUGUGGACAUAUUUGGGCCUUUGGGUGAGUUUAUGAGCUUUUCUCAAAGAGUUUCAAUUACCCAUUGAGUUUUGACUUGAUUUUUACAUUAUCAAUUACCUUUUGUUGUUAGAUUUAGAUUCUUGGGAGAUUUUAGCCAUUGUCCAGCCCUUAGGAAGCUCAAAUUUGAGUCUUUUCGCACAGCUUCCGUAAGAUUCAAACUUUUUGGAGUGGGUUUUGAAUACCCAUUUAAUUCUAGUAUUAACAUUGAAUAUCUUAUGAUGUUAGUGAAGGGAUAAAAGCCCUAUGACAGCGGAAGAAUUUAAAGAACCAUUAUUCAAAUUAAUUUGAAAAUAUUAAAAUACCAGUAUGUUGGCAAAAUUUUAGAAACAAAAUUCUAAAUAAAUUCUAAGCAUGCUUUUAAAGAUAAGAUACAAGAACUUACUUUCGAUGACGUCUCUUAAUUUACAAAUCAAUCUCCAAAUUGGGACACCACCUGUUGGAGACUUUUCUAUCCUCUAAGAUGAGAUUGGUUUGUGGGAACCAAUUGGGAUGGGAAGAGAUAUUUGAGGGAAACUCUUUUUGUAGAGAGAAAAGCUUUGACUUUUUUCUCUUAAUUAACUUGGCUAAAAAAAACUGUUUUCUUCUAGAUAUUUAUAGCUCUCUUUUCUUCUUGAAAUAGGAAAAGGAGUAGGAGAGAAUCAUGAGAUUUUUAAUAUCAAAUCUACUAAUUAAUUAACAAUUAAUCAAUUAGUUAAUAAUCAAUUAAAUCAUAUUUAAUUAAUAUUUCAUUCAAAUCUUUUUUGAACAAAUAUCUAUCCAAUAUUUUAUAGAUUUAUAUUAAUAUAAUUAAUUAAAUCAUAUUUAAUUAAUAUUUCAUUCAAAUCUUAUUGAAUGAAUAUCUUUUCAAUAUCUUAUAUAUUUAUAUUAAUAUAAUUAAUUAAAACAUAUUUAAUUAAUAUUUCCGCAAUAUCUUAUAAAUUUAAUUAAAUCAAAUUUAAUUAAAUGAACUAAAUUAUUAAUUAAUUCUCCAAUUAAUUAAUAGCUAAAUUAAAUAUCGUAUAUUUAAUUUAAUUAAAUUUGAAUCAUAUUCAAAUAUAAGUUUCUCUCGUAACCAAUAAUUUUGAAAUGAAUCAAAUUCACAUUAAAUUAAUAUUUGAACUUAUUCAAAUAUUUUAUCUCUCAUAAAUUAAUUUUGAAUCGUAUCCAAAAUUAAAUUAAUAUAAUAAAGUUUCACAAACUUUAUAUUAUAAUGUAUCAGUAUACAUUAAACUAAUUCUCUAAGUAAAUUUGAACAUUUCAAAUUACAACCAAUAUAAAUAAAUCUCAUUACCCUUUACGAGCUAGGAAGGGGACCUAAUGGACCUACAGAUCAGAAGCUACAACGAUCUGAGAUUAAUUGGUUAAACUUAUUAAUUACAUGAAUCAAUAUUCGUUAACUGUGUGUACACUCCACUAAAGACUCAUAGCUGAACUUUUCUCACUGUAAAUAUAUUUCUGUGUCCACGGAUAUAGACCAAUAACAGUAAGUUGGUCCUUCACGAGUGUUCGUAACACCACUUGGGUUUACCUUUAAUACUUAAAUAUCAGUGCUCCUCCAAUGAACAACCUAUUUAUAGUUCUACCAAUAAUCAGAAACCCUCUCGUGCCAUAGAGAGGGUAGGAUCCUUUGUUCAAGAUUUGGAGACACCAUUUAAGGGAACACUAAUCUACUUACCCUAAAGUAGGGAAGGAGUGAAUUUCAUCUUGUGUAAUUAUGUUCCCAACUCUCCACUCGGUCUUGUCUGCAAAAUGAUAAGCUUAUUGAGUCAGCGAUCUGGCCACUCUCACCCGUACAAAUCAAAGGACAAUCCCUCGCGAACAAAAGUUCAUAACACACUUAGGAUUAAGACUAAGUUACGUAGGUCAUCCUAGUGAAAUAGAAACCUAACUAUUUAACAGAGUUACAUAUAUUGAUUAUUAUUUCGCGAUCCGGUCUUAUAAAAACUCAUUGUAUAGGAUACCCUCACUCGCAUGUCAAUUACACGAACGCGAUUGAUCAUUGCGUUUGUAUCAAAUACAAAGUGAGACAUAUCAAUAGUGUUACUAGGAUAAGGUACCUAACCUUAUUCCUAUACUAUAGACCCUUUAAACUGAUCUUGAACAUUGAUCCCUGUACGUCUAUACAUACUGUUCCAGACUCAUUAAACAACUUAGGAUGUUAUUUUAUUGGAUUUGAGUUAUUAAGACAAAACUAAUAAUUUAAUCAAUAACAAUUAUUACAAUAAUAACACUUUAUUAAUAACGGUCAAUGAAUUAUAUUUAUAAACUACGAGCUUUAGGACAUAAAUUCCAACAGUUAGUAGCUAGAUUUCGAAUUUAGAAGGUAGUUAGGGUGUUGUUUGUUGAAGUUGGUGUUUUAUUAAGUUCUGGGUAAGGUUUGGAAUAGUUUUCACAAACCAUUGCUGAUUUUUAUUUUGGUUUGAAUUACACAGAAAUAAUUAAAAUGUAAGGUUAGAUUUGUUUGGAAGUUAACUCAAUUUCUAACGAGUUUCGUGAAGCUAAUAAAGAUUGAGAAAAUUCUGAGGCUAAGUGAAUGAUUUAUGAAGUAGAAAACAUGUCAUAGAUUUUUCACGUAAUUUUGAGAAGCCUCUGGAUUUUCGAGUAUUCUAGAGUGUACAGAUGGAACUAAAAGCCCUACUAGAUAUGGUUGGAAAGCUUAUUCAAUUUUCUAUAACUUUUAUGAAGCACUCGUUAGCCAAUUCUGACUGGAAAUAUGUUUAAAUUUAGGAGGAAAAUAGAAUAUUGCAGAGAACGUGAUUUUGAAGUUCUUAUUUUUCGGGCAAUUUAUGUAAGUCGUAGAGGAUUUCAAAUUGAAGAUUUUGAUAUAUAGUACAUAAUUAUUUAUUAAGUAUUGAAAAAGUUAUGAGUAGUUGAAGUUAGCCUAUUGAAGAUGGAAAUUUCUGGAAAAGUAUGGAAUAAAAGACCCAUGGAGCUUGAACUAAGUUGGAUGCCCAUUGGGUUAAGUAUUGAGAUUUCGAGUCUAAGCCGUAUGUAAAAAGUUUAGUCUAAUCCUAAGCGCUUUGAAAAAACCAUAGACCUUAGAGGUAUAAAAUGGAUUUAGGUGGCCUUAUGAGGUAUUUUGCAAAUAGUUGUAGCCUCGUCUUAUGUGAAGACAAUGAUGAAAUCUUAAUCUAUGUUUCAGGUCAAAUUGAAAUGAAAAAGUGUAUAAUCUUGGGGGAUCAAGUUAUUAAGAUGAGUGGUUUAUUUUCAAGUAUCUUUAUUAUAAAUUGAUAUUUGUUAUUAUGCCAUGAUUGUGAAAACUUUAUGAACUAUGCGCUAGAAAUGUUUUUUUAAAUAUGAUUUUUAGUUUCCAUGAACUCUUAUAUUCUCAAGCAUGGUUGAAACCGAAUUUAUUAAUUAUGAUUUAUAUGGUAAUUGGUUUAAAGAAUACUCGAUCUGUUAUUAAACGUGGAUGUUUUGAAUGAAAGGUUAUUCUUAAAAGAUGUAUCGAUCACUAAGGAUUGAAAAUGAUUUUAUAAAAUGUGUUUCUGGCCAUUUUUGGCUUUUAAACAUGAAAUAUAUAAGUCUAUGAAUGUUGGUGAUUUCCCUAUGGCUACGUGCAUGUAUUUUCGUAGCACCACCUAUGGUUAUCAGGUAGUUCCGAGACUGAAAGAGGUCGUGACCAGAGAUCCGAGAACCUGAGCCUAGGUGAGGGAGGAUAUGGAUUGAGGACCAUGAGGUGGCUUAAGGCCUAGUUUAACCCAUGGUGGAUAGCUCCAUGUGCACAUAGGAAUGGAUGGAUGUUACUGUGGUAGGUGCUAAGUAUGCGUAAGCUUCAUUUGGCCGCGUGUUUCCUUAUGGAUAUGGAUCACGUGUGAGCUAUUUCGAGCUGUGUAUUUGUUACGUUAUCGUGAUUGGAUUGGAUGGAGGUUGUUAUUGUGGUAGUUGCUAAGUAUGUGCAAGCUUCGUUUGGCUCUGCGUUUCCUUAUGGAUAUGGAUCACAUGUGAGCUGUUCCGGACCGUGUAUUUAGUAUGCUAUCAUGGUUGGAUUGGAUGGAGGUUACUAUCGUGGCGGGUACUAAAUAUGCAUGAGCUUGUUGUGGCGCAUGAUACUUUGAUCAUGUGCGAGCUAUUCUUGGUCGUAUAUUUAGUUACCUUGUCAUGGUCGGAUUGGCUACAAGUUUGUUGGUAUUACUUAUGAAUUAUGGCGAUAUAUAAUUUUAACAUUUUAACUAUCAUUUCGUUAUGGAUGACACUUUUAAAGAGUUUGAAAGUAUUGCUUUACGAGCUUUUACUUUUAAAAACUUGCCACUCACUGAGUUUUUAGCUCACGUUUUUAAAUGUUUUCUCCCCCUAAGUAGUGGUCAAGGACCAAGCUAUGGUUGAACUUCCCGUCAUACAUUGAUUGUGAACUCAUUGAAUAUAUAUACUAAGUUUAUUAUUACUUCAUGAGAUAGUUAGAUGUAGCGAAAGUGACGCUAAAGAAUUGUGUUUUGAGAGGUUCCUUGUUAGACUAUGAUUAUCGUGUAUGUAAUGUCUAGAUUGAAUUUUAACUCUGCUUGAAACUUUGGGAUAGUCUGGAUGUGUGUGUGGUGAGACACACCUUUUAUGUAGUUGAAGUCUAUUUAUAUACAUUUAGAAGUGGAAAUCUCUCCCUUUUCAGGUUUGGCUACCUGAAUUUUUAGGGGAGAUGUUGUCGAAAUUUUUGUAGAAUUUCUUAAUGUAAUUUCUAUAAAAUUUAAGUUAGAAAAUGUAAUUUUCAAAAGUGGUUUAUCAUGCCACAAUUUAGGUUAAAGAGGAAAACCUAGAUCGGUGUUUGAUAAUUUUGAUCAUUUUCAUUAGUUGUUUAUUUUGCUAUUAAUAACAAUGAGAGUGGUGUUCAUUACAUUUAGUUUAUUUCCAGUUUUAGUUUGAUUUUUAUUAUGUCAAGUUUAUAUUUUAUUUCUUUGGUUUUAUUAAUGUAUUUGAAUUCAUUAUAUAAUAAUAAAAAAAAUCUCUCUUUCUCCCUUUCUCUUGAUUUCAGAGUUUUUAAAAUCAUCAAAGGAAAAUAUAGCUCGUCCUACUCUAAUUUUCCAUCCUUACAAUAUGCGACAUAAAAAUUAAAUCGUGGAAGAAUAUGAUAAAGACGUUGAUAAAAUGAGACAAGAGAUUAAUAAUUUUUGGGAACAAGUUUAAAAAAAUAAUAGAAUUGCUUUCAACUGGAAAAGGAAAAGUUGUCGUAGAUACAACACAAUCAAGCAAUCCGAUUCAAGACACUGAUAAUCCUAUUUAUGCUUUAGGAUUUAUGUCGUACCACAUGAAUGUUCUGCAGUCUCAAACCACUAAACAUUAUGUUGCUAUGGAUUCACUCUUUGUUGUUUUACUUCCUCUCCCAGAUAUAAAACAAUUGGAAGCUCAGGCUAAAAUUCAAGACAUGAGGCAGACAAAAUGAAAGUAUUCCGGCUAAGCAAAAACUAAAUGUUUUGGAAGAAAGGUUGCGAGCAAUUGAAGGGACUGACAUUUAUGGAAAUAUAGAUGCAACAGAAUUGUGCUUGGUGCUAGGUUGGAUCAUUCCAACAAAGUUUAAAGUGCUCGAAUUUGAUAAAUAUGAUGGAUCAUCGUGUCCAAUGAGUCAUCUUAUGAUGUACUGUAGAAAGAUGGCAGCGCAUAUUGGUAAUGAUAAAUUGUUGAUCCAUUGCUUUCAGGAUAGCUUAAUUGGUCCAGCUACUCGAUCGUAUAUUCAAUUAGAUAAUGCACACAUUCAUGUUUGGAAGGACGUAGCUGAUGCAUUUCUAAAGCAAUACAAACAUAAUAUUGAUGUGGCUCCAGAUCGUUUAUACCUGUAAUGGAUGGAGAAGAAGAGUUUAGAAAGUUUCAAAGAAUAUGCUCAACGAUGGAGAGAUAUGUCCGUUGAGGUUCAGCCACCGUUAACGGACAAAGAAAUGACAUCUAUGUUUAUGAAUACUUUACGGGCCCCGUUCUAUGAUCGAAUGAUUGGUAACGCAACAACCAAUUUUCUGACAUUAUUGUUAUUGGAGAAAGAAUUGAAUAUGGGACAAAGCAUGGGAGGUUAGCAGAGGCUUCAAGUGAGUAUGGAGAGUUAAAGAAAGGAACAACAUGUAAGAAGAAAGGAAAGGUUUAUGCAAUUGGUUUCCUAAUUCAGGGAACCACAAAUAAAAUUUUUGGCCAAAGAAAACAUGAUCAUAAUUUUCUUUCAUAUAUAAGCAAAGUUUCUCAUAUCCCUUAUAACAACUAUGUACAAGCUCACACCUUCUUUAGAAUCCCAAACCUUGUUAACUCAAACUCUCCUCGUCCAUUUGUACAAGGUCAAGGUAGCAAGACCAACUCAGAUACAUGGUGAUUUGAUCAAAUUCUCAUGACUUAUAAAGAACUUUUACCUCAGUUAAUUCAAAAUUGAUAGUUGGCUCCUAUUCCAUUGAAUCCUAUAUAAUCUCCUUAUCCAAAAUGGUAUGAUUCAAAUGCUCGAUGUAAUUAUCAUGAUGGAGGAGCGGGACACUCAAUUGAAAAUUGUUUGGCUUCGAAAAGGAAGGUGCAAUCCUUAAAUUAAUGUUGGAUGGUUAAGCUUCAACAAGCUAGUAAGAAGCCAGAUGUCAACAACAAUCAACUGCUUAAGCAUGAAAAUUCAAAAGUGAACAUUGUGAAUUGCCUUGUUGAAAAGUGUAAAAAUGAAGUUCAUGAGAUGAUGAUGCCUUUGGAAGCACUUUUUAAAGAUAUUUUUGAAGCAGGAUAUGUUAGUUAUGAAUAUUUAGACUCCAAUAUAAGAUAUGAAGAGUAUGAUGAAAGCAAACAUUGUAUAUUCCAUCAAGGAGUUAUAGGUCACGUUGUCCAACAAUGCUGCAAAUUUAGAUCCAAAGUACAACCUAUGGAUUCAAAGAUACUUAUAGUACAGAGGACAAGGAAAAGAUGAGAUGAAAAACAAUAAAAUAUGUACAUUAAUGGAUGAAGUUUUAAAUAAAGAAGAUUCCUUUUUACCAAGGACUUUGAAAGUCUUUUAUCAAGAAAGUCGUAAUGAGUCAACUUUCUACAAUUCUACACUACUCACAAUCCAAGUACUGAGUCUUUUCAAAUUUAGGGAUCUGAAAAUAGUGCCAUCGUGGUAUGAUUGUCAAGUCAUUAUAGGUCAUUCAGUUGAUAAUACUACAGCAAUCAGCGGGAUAACUCGAAGUGGAAUAUGUUACAAAUUAGAUAAUUUAAUAACUCCUUCAGGUAGUUUGAUACUAGGACAAGAGAGAAAAAAUGAGAAAAGAAAUGUGAAUGAACAUUGCAAAGAGUAGGAUGUAGAGAUGUCUAUUAUAGCAAAAGAUGUAGAAUACAAGAAGCCUGUUACAGAUGAUGAAGCAAACAAAUUCUUGAAAAUAGUAAAACAAAGUGUGUAUAAGAUCACAGAGCAAAUGCAUCACACUUCAGCUCGAAUUUCUUUAUUAAGUUUUUUAAUUCAGAGCCUCAACAUAAAGGGCUAUUAGAUACUUUGAACAAGACACAUGUUAUACACGACAUUUCAGUGGAAAAGGUCAGCAAAAUUAUUAAAAACAUUACAUUUUCAAAUUUCAUAGUCUUCACGGAUGAUGAAAUUCCUCCUAAAGGUUUAAACCAUACAAAAGCACUCCAUAUUCAAGUGAAGUGCAAAGACUACGUGAUAGCAAGAGCUUUAGUGGAUAAUGGUUCAAUUCUUAAUAUAAUGCCUAAAUCUACACUAUUGACGCUUCCAGUGGACAUGCCACACAUAAAAUCAAGUAUUAUGGUUGUGAGAGUUUUCGAUGGGUCACGUAGAGAAGUAAUGGGUAACUUUGAAUUAACAAUCAAAAUUGGCUCAUGUACUUUCAAUAUAGUAUUUCGAGACAUGGAAAUAGCACAUCCUUACAGUUUUUUAUUAAGACAUCCUUGGAUUCACUCUGCAAGAGUGGUACCAUCCACGUUGCAUCAGAAAUUGAAAUUUAUUGUUGGGAGUAAGAUGAUUUUUUUAUGGGAAAGGAAGAUUUCUUGAUAACAAAAUCGAUAUCAACCACAUAUCGAUUUGAGGCAGUGGAGGAAGCAUUUGUGUUCUUUUCGCUCUUUCAAAAUGAUUCAUUCAACUAUGAUGGAAGCAGCUACAAAUAUAGUAGUAAAGUUGUCACACAAGCCUAAAGUUAAAGUUUAUGACCAUUGGGGAGAUGAAAGGUGAAAGAUAUUCUUUGAAUCAAAACUUAAAUACACUUUUAAACACAUCGAGCAAUGAUGGGGGAUUUGGUUUGAGCUAUAAGUCAUCCAUAUAUGAUAAGAUUAGGUUUCAAGAAGAAAAGAAGAAAAAACGUUUAGCAAAGCUAGAGAUGAGGGAGCUAGUUUGAUCUAAGUCUAAAAUUUAUACUUUCAAGACUCUGGGUGUAAGUUACUCAUCACAUGACUCUGAUUCAAAGGAUUGUCUAUUAAUGAAGAUGGAGCGUUUAUCAAUUGCAAUAAUGGGACAAGAAGCAUUAUGCAUUUGAGGGCGACACAGUUUAUGCAUGUCCACCUGAUUUCGAGCUUAACAAUUGAGAUAUUGUAGAUCUACCUACAUUUUCAAGAGAAUUUAAGGAGUAAUGAUUAAAAUUUUAUUUGUUAAAUUUAUUUAAUUUUCGAGUGGCUUUAUCCAAUAGGGGUGAAAUAAAGUUGGGUUGGGUUGUGAGACAUUCUCAACCCAGCCCAUAUUUUUGGGUUAUUUGAGUUGACAACCUGAAUAAUCUGAAUUUAGUUUUUAACCCAACCAUAUGUUAUGGGUUGGGUUGUCGGGUUAUAUAGUUUUUUUUUCAUUUCUAGUUUCUAAUGGUUAUAAAAGUUCAAAAAAUUGUUACAUUUAAAUUUCAAACAUACAUAAUUCAAAAUUUCAUACAAAAAAUUCAAAGUCUAUAUACCUGAUUUUUUUUAUUAAAUUAUAUAUAUAUUGUUGGGAUUUAUGUCUUAAAACUCGUAGAUUGUAAAUAUAAUCCAUUGACUAUUAUUAAUAAAGUGUUAUUAUUGUAAUAAUUGUUAUUGUUUAAAUUAUUAGUUUUGUCUUAAUAACCCAAAUCCAAUAAACCAACAUCCUAAGCUGUUUAAUGAGCCUUGAAUAAUAUUAGAGACAUAUAGGGAUCAAUGUUCAUAAUCAGUUUAAAGGGUUAUAGUAUAAGGAUAAGGUUGGGUACCUUAUCCUGGUAACACUAUUGAUAUUGUGCACUUUGUAUUUGCUACAAACACAAUGAUCCAACGCGUUCGUGUAGUUGACAUGUGAGUGAGGGUAUCCUAUGCAAUGAGUUGGCAUAAGACUGGACCGCGAAUUAGUAACCACUAGAUGUAACUCUGUUAACUAGUUAGGUUUCUAUUUCACUAGGAUGACCUAGGUAACUUAGUCUUAAUCCUGAGUGUGUUAUAAACUCCUGUUCGCGAGGGAUUGUCCUUUGAUUUGUACGAGUGAGAUGGCUAGAUUGUCGACUCAAUAAGCUUAUCAUUUUGGGGACAAGACCGAGUGGAGAGCUGGGAACAUAAUUACACAAGAUGGACUUCAUGUGUCUUGAACAAAGUAGAUGAGUGUUCCCUUAAAUGGUGUCUCCAAAUCUUGAACAAAGGAUCCUACCCUCUCCAUGGCACGAGAGAGGUUUUUGUUUAUUGGUAGGACCAUAAACAUGUUCAUUGGAGGAGCACUGAUAUUUAAGGAUUAGAGGUAAUCCAGGGGUAAAACGGUAAAUUGACCCAAAUGGUGUUACGAACACUCGUGAAAGUCUAACUUACUGUUAUUGGUCUAUAUCCGUGGACACAGAAAUAUAUCUACAGUGAGAAGAGUUCAGCUGUGAGUCUUUAGUGGAGUGUACACACAGUUAACGAAUAUUGAUUAAUGUGGUUAAUGAGUUUAGCCAAUUAAUCUCAGAUCGUUGUAACUUUUGAUCUGUAGGUCCCCUUCCUAGGUUGUAAAGGAUAAUGAGAUUUAUUUAUAUUUGUUGUAAUUUGAAAUGUUCAAAUAUACCUAGGGAAUUAGUUUAAUGUAUAGUGAUGUAUUAUAAUAUAAAGUUUGUGAAACUUUAUUAUAAAUUUAAUUUUGGAUAUGAUUCAAAAUUAAUUUAUGAGAGAUAAAAUAUUUGAAUAAGUUCAAAUAUUAAUGUGAAUUAGAUUCAUAUUAAAAUUAUUGGUUAGGAGAGAAACUUAUAUUUGAAUAUGAUUCAAAUUUAAUUUAAGUUAAAUAUCUUAUAUUUAACUUAUCUAUUAAUUAAUUGAAGAAUUAAUUAAUAAUUUAGUUUUAUUUAAUUAAAUUUGGUUUAAUUAAAUUUAUAAAAUGAUAUUGCAGAGAUAUUAAUUAAAUAUGGUUUAAUUAAUUAUAUUAAUAUAAAUCUAUAAGAUAUUAGAGAUAUAUUUUUUCAAAUAAGAUAUUGGAGAGAUAUUUAUUCAAAUAAGAUUUGAAUAAAAUAUUAAUUGAAUAUAAUUUAAUUAAUUAUUAACGAAUUGAUUAAUUGUUAAUUAAUUAGUAGAUUUGAUAUUAAGAAUCUCAUGAUUCUCUUCUACUCAUUUUCCUAUUCCAAUAGGGAAAAAGAGCUAUAAAUAUCUAAAAGAAAAACAGUUUUCUUUAGCCAAGUUCAUUAAGAAAAAAAGCCAAAGCUUUUUCUCUCCGCAUAAAGAGUUUCUCUCAAAUAUCUCUAAACAUUUUUCCAUCCCAAUUGGUCUCCGAUGGAUGGUGUCCCAAUUUGGAGAUUGAUUUGUAAAUUCAGAGAUGUCAUCAAAAGUAAGUUCUCGUAUCUUAUCUUUAAAAGCAUGCUUUGAAUCUAUUUAGAAUUUUGAUUCUAAAAUUUUGCCAAUGUAUCGGUAUUUUAAGAUUUCCAAAUUAAUUUGAGAAACGAUUUUUUAAAUUAUUCCACUGCCAUAAGACUUUUAUCCCUUCAUAUAUAUAUAUAUAUAUAUACAUGAUAUUAAUUCAGAUUGGGUUGGGUUGAACUGAAUUUUUCAACCCACCAACCAGAGACCUAACCCAACUCAAAAAAAUUAAAAUUUUUUAACCCAAUCCAACCUAUAUUUUAACCUAACCCAACCCAACCCAUAUUUUAAUCUAACCCAACUAAACCCUUAUAAUAUAGGUUGGGUAGUUAGGGUUAUUCAGGUUCAAUCCAUAUUCUUACACCCCUAUUAUCCAAGGCCAUAGUAUUUUGUUUGCUCUACAAUAUGAAUUUAUUGUUUUCUUGUUAUUAAAUGAAAUCUUCGCAUUUUUCUUUCACUCUUUCUAAUUUCUUCUUCUUUAUGCUUUCUUUCUUGCAUUUGCAAAUUAAACAAAAAAGUCCAAACCUUUUCAUAGACAAUAUUCAUAAGAAUGAAGAUGUUUGUAAUUCCAGUUAUACCCUUCAGACCUUAAUAUACACUAUGGAAUCUGAAAAGGAAAAUGACGAUGAAGAUGAUGUGGGAACAUCCUCAGAACUGUUAAGAAUGGUAGAAGAAGAAGAUAGGUCCUAGGUCCUUAUUAAGAACCAGUUGAAGUAAUCAAUUUUGGUUCUCAAGAGGAAACAAGAGAGGUAAAAAUUGACACAUCAUUGACUAGUGAAACUUGAAAAAAAAUGAUAAUUUGUUACGUGAGUGGUCAGUUAUUUUUCCUUGGAGUUAUCGGGAUAUAAUAGGAUUAAAUACGGAUGUUGUAGUACACCGUGUUCUUUUGAAACCAUAAUGCAACCUAGUGAGACUAAAGCUAUGUAACAUGAAGCCUGAUAUAUUGAUAUAAAUAAAGGAGAAAGUAGAUAAGCAAAUUGAAGCAAGAUUCCUCACAACCUCCAAAUAUCCUGAAUGGGUGGCAAACAUUGUUCCAGUGCCUAAAAAAGACGAAAAUGUGAGAAUGUGUGGAUUAUAGAGAUUUAAAUCGAGCCAAUCUAAAAGACAACUUCUAUUUACCUUAUAUCGACAUGUUGGUGGAUAAUAUUGCAUGAUACUCAACUUUCUCCUUCAUGGAUGAUUUUUUGGGAUAUAAUAAAAUUAAAAUGGUUGAAGAAGAUAGAGAAAAAAUGGCAUUUCCUUUGGUGAACACUCUACUACAAAGUACUGGCUUUUGGUUUGAAAAAUGUUGAGGCAACAUAUCAGCGAGCAACAGCUACACUUUUUCAUAAUAUGAUGCAUAAGGAAAUAAAGUUGUAUGUUGAUGAUAUGAUUACAAAAUCCAAGGCAGGUGAAGAUCAUACAGCCAUACUCCAAAAUUUAUUUGAUCGGUUAAGAAAUUAUCAAUUGAAAUUAAAUGGAAAAUUACCAAAAAUAGGCUAAAAAUGGAGUAGAAAUGAGUUUUAGGAUUGAUUUUGAAAAAGUAGAGAUUUAGGACAAAUUUGGAGUGAAAUGUCCUAAAUACACAAUUUAAUUUCCCCCUUUCCUUUUCUUCUCUUCAACCUGAAAACAAAACAACAUUUAAAAAAAAAAGUAAACUUCAACUCUCCCGCUUUUGAACUCUCUCGCUUCCACACUUCGAGUUUAACUUUGAUGCCUCUGGUGAACGUCUCUUCCAUCCAUUUCUUCUCCACCGCUCUCUGUUUUUAGUUUCAACUUCAACUCUGGUGAACGCUUCUCCACUCCUUUCUGAUUUUAACUUCGUUUUCAUCGGACCUCUCCAUUUCUUCUCAACUCCUCUCCGUUGGCAGUGUCGUAUCCAUCCUCUUUGAAGUCAAGUGAGUAAUAAAAUCUGAGUUUUUUUUUAUAUAUAUAAAUCAUUCUUGUUUAAGUUGUCUGCUGAGAUAUAUGAGAUGUUUGUUGGACACAUUUUAGAUAUACCAUUAAAUUUAUAGAGAAGAAAUGCAUAUGUCCUACAUGCACACACAUAUAGAGAGCGUGGAAACAUGAAUUCUGUUUUUAGGAAGAAGAACCAUAUUGGAUGAAGAAUCAUUUCCACCCACCACAAACUGUAAUAAUAGAUAAUUGGAUUAAUAAUCCAUUAUAUUUGUGCAUGCUACAAAUAUAUAUAUAUAUAUAUAUAUAUAUAUAUAUUACAAUUAUAUAUAUAUAUAUAUAUAUAUAUAUAUAUAUAUAUAUGUAUGUAUGUAUGUAUACAUACCUUGGAGUUUAGAACAUGAAUUCCAGCAUAUUUGGUAUCCCAUCUAAACUCAGCAAAGGUACUAGUAGAACAUUGUUGAAAGACAUUAUUAUUUUUAGAGUUAAUCACAUUAAUAUAAUCAAAAGUUGCAUUGUUGUUCUCUACUUUGUUGAUGUUUUUAGUGAUAUAGUUCCAAUAAAAUACAAUCUUUGUUGCCUUGUAUAACCAAGCAGCUCCCCAUAUUAAUUCGUCCUAUGUCAAACCAGUUUAUUUAGGAUUCAUUUGUUAGAGAGAAUUUGAAAACAAAUGAUUUAAUGAGUUUUGUUCCUAAACAUAAGAAUUGUAGGCUUUCCUCCUACUAUUAAUAAUUUUAGUAAAGGUGUUACAAUAUAUGUUUAGGAGUGCAAGCAAUUUGAUUUAGUAAGCCUCUUAUGAACUUGUCAACCUCCUAUCACAUGUUUAUUUAGCAUGCCCUUUCACAUAUUUAUUGCUAUGGUAAGCCUCUUAUGAACUUGUCAACCCCUCCCUAGCAAUCAUUUUAGUAAAGAUGUUACAAUAUAUGUUUAUUGGGCUUUAAUGUUUUAUCUCGCACGUAUUAAAAUUUCAAUAGGAGUUUCAAAAUGAGAUUGCUACACUUCUUAAACCGUUUAGAAUGGUUCUAUGCAUGUUUAGCAAGUUUAUUAGAAUGUUUUAAUGUUUUAUCUUGCACGUAUCAUAGGAGUUUCAAAAUAAGAUUGCUACCCUUCCUAAACCGUUUAGAAUGGUCCUAUGUAUGUUUAUCAAGUUUAUUGAGCCAUAAUGUUUUAUCUCACACCUAUCUUGCAUGUAUCUCGCAACUACCAAAAUUUCAUUAGGAGUUUCAAAAUGAGAUUGCUACCCUUCCUAAACUGUUUAUAAUGGUCAUAUGCAUGUUUUGCUAGUUUAUUGGGCUUUAAUGUUUUCUCUCGCACCUAUCUCGCACUUAUCCAAAUUUGAAUGUAUACAUGUUUAAUAAGUCUCUUAUGCAAUUAUAUUUUAUUUGUUUCGUUUUUGUUGAGGCUUCAGUAUGACUUCGAUAUCAACUGACGGACCCAUGUAAAAGAUUGAUCCUUCUCAUCAUGUUCAUGCUUUAGUAAGCUCUUUAUCUCAUUUAGAAAAUAUUACGCGUAAUUGAAACCAAAUCAGUAACCUUAUUUGGAAAUACAAAGUUUAGCCACUUUUUGGAUCUUAAUAUCGUCUUUAUUGGGCCACUCAUCCACUACUUAUUACUAAGGGAGGUGGAAGAUGAAGGGAAGGAUUAUAUCAGUUUCAUGAUAGGGAGAAUUCUGUGUACUUUUGGUAGAAGAGAGUUUAACAUCAUAACGGGUCUAUGAAGUUCUCCAACAAAAUCUAUUCAAUUGGUUGGGAAUAGUAGGUUGUUGGACAAGUUCUUCGAAGAAAAAAAAGUCUAUUUAUGUAAAUGACUUAGAUGACACAUUUAUGGAAUACGAGGAGGAUGACGAUGACAUAGUUAAAAAUUAGCUUUAGUAUACUUUAUAGAGCUGUCAUUGUUAGGAAAAGAUAGGCUGACUUUGUGGACCAAACAUUAUUUAGGAUUGCAGAUGAUUGGAACACAUUUGACAAUUAUGAUUGGGGAGGGUUAGUUUUUGGACACAUGUUUUGUGCCUUAGAACGAGCCUUGGAUAUGCAACAUGCCAAGGGAAAGAAGAAGUCAACUAAGACAAAAUAUACUAUCAUGGGAUUUUCGCAUGCAUUACAGGUGUGUUACUUACUACUUGAAACUUAUGCACAUAUUUAUAUAUACAUAUAUCUCGAAACACUUGCUAAACUUGUUUUGUCGAAUAUGGAAUAGGUUUGGGCAUAUGAGUCUAUACCAACCAUUACUAGAAACUUUUCACUGGAAAAAAUCCAAGGAAUUUUUCAGAGACUUGUUCAUGUGUCGUCGGUGGUUGGCGAAUGAGGUAAGGCCUUUUCUUAUUAUUUCUAUUAUUAUAAUGUUUUCUUUACAGGUUUAGAGUUAAUCUACAUUCAAUGUUUUCUUUUGUUUCUAUUAGCAUUUGGAUGCACUCUUUCUUCUCAUUCGCUUCAAGAUUAAGACAACCAUGAUACUUUCUGCUAAAAACUUCACAACUAUACACACACUCUUCAUGGUUUGUAUUCGCAAGCAUACUUUAUGUUAUGAAUUUGCUUUUGAUAUUUGUCUUCUUGUCUUAUUGUAUUUUGGUCUGACAUAAAUACAUAUACAUGUGUAUUUUUUUCUUUGCAGCGACUAUUAGUUGCGAAGUGGCCCGAAUAGCAAGAAUGUAUUAAAGAGAAUCGACCGUUUGACUGGAAGGAGGAGUAUCGGUUGGUAGACUAUGUUGUCGGAUCAAAACAAAACUUUCAAGAUCCUUGGACAAGUGUUGAUUACAUUUACUCUUCAUUCAAUAUCCAUAUCAAUCAUUAGGUUCUAUUAUGCUUGGACUUGGUAAGUUGUCAAGUCAAGGUAUGGGAUUCUCUUGAGUCGCUUACGAGUGUCGAAGAGAUGAGAAGCAUGUUAAUGUCGAUUCGAGAGAUGGUGCCAAAUUUACUAGAUACUACUAGAUUCUUUGCUAGGAGAGGUGGAUCAUCAACACACAAGGAACCUUGGCCACUUGUCAUUGUUGACUCCAUUCCACUGCAACACAACAAUAGUGAUUGUGGUGUAUUUACCAUCAAGUAUUUUGAAUACGAAGCUUCUGGUUUAGAUGUAACUACAUUAAGUCAAGAAAACAUGUCCUACUUUAGAAAACAAUUGACAUUUCAAUUAUGGACCAACACUCCUAUGUUUUGACUUUUAGUUGCAAAAUUUGAAGGAAUUUUAUAUCAUAUAUGUUGCGAACUAUGUACAUAAAUCGAUUGAUGUAAAGGAAUGAGUACCAUUGUUAUUUUAUGGUCUGAAAAUUUUAUUUUAUUCUUUUGGAAAACUUUUCAAGUGUGUAGUAUGUACAAUCCCAUAAAUAUCAUUUGAGAUGUGGUUAUCUUGCAUUUUGAUAAUAUGAAAACUACACAAGUGAUUUGUUUUUUGUAGGAGCUACUGCUAUGGAUUCUGGAAGAAAAGCUUUAGAGCUUCUAAGUUUGGUUAGAGAAAGAAAUGGAACCAGCCAUAAUUCGCCUAUUUCCCUGAAGAUCAUCAAGUACCACAUAUAUUUAAGCUUAAUUUGGAUGUUUGUUUGUUCUUUCUAGGCGUUGUUUGAUAAUUAAUUUAGCUUUUGAUAUUGCAUUGCAGGAGGUUAAAGUUAAUUUAGCUGAGUUUUGGUUGAAUCUGAACUGAGUUCGAAUCUGAAAAAGAUUUCCAAGCAAUGGAUGUUGGAAUUGUCUUUCAAACGGAUUCUCGUGUGGAUGUUAAUGAUGUUUUUUAGUAAAAAUGUAAUCAACGAGGGGAUCAUGAAAUUCAAAGGUUAUGUAAUUGAAAGUAAGAUCAUUCAAUGGAGAAUAAAUUUGAUUGUAUUCAUGGAUUUCUAAUAAGAACUUGUCAUGGUCAAGUUGACAAUUAUCAUCAAUGAUAGACAUGAAUUCUUCUUUUAAAAAAAAAAAUAUUAUUGUCAUCAAAUUUAUUAACAAAUUCUGUGUGGGUUUUUUAGAAAUCAAAUCAUGAUAGACAUCAUUGUCAACAAAUUCAUCGAGGGAUUCAUUGUAGAUUUCAUUAAAAUCAAAAUCAAUUGAAGAUGUAUCAAUCUUAGCAAAGUUAUGAUAACCAUCAUUGUUAACAAAUUCAUUCAUAAUCAAAUCUUCAUGUGAUAAAGUCUUAUGGUCCUGAUUAUCUAGAGAAUUGUCAAUCAUGUCAUUAAAGUUAACAAAAUUCUCAUGAGAGUUCAAAUGAACAAGAUCAUCAUUAAAUCCUUCUAAAAUCUCAAAUUUUAAAAUAGGUGCAAAUUUAAAGUCAAAAUCCAAAGCUAGUUCAUCAAAUAUACCCAUGUCAUUUUCAGGAUGUUUCUCAUCAUCAAGUUUAGAAACUAUUUCUAUAAAGUUUGUGUCAAGAUUACUUUCAAUGUCAAUGCCUAUGGAAAAAUGCUCAUCACUAAUGUUAAUGUUUCUUCUUAGAUCAUGCUCAUUACUAAAUGCAAAAUCAUUGUCUAAAGCAUGUUGUUCAUGUGUUUCAACAUUAUCACCAAAGCAUGCUCAUCAUUUAUACUAGUAACAAAGCCAAGGAAGAUAGAGAGAUCAUCGUCACUAGGGUCGUUCUUAGCAGCUUCAAUUUCAACAUGUUCUAAAGUUGCUUGAUCAACAAUCUCAUUGAAAUUACCAUGCUUUUCUAGUGUCUCUAAUGAUUCUAAGGUAUCAAAUGCACUUAAUGAAACAUGAUCACUAGAAGGGUUUACGUCAUCUUUAUCAUUGAAAAUUUUUCUACUUUCUAAAGUAACAUCGUUCUCAUAUGCAUGGGCAAAAAGUUCAUCAUUUUCUUCUGUUUCAUGAAUGUUUGUUGCUAAUUGAUCGAGCUUAUUUUCAAUCUCAGAUAUGGAUGCUUUCAUGGUUUCUAAGUCAUUAUUCACGGCUCUAGUUGGACUAAGGGUUUGUUCAUUCAACUUAGCUAAGUCAUUUCUCAUGCUUCCAGUUAAACUAACAGUGUAUUCACUCAACUUAGCUAAAUUCUUCUCAAAAUCAGUUUCAAAACUAUCUAAGCUAUAAGCAAUUCCUGAGAUUAAUUCUUCUAAAUAUGUACCUUGUGAUGGUGAUGAGGGAGAAGAAGUGUAUCCAGAGUUGUGAGCGUUGUAACCUCCCAUGACACUUACCUCUUUAUACAUUAGACAUUGAUUAUUUUGGUGGUCUUGGAAGCCAUAUAUUCCACAAGAGACAUCUUUGGGAAUCUCUUGCACAAGAGAAGUAAAAAGUUUAGUUAGAAAAUUAACUUGAAAAUUUAGGGAAUCUUGUUCCAUUCUAAGGUUCAAAUGAUUCUCUAAGGUAUGUUCUUAAAGGUUCUCUAAGAAUGGUACAAAAAUUCUAGAUCUGAGAUUCUAAAUUUAAUGAAUUAACUUGAUUUUUCUUUGUUUUUUUCUUAGUCUUCUUUCAUGCAAGGUUGUGUCUUCUUCAUAUUCUAGUCUAGGUGCAUUGGACAACUUAGUCAUGCAUUAAAGAAAGCAAAGAAAAAGAAAAUAUCAUGCAUUUUUUUUAUAACAUAGAAAGAUUAAAGAUCUAAUAUGCUUUUCUAAAAUUACUAAUAAAUAUUGCAAGCAAAGAUUCAAGAAAUAGUAUGUCGUGCCACUCCCCGGCAACGGCGCCAUUUUUGACAAGGCGGGAAUUGACAUGCAAGAAGCAAAAACAAUUAUGCAAAGAGUAGGUAAGGUCGUUAUCAACUAAGGGUACUUACCUAAACGCCUUGACGAAAAUUUAUUUAUAGUUUACCCUUGAUUUUACCAAGCAAGCAAGGGUGUCGAACCCAAGGGAGUGAUCAAUUUUUCCUUGAAUGAAAUGCUUGGAAAUAUAGAGAUUAGUAACAAAAGGAAGAUAAAAGUAUUGAAAACAAAUUGCGGAAGUUGUACGAGGGAAUGAGAAGGGGAGUUUGGUAUGCAAAACAACUCACAAAAGAGGGAGAUACUAGAUAUUGAAUACCAAGGUGGUAAGUGAGGAAUGGGCUUAGGCUUACCUCAAAUCUUAUCAUUGAAUCAAAGAAGGUAAGGAAAUGGAAUUAUGCAUAGCUUAAAAGAGAAUUUGAUUCAAGAUUUCCUUGCAAGAUCAAAUUGCUUGAUCUCCGAAGGAAUUCUUGAAUCAAAAUUCAAAAACAAGUAAAGAAUUUCAAAGGGUUUAGUUUGAUCAAUUGCAAUUUUAACUAAACCCAUUAUUCUUUUCUUUAAAAGAAAACAAAAAAUGGAUCAACAACAACUUUAUAUUCAAGGAAUCAAAGAGAAAUUAAUUUGUGCACAAAAAAGUAUGCAAUUUAAUUCUAAGAAUUAUCAAAAAACAAUUGAAAUCCAAAAGAGGCAUUAUACAAUUCUAAAAUUGGGAGAUAAAAUGAAGAAUCAUGGAAAUUUUGUAUAUAAGCAAGCAAAACAACUAAUCUUGCAUUAAUUGAAAUAUUAGGGGUAAAUUGCUUACAAUAUUGAACAAAAAAAAAAUCAUAAAAUCAAGAAUCAAGAUUACAAAAUUUAAUAAAAUCGAAUUAAACAUCCAACUCUUGAUGCAAUUUAUUGAUGGUUCUCUUGCAAGCUACAGAAUGCCUACAUCUCCAUCGCAAACCUUAUAUAUUAUUUCUAUUUCACCUGCCCUUGUAGAAGAUCAACACCUAAAAAUCCAACAUACGUUUUUCCACACUUCCAUGGCAAAUGAAUAAUAUUUCUAGCUAUAGAAUUCAACACCUAAAAAACUAGCAUAUGCUUUUAUACACUUCCAUGGCAAACCAACAAAAAAAAUUGUUGCAGACUUGCUAACUAUAAAAUGUCUACUACUCCAUGGCAAACCAAUAAUAUUUCUAUUUCACCUCAAUGCACAAUAUCCAACACCCAAUAUACCAACACAUUUUUCCACAAUUCCAUAUAGCACUACAACAAAUACACAUCAUCCAACACCCUUUCAACAUCCAACAUCCACACUUUCAUAUCCAACAUUCAACACCUAAUAUACCAACACACUUUUCAACACUUCCAUAUACAUUUCAAUAUCAAUAAACACAUUAAAUGUGACUACUAUAAGUGAAAACUCAAAAUCUAAAAAUAAUAUGUAAGAUCAUGAUAUAUUUAAAAACAAAAGUAUGUGUACAACAAGCUCCUCCACUAACUAAAGUAUAUGUACAAGCUAAAACUAAAGUAUGUACAACAAAUACACAUUUUCCACACUUCCAUAUAGUACUACAACAAAAUACACACUGUAGUAAAAAACUACAACACAACACCUACUUCAAAAAGUAGAAAGCUACAAGCAGAAAAAACCCAAAAGUAAAGUAUGUACAACAACUAGUUGCUUCACAAACUAAAGUCAACUAGUAACUUAUAUAUUACAAAAAAAAAAAAAAUGUAAAAUUUUACACAAAUUGGGUAACAAAAUUGCCCAUUUGGUUUGGAUCUUGUUAAUCUCCUAUUGUCAAUAUGCAUUUUUGGUAUUGAACUACACAGAAAGAAAGCUACGAAAAGAAUGAGUUUAAACCAUUUAUUUAAUUGUAACGUCUUAAAAGUGAAAAUAGAAACUUACAAGGCUAAUGAUGGGAGUACUAGAAUUAUACACUAUUUCAUGUAUAUAUUUUUGUACAUAAUACCCACACCCUACAAAAUUCAAUUGACGAGGGCAUUGCAUGUAUAUAAUUUGGAUACAAAUUAUUCUUAUGUUUCAUUGAAAAUAAUUAUGUGUUAAUGCAAAUUACCUUUACAGGUUUCCAUUUUGGAAUUGACUGAUAAUGUCGUAAAUCGUGCUUAGUUUGGCAUCUACGUAUAUUUGGAAACAUUAGAAUUAGAAGACAAUAAAGUGAAAUAAGAAGUAAAUUGUAAGUAUACUUAGAUAUUUAUGACUCCAUAAAUGUCUUCGUUAACUUUACUUCGAAGAGAGUCUAAGACAUAAACACAAUUAUCUCGAAGAUCGAUGACAUGCAACAUCCAACGAAAACUACAAUAAAUAUCAUCAAUGUGAGUAUACAUUUAACCUCAAUGAAAAAAAAAUGUGUUCCUCUUAUUUAUUUACCCAGUAUUAUAAAGAAUUAGAACUAUAUGUACCAAGGUAGCCGCUUCUAACUGGUUGGCUAAAUUUCUGAAUUAAAGAUCACAAUCCUUGAUAUGUGACGUAAAUUUUGAUUGGUCAAUAACAAAAAACUUUCUUCCACAGUCAUAUUCAUCCCAAAGAUAUCUAAGUAAAAGCAACCUUAGUUAAAAAGGAACAAAAUAACUAUAGCGAUAGUAUUUGAUAUAAAGAUGAGUAAAAGAUGUCUACUUACAUAAUGUAUGCUAGUAUGCAUAUAUAACCUAUUUCUACCAUGCCGUAAUAAUGGAGCAAGUCCUCACGAGCUUCAUAAACGAUUUUUUUUACCAAAUAUUAGCUUGUUCAUUGGGAUGCGAACCAUAUCUACAUCCUUCAUACUGUUCACGACAAGUCCAUUUAAGAGCUUAAUAGUUCCAUUAACAUCCGUGUACUUUGAAGAAUACACAACAUCCUUCGAAGUUCAAUGUUCCUACCACAAACAAAGCUCUAAAUUUAAAGUACAACUACAAAUAAUAUCAAAACUUCAAUAGUGAAAGAAAAACUUACUAGUUUGUCAUGAAUAAAAAAACAAGCCGACAAGACCAUUCAAUAAUGUUACCCAACACUUUAUUUAAAGUCUCUUUCUUGCCCUUCACCGGAAUAGGUAUACUAAAAUUUCCUCCCGUAAGCAAGUCCACCAAAACUUUAACAUUGGGAUCAUCAUUGUUAUCAUCAAAUACGGUGGCUAUUGCAACGAUAUUAUUAAUUGCGCCUAUAGCUAAUUUGCAUGGUGUUCCCUUUACAAGUAUUAAAAGCAUCGUUAAGAACAAUUGAGCUUAUAACAUUAAAAUUUGAAAACUGACAACAGAGUUAAUUAUCUCCACUCCUUCAUUGCUAGGUGUGUUGCCCAACUCCUCAUUGGCAUUGAGAUCUAUGCUAACAAUUUUGAUGGACGAUCUCGAGUGAUUAAGACUCUUCUUGUAACUUUUGCUUCUUGAGUCAUCUUCUUUAUGACAUAUUUCAACUUCAGGACUUAUCAUUUUCUCUUUCCCUUUCACUAUUUUGAAAUAUUGUGAUUGAGAGACAAAACCACCCACGCCUCUGACACGUCCACCGUACUCCUUAGAGCCCAAUACUUUAGUCAAUAUGUCCUCAUCUUUAUGUGUUGCGACUAAUGCAUCCUAUAAAACAAUACAAGUAUUUUCAUCAUCAACUAAGUUAACAAAAGAUUAUAUAUUAUAUAUAAGUAAAUCAUAAGUAAACUUACAAUCCGAGAGACACAAUCUCGAGUAGCAUCAUCAAAAUAAUCAUUGUUAUUAUUUCCUUUCCAUGCUUCUUUCCAAAGAGUUGAACGAUAGGAAACAUCACACGUCAUAUUCUGUAACCAAAUAUAUAUACUUAUAUAGAAUAACAUAUUAAGAUAAAUUAUUUUAUUCAAUUAGAAAGACUCACUAUUUCGUUGACAAGAUUCACAUAUCCCUUACGAGCAACGUGAUGAUUGUAUACACAUUUUGACCUCCUUUCCCUUUGAAUACGACUAUAAUCCUGUAGAAAGCAUUAGUUUGUAGUUACAUACCAAAAAAAUAUUAAAGUUAACAUGCAAUUAUAUUUAUUUACCUCUCAUUCUUUAGUUAAUCUAGCAUCUAUAAAGGAGUCCCAAUCUUCUUGAUUAACAUGAGAAUAAAUUUUAGGAGGAAACUGCAAGCGUUAUGGUUGAUCCUUAAACAAAAAGUAUAUACUUCUGAGUGAAUGUGGUUUUAAAAGUUCGGUACUUUCUUGAUGCAGACAUUAGGAUAGGAUGUUUAGCAUUAGGAUGUAACUCAAACGACAUCUAGACGAGAAAAAAAAACUUAUUUAGACUUAAGGAAAUCAAACUACAUUGUAUGAAAAACAUAAUUAUAGAAUCCAUAUCGAUAUACAAUCAUAGAUUUUAUCUUUCAACUCAUUCAAAACUUGUUUCCAAGAUUUGUAUGUGAGAGGAUGUUGUCGAAUGCACACACCAAUGUAAAUUUACAGUUUCGUAGAAGUGACUCUUAUAGGUUGCCCGUGUUCAUUAAAUUGAAUGGGCAACCAUUGCCCAUAAUUUCUUACUGAUGCCAACUUUGACAUAGUUGUUGGGCCACGUGGCACGAAUGAUCUAUUUCUUACUUCGAGAAUCAUUUGCCUUUCAUCCUCACUGCUAAUAUGUGAAUUCUCCAUCUAUGAAUCUGCAAAAAACAUAUAUACAUUAGUAAGCAAAGUAAUGACAACAUAGAAAUUACAAACUCUAAACAUAAAUCUAUAUAAAGAAAAGUAAAUGACAUACCUUAAUAAAAAAAUUUAUCACAAUCAGUACUUAUCAACCCAUCUACCCUCACAAUCAUGUCUAAUAUAUGAUGAAGUUGUAUCAUCAAUCAUGUGGUUUUAAACUCUAGAAGCAUAUCUCUUAUUUCAUCUUCAAAGAAAUGUUCUUCAAUAGUUCUUUGUGGAGAUGUUAAAUCCACUGAUCAUUUAGGAUUUGAAGAAUCAUUCACAUAGAAUACUUGUUUUGCUUAGGAGGCUAAAAUAAAUGGGUCUGAUUUAUGCCCAAUAUGUUUUCAAAUCCACAAUGGUAAACCCAAGUUCGUCCACUUUGACCCCAUUUCUACUAUUAACUCAAUCACACUUAAAUAAAACAAAAUAUAAUCAAUGGUAAUCAAUCUCCCAUGUCUCUUGUAUUAUGCCAUAAAAUGUCAUAUCUGACAUGACAGGGUUUUUGUCUUUAGAACUAGACACUUGCAUUGUAGUGAAUAUUAAACUAACUUCACUAUUUUGAACUCUCCUAAUAUCAUCAUGCCUUUUUGUGUGAUAGUAAUAACCAUUGAUCAUGUAACCAGAAUAAGUGGCCACAUCUGGAGAAGGUUCGUGAGCUAUCCAUCUCAAGGAAGGUGUGAUGGAAUUUUUUGGAACUUUGAGAGCAAGGGCAACCUACAAAAUAUAAUGGAUCUGAUUAGUUUAGGUCCAAAAUAAACAUGAAAGUGUAUGGUUCUAGUGAUUACCCUUGUGGACAAACACUAACUGAAUGUGCAAUUAUGUUCUUUUUUAAUCCAUUUUUUAGUUCUAGAUUUACCAGAGUUAAAGCUUACGCAAACUCUCCAUAUGUUGUCUGUCAUAAAUGACAGUUAUUAAGUAAUUACACAACCAACUUAAGUAAUAUGAGAAUAGAUAGGGUUUAAAAUGUACUCGAUGUAUGGUAGAACAUCAUUUACAUUAUGAAUAAUGUAAAGAUGAGCUUGAUAUAACUACUCCUUACUCGGUCUGAUAAAAGAAGAAUCUAAUAAUGGUCUAUCCACUUUUAAAUUCGCUUUUAUUACAAAUGAGUUUAGUCCAAUAGAACCAACCCAGAUAUAAAUUUAGCACAAAACUCUGUAGCCUCUUCAACAAUAUAAUUUUCUCUCAUACAUCCUUCUGGUCGAUUUCUGUUUCGCACAUAAGUUUUAAUGAUGGUGGAAAAUACUUCUCUAAUAGGCAUAGAGUGACAACUACAUCUUCCUACAUUCCUUUUAAUUGUGAUGAAUCAAUUGUCUUCUUACACAUAGCAUUAAAGAAGAAGCAUAGUCGGACAAUUACAAGUCUUACAUGUUUCAGUAAAAUACCACAAAUUGUCUCAGGUAGCAACUAUUGCAUAAGAACGUGAUGGUUAUGAGAUUUGUCCAUAGAGUUCCAAAUCUGUGAGUGACACUAAACUUUGAAUGUUUGAUGAAAAGCCUUUAGGUACUUUAAGUUCAAAUAGUGUCUUACAAAAACUCAUUUUCUCUGCUCGAGAUAAUAUAUAGCAUGUUGGGAUCUUUUUCUCCUCUACUUAAUUUUAUCUUUUGUUUUACAAAGAAUAUCAAGCAAUGUGCCAAUGAGAUUUGCACACACAUUUUUUUCAAUGUGUAUCACGUCUAAACAAUGUCGAACAUCAAUGUACUUCCAAUAUUCUAAUUAAAAAAAUUAACUUCUUCCAGUAAGUACUCGAAGAACUCGCUUUACUAUUCUUUUCCUUCAUAGUUUCUUAUCAAAUGAAUAUUUGUACUUACUUGUUUGUACAAGAAUUUCGUUCCCACUCAAUAGUUCUGGAGCAGAUCCUAAUUCUUGUGCACCAUUGAAAACUUUUUUCUGUUUCCUAUGUGAAUGAUGACGUGGUAGAAACUUACGAGGUUUAAUCAUAUGCCAUCUUUCUUCCUUUUAGCAAAUAAACGGAUGAAGUAUUCUCCCCACAAAUUGGACAUGCAUGAUAUCCUUUGACCAUACAAACACACAAGUUCCAUAUGCAAGAAAAUAUUAAUGGGCCAUAAUAAAAUAGCUUUGAACAUGAAACAUUGAUCUAGAUAUACAUCGUAACAUUCCACUCCAUCAUGCCAAAUUUUUUUCAAAUCAUCAACUAACGGAGCUAAAUAAAUAUCUAUUUCAUUUAUCGGUUGUUUGAAACCAGAUAUUAGUGCAAUCAACAUAAACAAAAUUUGCUUCAUACAUAACCAUGGAGGUAGGUUCUAUGUCACUAACAUCACUGGCCAACAGCUAUAUCUACUACUAAGAUCUCCAUGCGUAUUGACCCCAUCUAUGGAAAGAGUAAGACGUAGAUUUCUAGGUUCUAACCCAAACUCUGGACACAAAUUGUCUAUUUUUUUUCACUAUAAUGCAUCUUUGAGAUGUUGUAAUAAACCAUUCAUUUCUGUUUUUCUGGCAUUUCAUGUCAAUAAUAUUGAUGUUUCUGUGCUUUGAAACAUUUAUUUCUCUUUUUCUGGCAUGUCAUGGCUUUCACCGGAACAUUCUUAACCUCCUUCAAAUUCUUUGGAACCUUCCAUCUUGACAUACCAUAAGAGGGGCAUACAUUUGCAUUAGAGAGUUCUUUCCUAAACAAACAACAAUCAUUCCUACAUGCAUGAAUCUUCUCGUACUUCAUUCCAAGAGUACACAAAUUUUUUUUUGCUUCAUAGGUCGUAGGGAUUUCAUUAGGAGUAGAUACGAUGUCACAAAUUAAUUAUAACAACUCAGUGAAACUCUUAUCACUCCAUCCAAAUUUAGCUUGUAUAACUUUACCAAGGUAGACAUCUUGGUAAAUUUUUUACAAUUAGAAUAUAAUGGUUUCUUGGCAUCAUCUAGUAGUUCCUCAAAAUUUUCUGACUUGUCAUCAAAAUAAUUGUGUGCAACCCCAAACAUUCCAAUUGUGUCAUCAACAUCAUCCUUAUCAAUUUAUUCUCUUGCACUACUAAAGAGACUUUCAUUGUUUCUCUUCAUUGGUAGUGAUUCACCAUGAAAAAUCUAUACUUAAUAACUUUGAUCGAUGUCGUUAAAAAAAAAAAGUGAUCUCUAAUUGUAUUCACUUAAAAAGUCUUUGCAUUUACGCACUCUAAACAAGAACAAGUCAUAACAUUCGACGUCUUUGAAUGUUUCAACCCAUUUUUAAUAAACAUCUCAACUCCAAAAGCAUAAUCAGUUGACAUUCUAUUCUUUUUCAUCCAUGACUUAUCCAUAUUAUAUAAGGAUGCAACUUAAUCUACAAAAAAAAGUAUAAAAAAAUACACAACAAGGAGUAAUUAAGUAAUCAAACUUGUGAACUUAACUAUAAUCAACAAUAAUAACUAAAAAGUUAUAAUCAAUGAAAAUUUUUAUAUACACCCGAACAACAAAACAAUUAAAAUAAAGCAAGACUAUUGAAAAAGCACAUAUGAAAAAGAAAUUAAAUUCUUACCCACUUCCAAAAGCGUACUAACAAGUUCUAUAUACACCCAAACAAACUAAAAGUUCUAUAUACACUCAAAUAACUAUAAAACUCACGAUCUUAUCACUCAAUCAACUACCAAUCAAAUCUCAAAUUAAAACCAUCCACAAAAACCAAACACAAAAUUCUAACUAUCAUUAUGACAUAUAACUCCAAUUAAAUGAAGCAAUUAGUUUGGUUUUCUUUUACCAAAAAUUUGAGAUGGGUUAAAAAAUCCUCCCGCACGCCUAAAUACGAACAACAUAUACCAAGUACCAACUAUAUCUACAGAUUAAAAGACCAAAUCAACAACUAUAAAAGAAACUCUAAUUAAAUACAAAAAGUGCAUAUGCACUCAUCUACAUGAGUAUAUAUAUUCUCAUCGCACAAUCAAUUGAAAUAUCUCAAAAAAUAUAUAUUAUAUUCCAAGAUUUUGUAAUUAAGCACAAACCAAUUCAAUAAUUACAAAUCAAAAUUUCAAAGAUAAAUACAAGAAAUGGAUAAACAAAUAAAUAAAAGUAUGAAUUUAAUUUUCAAGGAUUAUGAAUCAUUACCUCUCCUUAGGCUUAUCUAAGAAUCUCUUAAGCAACUUCUUCCUUGCAAUUGAAAGAUUUGUCGAGAAAACAAUACAAAUUAGCAUAGAAUGUCAAAGUAAACAAAACCAUUCAAAGUAAUAUACAUAAAAGGUAUAAGAGUUUAAAAUUUUUAAAAGCUACAAACUAAUGGGUUCACGGGUUUCUCACCAAAUGGGUAUCUCAUCGAAUAUGGGUAUCUCAUCGAAUCUGGGUAUCUUAUCGAAUCUGGGUAUCUCACUGACACACUUCACCGGAGAGAAAAAUAUUUCUGAUGAUGGUGGUGAGAGUUGGGCACGAACAGACUGUGCACGAUGGUGGUGAAAGUUGGGCAAGAACGUGGAUGAAGGUUUUCAAUGGUGGUGGCGAGCACAACAUGAAAGAGAUGAGGGUUCUGACGUUGGGGAAGAGUCGAGCGUGAAAGAGACAAGGGUUUCGACUUAGUGGUGACGAGAAGAUCGUGAAAAAUAUGAGGAUAGUGGCGAGGGUUGGGCACGAGCUGAGUACGACAGACGUUGUGGUGGUGGCAACAACGACUGUUUGGAGAAGAGAAGGAAGAGUAGUGUGAGAUUUUGAGAAAUGAAGAAGAAAAAUCGUGAAGGAACGGGAUGAUUUGGAAAAAGUAAGAGAUGUUUUUUUUAAAAAAAAUUAAAAAUAAUAAUAACUAAUAAAUUAAAAAGUAAAAUGGGCAUUAAUGUCGUUUUUUAAAAUGCAAAUGAUUAAUAUCGAUUUUAAACCGACAUUAAACCUUUUUUCAUUAAUGUUGGUUUAAAAUCGACAUUAAUCAUCCACAUUUUAAAAAAACGACAUCGUUGUCCAUUUCUCACUUUUUUUACCUGACAUUAAAGGCCAUAAUUCUUCUAGUGAAUGAGGAUUGUGAAGAAGCUUUCAAUAAAAUUAAGUAGUAUUUGUAGAGCCACCUGUAUUGAUACCUCCAUUUCCAAGGCAACCUUUAAUCAUAUACUUGACAAUAUUAUAAGGUUCUAUGGAUGGUCUAGGACAACAUGAUUUAUGAGGGAAGAAAGAACAUGUUAUUUAUUAUUUGAGCAAAAACUUCACCCAUUAUGAUUAUAAAUACUCAAUGUUAGAGCAAACUUGUUGUGCUUUGGUAUGGAUUGCUCAUCGUUUGAGGCAAUAUAUGUUAUACCAUACAACAUGACUUAUUUAAGAAAUGGAUCCAAUAAAAUACACCUUUUAGAAAUAGUCAUUAUCUGAGAGGAUUGCAAAAUGACAAGUUUUCCUGUUAGAAUAUGAUAUUUUCUAUGUUACCCAAAAGGUAAUAAAGGAAAGCACACUUGUUGAUCAUUUAACUACCCAACCAGUACCAGAUUAUGAGCCUAUGAAAGUUGAUUUUCCAGAUGAAAACAUAUUUCUAGUUGAAAAGGAUACUACAGAUUAUGAGACAUGGACUAUGUUGUUCGAUGGUGCCUCAGAUGAGUUAGGACAUGGGAUUGGAGUUGUACUAAUUUCUCCAUAAAGAAAAGUCUUCCUCGUAACAGCCAAGUUAUGUUUUGAAUGCACUCACAAUAUCGCUAAAUAUGAAGCUUACAUUAUGGGACUUCAAGCAUGAUGCAACAUGAGUAUUAAAAAUUUGAAAGUUUUGGGUGACUCGAUGCUAGUAAUACAUCAAGUCAAGGAAGAAUGGGAAACAAGAGAUGCUAAAUUGUUGCCUCACAGCCAAUACGUUACAAAACAAUCUCAAAAUUUUGAGAAAAUUUCAUUUGAUCAUGUUCAUAGGGAGGACAAUCGAAUGGUAGGUGCAUUAGCCACCCUAGCAAUGAUUUUUUAUCUUAAUAUUGAGUGUGAACUUUAACCAAUCCAAAUUACAAAGCGAGAUGCACCGGCAUAUUGCAUGAAUAUUGAAAAGGAUAAUAAGCCAUCAAGAAGUACAUAAAGUGUAGAGAAUAUCCAUAUAGAGCUUUAAAGAAUGACAACACACAAUAAGAAGGUUGGCUAUGAACUUUUUUUAAAUGGUGAAGUUCUUCAUAAAAGAAAUUAUGAUAUGAUGCUCAUUCGGUGUGUUGAUGUAGAAGAAGCAAAACAAAUUAUAAUAAAAAUUCAUGAAGGAAUAUGUGGAACACAUACUAAUGGACAUAUGAUGGCUAGAUAAAUACUUAGAUCUGAUUAUUAUUAGACAGCAAUGAAAUCAGACUGCAUAAAAUUUGCAAGGGAAUGUAAAAAUUGUCAAAUUUAUAUGGAUAAGAUCCAUGCAGCAACAUCUUUAUUGCAUGUCUUUUCAACACCCUAACCAUUUUCUUUGUGGGGAAUGGAUGUUAUUGGACUCAUUCAUCCUAUAGGCUCAAAUGGUCAUCGUUUUAUUCUUAUGGCCUUUGAUUAAGGAUAAUGCCAAGAACCUUAAUAACAAAAUUAUGGAUGAACUUUGUGAGCAAUUUAAGAUCAAUCAUAGAAAUUCAACUUCAUACUGCCCAAAGAUGAAUGAGGUCGUUGAGGCAGCCAACAAAAAUAUUAAAAGAAUAAUUGAGAAAAUGACAACAACAUACAAAGAUUGGCAUGAGAUCUGUCGUUUUCGCUCCAUGGAUAUCACACCUCAAUUCGUACUUCAACAAGGGCAACACCAUUUUCUUUGGUUUAUGGUAUGGAAGAUGUCCUACCUUUAGAAGUUGAGAUACCUUCAUUGAGGGUUCUCAUGGAAGCUAAGUUAGAUGAAGCUGAAUGGAUAUGAUGUCGUUAUGAGCAAUUGUAUUUCGUUGAAGAAAAACGAUUGGCAGCAUUAAGUCAUGGAAAACUUUACCAAAGAAGACUAAUGCAAGCAUACAAUAAAAAUGUGCAUCCUUGAAGCUUUCGAGAAGGAGAUUUGGUGUUUAAAAUGAUACUUCCAUUUCAAAAGAAUCAUCGAGGAAAAUGGACUCCUAAUAAUGAAUGUUCGUUCGUAGUGAAAAACAAACUUUUUCAGGAGGAGAUUUGCUUUUAACGAAUAUGGAUGACGUUGAGUUAAAAAAUCAAGUGAAUUUAGAUUAUGUUCGAAAAUAUUAUGCAUGAGGCAUUUUCUUAUAAGUUUUGUAGUGUUGAAAGAGGUCAAGGGUAUUGCUAGAAAAUUUACAUUUAGUUCUUAGAAUGUUAUUUCCAUAUGUGUCAACUUUUCCUUACUUCCUCUCUUUGUACUCCUAUUUCAAGCAUCGUUGUUGUCUUGUCAUUUGCUAUUAAUUAUAUUUAUCAAACAUUUGUAUAUUUGUCAAUUCUUUCUUUUAUCAUUUCUAAAAUGUCAUCAAAUUAUAGUAAGCAUUCUUUAUCCAUCAGUUUAUUAUUCUAUUUGUUGUUAAUUAACAAGGAUUCAGUAUAACUUAUUGUAUUUGCAAACCAAGUAAAAGCUAUGAUUUCUUUUGUUAAGAAUUAAGGAAAUAUAGGUGUAUCCAGACAAAUUUCUCCAUGAUUGCAAAUUGCCACAAUUGGAAAUCUACAUCCUAAAAGGAUUCACGUUUUGUGAAUAGCAAGACUAAAAUAACAUUGAGUCUUUACAACAUAGUGCAAUCUUUCGCAGUUUUGUUCUAUCCUAUGACCAUGGUGAUAAUUGUAAAUAGGAUUGGUAAAAUGUAGUAGUGAGCUAUUUAAUUCUUUGAAAAUCACAAUAUUUUAUUUUCAAAUUAACAUAGUCCAAAAGUAGGAUGAGUCCAUUUUUUUUUUUAUCAAACCUAGCCCUAAAGCUAAGGUUAUUGAUGAUAGAACUAAUUCAUGCACAGCGGAAAAAGAAUCGAAUUUCUACCCUAAUUGCCACAAUUAACAUGUAACCAUAAACUAAUCAAAUUAGGGUUUUAAGAAGUAUUACCUUUGAAGCUUUCAAAAGGUUUGAUGUCUUCUUACCAAUUCUACCCGAGACCACCACUAGUACUCAACUGCUAUCCUCUAGACAAAGAACCGGGUUGUGGGACCCAAUUUUGGUGUAGAAAGUAAUGGAGAUAAAAUGAGAUUGGAAGCUUUCUUUUUUCUUUUGUUGAGAUUAUGAAAAUGAUAAAAGAGGCAAAAGUCCUUCAACAUUUGAAAACAUCUCUAUUUAUAGCCUAAUUACAUGCAAAAAUGCAUGCAAUUCAAUUGCCAAAUCUCAACACCUAAUAUUCCACUAACAAUUAGUGGAACUUAGUGGGCUAGGUGUCUAUAUCUCAUAUAGCCACAUAUCCCACUAAGAGUUAGUGGGAUUAUCCAACAAAAUGUUGGAUUUUCCCACUAACUUAGUCCAAGGGUAAAAUGGUCAUUAGAUUUUUCUAGUCAAAAGUCAAUAUUUUGACUUUUUACCAUUUUGUCCGUCUUGACUAAUUCCAACCUCCCCAGCAUGAAUCCGCAUUCAUUUUUCCAAAAUUCAAAUCACAUUUGAAUAUAAGGCCGGUCAAAGUUUGACUUUUCAAAGUCAAAAGUCAACAUUUUGACUUUUUACUAUUUUUGACCAAUUCCGAGCUUCUUAGUAUGAAUCCGCAUUCAUACUUAUAGUAUGUAGAACAUAAAGCUCUAUUUCUAAUUAGAAGACCGACGACUAUAUCACUAUAUUUGUCGGUUUCCCUUUCUUCUCCCAAUUCGAACAAUUCGACUUAUUUCAUCACACUGUUCUAAGUUUAAUCCAUAUGAGCUAGCAGAGGAACCUAAUGGACCUAUAGAUCAUGGGCUCCAACGAUUCAAGAUUAACUAGCUAAACUCUUUUUAAACCGAGUUAAUCAACAUUCGUUAACUAACGGGUCAUUCCACUAAAGUCCCGUAGUUGCACUCCCCUCACUAUAGAUAUAUUUGUGUCCAUUUGAUAAAACCAUAAUCAGUAAGUUAAUCCUUCACAGGUUGCUCGUAACCUUGGCUGGGUCAAAAUACCGUUUUACCCCCAAGAUUACAUCUUGCUCCUUAAGUCCCACUAAUCCACUAUUGAACAAUUGGUUUAAGGUUCAACCUAUAAACUUAAUCCCUCUCGGGCCAAUGAGAGGGUGGGGCCCCUUGUUCAAGACUUGGAUUCAGUGCUUAAGAGAGCAACCUAUCUACUAACCCUAAAGCGGGUAGGAGUGAAUUCCAUCUUGUACCCUAUGUUCCCAGCUAUCCACCCGAUCUUACCCCUGAAAUGGGAGGCUUAUUGGGCCAACGCUGAUGAGCUGCCCUCACCUAUGCAGAUCUAAGGAUAAUCUCGUAUGAACAGGAGUUCAUAGUUAACUCAGGAUUAAGACUAAGUUACCUAGGUCAUCAAUAAUUGAGAUAGUCAGUUUUAAACAGUAAACGGUGUUAUAACGUAAAAAUGACUAAUUCAUGGUUCAGUCUUAUGUAAACAUUUUACAUAGGAUGCCCCCACUUUCAUGUCUCUACAUGAACGAUUAGGAUCACCUCGUUUGUACUACAAAGUGGGCCGCAUCCACAGUUUCUCUAAAUAAGGCGCCCAACCUUUAUUUCAUAUACUAUAGACUAUUUAGGCUAUAUACUCGAACUUGAUCCACGUUUAUGUUUACACAUAAAGUUCAAGUUUAUUCAAAAAAUAGCCUUGGAACUUGAUUUAUUGGAUUUAAGAUUAUAAUAUUUCAUUUCUCAAUAACAACUUUAUUGAACAGAAUAUGAUUUACAAACUACGAGUUUUAGGACAAAAAAUUCCAACAAUUGAUGUCUUUUUCAAUUUCAUUAAAUUGAUCCCAGAUCUGAAGUUGAGGUCAAAGCAUGUCUAUCUGAUCCAUUAUUUAUCAAACCUAGUCAUAGAGCCCAGAUUGAUGACUUUUCAAAUUUUGUUAAAUCAAGCCCAAAUAUGAAGUUGAGGCUGAAGCCUGUCUAUUAGGUCUUUUUUUUUUUUUUUUUUUAUCAGACUAGUCCUUGAGCUAAGUAUGAUGUUUCAAAUUUGAUUAAAUCGAGCCCAGAUCUAAAGCUAAGGUCAAAGCUUGUCUAUCAGGUAUUUUCUUUUUUAAUCAAACCUAGUCGUGGAGCUAAGGUUGAUUUCAUUUCAAAUUUGGUUAAAUUGAGCGGAGAUCUGAAGCUAAAGAUAAAACCUAUCUAUUAGGUCCAUUAUUUAUCAAACCUAGCCUUUGAGCUAAGGUUGAUAUUAUUCUCAUUUGAUUUUUUUCUCUAAAAAUUAAAAAAUAUCGGUCCAAAUACCUUAUCUAUUUCCUUUGUCUACCUUCACAUAUUUUUAGGAUGGACAAAGGGGAGCAAGUUGUAGAUACAACAUUUUGUCCCAUUUUUUAUUUUAUUUUUAUAAAAGAAAAUUGGUUUUGAAUUUAUUUAAAUUUUAAAUUCAACUUUAAAUAAAAAAAAUUAAAAAACGUUUUUCCUUUCCUAUUAUCCUCAGCCAAUUCCCCACGUUUUUUUUUUUCCCUUUCCCUUCGUUACCACUCUCCCACCCUCCCACUUUCUCCACUACACGCUCAGAACGAUACUCUACCUUUCCCACUCUAGAAAAACGAUCAAAUAUUGGCCUUAUAAAAACAAAGGAAUAGAUUUUCUUUGGAGUUUUUUCUUUUCUUUACGGUAAAAAGGUAGAUUUUCUUUUUAGUGAAGGUACUUUGGAAGAAUUUAAAAGGGUACAUUGAGAUUUUUUAGAAAAGAGUACAUUGUCAAUUGGGAGGAUUGAAAAAGAAGAAGGAAACUUUUCAUCUUCAAAGGCUUUUUUUUUAUGGGGUAGUUGCAAAUUUAGCAAUUAGAUUCAAAAUAAUUAAGUAUAUAGCAACAUUUUAAAAAAUUUGCAAAUAUAGCAAAAUUUGUCAAAUUCUAUCAAUGAUAUAAGUUUAUCAACGAUAGACAAUGUUGCAAAUAUUGGUCUAUCACUGAUAGACCAUACGAAGUGUAUCAGCGAUACAAGUCUAUCAAUGAUAGUUUUGCUAUAUUUGCAAUUUUUUUUAAAUUUUGCUAUAUUCUUAAUUAUUAUUGCUGAAAUGGUUAUCCAUUCCAAUUUCCUUUUUUUUUUUUUUAUGAUUUUCCUUUCUUUUCUUUCCAAAUCGAAUGUUCCUAUCAUUAAUUCCAAUGAAUUUGGUGAUUAUUUCCGAUGAAUUUGGUGAUUAAUUCUGAUGAAUUUGGUGAUUAAUUCCGAUGAAUUUGGUGAUUAACUCAAAUGAAUUGGGUGAUUAUUGUGUAUUUGUGGCUUUUGAAUUUAUUUGAUUUAAGUCAGACUAGUUUACAGUGCUUUAAAUUUAUUAGAUUUAAGCCAAUUGAGUUUACUUUGUGAUAACACGCAGAAAUGUCCGUUAUUAUAGCCCUUUGUAUUAGAAUAAUAAGGUCAAAAACACAUAAAAAGAUGAUCAGAACUCGUAACCUAUGUUGUAAACACACAAGUAUUUAGAAAUAUAACUUACAUAGGUAUCAUGCCUGUUUUACGUGAUUAUCAUGUUUAAAUGCAGGAUAAGUGGACAAGAAAGGAGCAAAUCGCAAAGAACACCUUGCGCAUAAGUCACGCAAUGGGAACUCACCUGGCGAAUAACACCUUCAGGCAAGGAACAAUGUCAUCACGUGCGGAAAGCUCACUACAAGACAAGAAUGGUAGUUGGAAUGAUUUGACGUCCUAAGACCAAAAAUGGUGCUAACAAGAUCAGAGGAACAAAAGUUUUCCACCCAAAGUUGCCUAUAAAAGCACUUCAUCUUCCCCAAGACAAGGAGAGCGACGUCUGAACGAACUGCCACACACACAAAAGAGCUUGAAUGAGCGAAAACCUAGAGAGCCAAUGGCAAGGAUUAGCCUAACCACCAGAUGUACAAUACUUCUUCAUCUUUUCUGAUCAGAGUGUAACACAAAAGCUUAUAUUUUGAAAGGAGAAGAGUCAUCCCCCAUUUCCCCAUAACUUAUGUUUUAGCCGACUCUUCUUUCCAUCCAUUUUUGCAUUUCUGUGUAAUAUAUGUUGUUCAUAUUGUACGAUGACCUAAGACCUACAUUAUUUAUAUAUAUAUUACAUGUUUAUACCUUUUCAAUCCAUCAUUUCUUGACUUUUCACUUGUUAAUGUGUUAUUAGUAGUUAGGUUUGUGUUAAGUUCUUGAUAAGGAGUCUAGCUUAUACAACUUAUCGCAUUAGUUGGGCUAUAUUCAUCACUUGACCAGUGAUAAUCGCUAACUUCCCGAGAGGACAAGUAGCAAGGAUAAAGUUGAUGCGCGCAAGGAGAAUUUUGGUAAUAAACCCUAUCUUAGUGAGAUAACUUUCAACUUUUAUAUCCCGAAAGGCGAAUAAGUGCGGACAUCAGACACUGAGAGGUUGUUGUCGUCCUUAAACGAGAAGUUCUAUAAGUGUUAUAAGUGAAGCCUUCUAGAUAUAUCUGGUCUAAUCAAGCACAGUCAUUUGCAUCCUGAAACGUGUGCAAGUGUGGCGUCUAAACACUUUGAGAGAAGGCUACCUUAAAUCAUGACCUUAUUACGCAAUUUAUACCGUAUCGAGGUUCUGGCGUUAUUUAAUUGCCUAAUAGUGUGUAAACUUUCUUUUCUUUUUUUCUCGCAUGUAAGUUAGUUCACUUAAUCUUCCGUUUUAUCAAACUUUACCCCCCUGUGCAUGAGUCUCUAGGUGAGUGGAAAUAACUUUCGUUUUAUUUUAUACAUAUUCUUUUACCAUAACCAGCAUAAUGCUUGAAGGAUGAGUAACACCCUAGAACUAAUAUCUUGAAACAAUUUCACAUAUUCGACCCUAGAUCACCCUAGGUAAACCUAUGUUUCGCUUGCACUUGGGAAAGCAACAAAAAAACUUAGAUUCAACGAUGACUUAAGCUUCACACGAUAAAAAGGUACAUAGUGAGCCCAUUAUGCUAUGAUCAUGAUCCAUAGCGUGUCGCUUAGAAUGAACCACACAAUACAGAAAGACAUGGUGAGCACACUUAGUUGAUGUGUAUUGUAGUUGCAUUACACAUAUGUUAAAUUACUAAGACUAAGUCUAAAGUAACAUUUGUGUAUUGUUCCAACAAGAGAACAACACACAUACACACACCCAACCAACAACACAAAUACACAGACCCAACCACUAUGGCACUUAUUUUAUUAGAUUUAGGGUUUAUUAGGCUUUUAAUUUGAUUAGAUUUAGGGUUUAAUUUAGCUUUUGUUGAAUUGGAUGUUCAUCAAUUUUGUGGUGUGAAUGAUUUACUUUUUACUUUAAUUUGACUUUUGUUACGUUUUUUUUGCUGCUUAUUAAAUAUGUUGCCAAUAUAAUUGGUCAUGUAUUUAUUUAAUUAAGCACCUGUAUUACAUUUAUUUCACCACUGUGUUACAUCAUUUUGUAUUUAUUUUACCACUGUCUUAUAUCAUUAUGUAUUAAUGUCACCAUUGUGUUGUACCAUUUUGUAUUUAUUUCAUAAUUCUAAUUUAUUUCACCACCUUUCUAUUUCAUUGUGGAUUAUAUCACGCCAUUGUAUUUAUUUCGCAACCUUUUCACAACCUGUUUAUUUCAUUAUAGAUAUGGUAUUUUGUCCUUUUUCUUUUAUUUUUUUAUAUAUUCAUUUAUUUACUUUACUUUAUUUUUAUAAAAGAAAUUUGAAUUUGAAUUUAAUUUUUAUUUAAAAAGCAAAAGAACUAGAACAGAAAAAUAUAUUUCCUCUCCCUAUUUUCUCUCAACCACUCCCUCCAUACACUUCUCCAAAUUUUCUCUCCCAAUGAUCUAUUUUUCCCUAUCCCUCAUCAACACUUCUCCACUUCCUCUACCUUCUGCACUUUUUUGUUUUGAGAGAGGUAGAUUUUUUUACUGUAAAAAAAAAAUCUUUCCAUUUGUUGUCAUUUGGGAUGAAAAGACAGGAAUAAUUUUUUUAUCCAAAAUCAAAAGUAUUUUUCCUUUCUUUUUCAAAUUGGAUGAUUUGGAUUAUGAUGGAUUAUGAUGGAACUCGUAGCCAAAUCCAACUGAGAAUUCUAUCUUAUUGAUUUAAUGUAGCAGAACGUACAAUCCUAUGUUCCCUCUCUCCCAAGAAAUAACAGAAAGAUUCAAUAACUCAAAAAAAAUAAAGCCUACCCCUCCCUCUCCUAACAAACUUAUUUAUAUGUCUAACUAACCUAACCUUACCCAACCAAUUACUCACAUAUCCCUCCCUCUCCUAACAAACUUAUUCACACGUGUCUCCCCCCUUAACAAACUUAUUUCCCCUCCUCCGGUAUUGAUAUAAUAUUGGGGGUCUAACAUUACUCACCUUCUCCAAAUUCACCUUGUCCUCAAGGUGAAAAUCUGGAAAACGCUGCUUCAACUCCUCAUAUAGUUCCCAAGUUGCCUCAUGUUGUGGAAGACCCUUCCAUUGCACUAACACAUCCCAAUCUCCCGCUUUGUUUUUUGAAUAACUAUAAACCUCCUCGGGAGUAUCCCUCCAUUCAUGAUUUUCUGUUAAACAGGGAACAUCAUGCUUAUCUUCCUUGUGCUCUCCCAACACCUUUUUUAGCUGUGAUACAUGAAAUAUCGGGUGUAUGGUCGAAUUCUCUGGUAAUUCCAGCUUGUAAGCCACCGGGCCAAUUUUAGCUAUCACCUUGUACGGUCCAAAGAAUUUAGGAGAAAGUUUUUCAUUUCUUUUUCUUCUGAUAGUCACUUGUCGGUAUGGUCUUAUCUUCAAUAAUACCAAAUCUCCAACCUGGUAAUGAACCUCCCUUCUCUUGGUAUUGGCAUAUUUCUUCAUCUUGUCCUGUGCUACUCUCAAGUGUUCACGUAUGGCUCCUAACACCACAUCUCUUUCUUUCAGCUGCUCCUCUAACAUAGAGUUAGUAGUGUCCCUCUCUCCAUAGUAUAUCAAGGGAGGUGGUAAACGCCCGUACAUAACCUGAAACGGUGUGACUCCAAGUGCACGCUAAUAUGUAGUGUUAUACCAAUAUUCUGCCCACGGUACCCAUUUAACCCAUUCCUUAGGCUUUUCUCCACAAAAGCAACGCAAGAAUGUCUCCACUCCACGGUUAACAACUUCUGUUUGACCAUCCGUUUGUGGAUGAUAUGUUGUGCUGUGGUUCAAUUUUGUUCCUGCCACGCGAAAUAAUUCCCUCCAAAAGUGACUUAAAAACACCUUGUCUCUAUCUGAAACAAUGGAUUUGGGAUAUCCAUGUAGCCGCACGACUUCCUUCACAAAUAUUUCAGCUACCGUCUUUGCUGUAUAUGGAUGUUUCAUAGGGAUGAAGUGCCCAUAUUUGCUGAAUCGAUCAACCACUACCAAUAAUACUUCAUACCCUGCUGCUUUAGGUAAUCCCUCUACAAAGUCCAUUGAAAUAUCCUCCCAUACUCGAGUGGGUACCUCUAACGGAGUUAACAGUCCAGCUGGUGAUAGUGCCAAGGUCUUCUUUCUUUGGCAUAUCAUGCACUCUUCGCAAUACUUCUUCACUUCCUGCUUCAUUCCUUCCCAAUGUAGCUCCGCAGCCAUCCUUUUGUAUGUCCUUAAGAACCCCGAGUGACCCCCAAACACCGAGUCAUGAUAAAUGUGUAAGAUGGUAGGAAUCAACUUAGAUGUUUUAGAUAACUCUAUUCGAUCCUUGUACAUCAGCAGUCCCUGUUUGAUUGAAUAUCUUCCCUCCUCCAACUCAUCGGUCUCCCUCAAUUUCUGCAUAACAUUCUUCAGCCUCUCGUCUUGUGCCACUUUUGCCUUGAUGACUUCGAUAUCGAUCAACUUAGGGCCUGUCAACUGAUUCAAGUGUACUGUCGGUGGUAUUCUUGACAGUGCAUCCGCGACUUUAUUCUCUAACCCCGGUUUAUACACCACCUCAAAGGAAUAUCCCAGAAGUUUGGAUAUCCACUUCUGAUAUUGAGGCUGUAUCACUCUCUGUUCCAGCAGAAACUUCAAAGAACGUUGAUCAGUCUUGACUAGAAAGCUCUUCCCCAACAAAUAUGGACGCCACCUUUGCACUGCCAUUACUACUGCCAUCAACUCUCUCUCAUAUACAGGUUUGACUUUAUCCCGUACUGCCAGUGUAUGACUAUAAUACGCAAUUGGACGUUGGUUCUGGAUUAAUACAGCCCCCAACCCUAAUUCAGAAGCGUCAGUUUCUAUUUCAAAGGGCAUAUUGAAAUUAGGUAGAGCUAACACUGGAAGAGUCAUCAUGGCUUGUUUCAGCCUAUUGAAUGCUUCAUGAACCUCCCUCGUCCAUUUAAAUCCUCCUAUCUUCAAUAGUUGUGUCAAAGGGGCUGCAACUGUCCCAUAAUUCUGGACAAACUUGCGAUAAUAUCCUGUCAGACCAAGGAACCCCCUUACUUCCCUUACGUUAACAAGAACGGGCCACUCCGUUAUUGCCCUGAUCUUCUCAGGAUCCACCUCAACUCCAUCUCCUGAAAUAAUAUGUCCUAAGUAGUCCACCCGGGACUGUGCAAAGUUACAUUUCUUCCUGUUUGCAUAGAGUUCAUUCCUCCUUAAUACUUCUAAUGUUGAUCUCAAAUGACUCAGAUGAUCUUUCAACCCCUAGCUGUAGAUCAAAAUGUCAUCAAAGAACACUAAGACGAACUUUCUUAGGUAAGGUCUGAAUAUAUUAUUCAUCAAGGAUUGAAAAGUGGAUGGUGCAUUAGUCAACCCGAACGGCAUUACCAAAAACUCAUAGUGACCCUCAUGAGUUUUGAAUGCUGUCUUUUCAAUGUCAUCAGUACUCAUUCUAAUUUGAUGAUACCCUGAUUUUAGAUCAAUCUUCGUAAAAACCGUGGCUUCAUUCAACUCAUCAAACAACUCCUCAAUCACUGGGAUUGGGAACUUGUAUGGUACGGUAACAUUAUUCAAGGCCCUGUAAUCUACACAAAAACGCCAGCUUCCAUCUUUCUUCCUUACCAAUAAUACUGGACUGGAAUACGGGCUUGUGCUUGGCCGUAUUACUCCUGAUGCUAGCAUUUCUUCUACCAGUCUCUUCAUUUCUGCCUUCUGUUGAUAUGCAUACCUAUAGGGUCGUACAUUCACUGGAUCGCUUCCCUUCUUUAGAUGAAUCUGGUGUUCUAUUACUCUUCGUGGUGGCAAAGUUUCGGGCCACUCAAAGACAUCUUCGAAGCUUUUCAGCACUGCUGCUACUGACUCCUCUACAGUCAAGACUUCAUCAUUCGAGUUAUCCCUUUCUAAGGCUUCCCUUCUUUCUAAAGCUCUGCAUUCGACCAAAUAUCCUUGGUCCUCGUCUCCCCAAGAUUUCAUAAGGGUCUUUAAGCUGACUCUUGCCUUUGUUAGACUGGGGUCUCCCUUUAUAACAAUCUUCUCUCCGUGGUGAGUAAACGUCAGAAUCAAGUUUUUCCAGUCUACUUCGGUUAUACCAAGAGAGUAUAACCAUUGCAUUCCCAAAAUUGCGUCCACGCUUCCUAGCUCCAGUGGCAAGAAAUCAUCAAUAACUCUCCAUUCCCCAAUUUUCAUUUCUAUGGCUUCACAAAUUCCCUUCCCUUUUAUGGCUGUUCCCGAGCCUUGACUCCAUAAUUUGUAGUACUCUUCGUGCUUAUCUGCAGUUCCUCCACCAAGCUUUCAGAAAUGAAGUUAUGUGUAGCUCUGCAAUCUACUAAUACAAUGAUCUCCCUUCCUCGUAAUCUUCCCUUCACCUUCAUAGUUCCUGGAUUAGAUAAUCCCACGACUGAGUUUACCGACAACUCCACCACAGUCUGCUCUUCUUGGAGAACUUCAGCCCCAUUUAACUCUUUCUGUUCUGCCUUCUCUUCUUCAACGAUUUCAUAUUCCUUAUUAUCCCCCAUCACUACCAACAUACGUAACUCCCUCUGCUCCUUCAUCUUACACUUGUGGUCAUGAGAGUAUUUCUCAUUGCAACGAAAACAGAGUCCUCUCUCUUUUCGUGAUUGAAAUUCGACAUCAGACAGUCUUUUCGUUGGACCUGUUUUCCGUGCCUCUUCGCCAGCCGUUCCUCUCAACGUGACAGUUCUCAUCGGCCAGUUCCAAUUUCCCUUACUUUCUCCAGAAUUCCCAGCUGUGCUGGUUUUGCUUCCAGAAUUGCUCAGUUUCGUUCCCGAAUAACCCGAGAGGUUUGCUUCUCGUCUAAUAUCCUCUCUAUUUUCUACUUUCUGCGCGAUCCUCAUCAUUUGUGAUAACCCUCGAGGCUCACAGAAAUCCAUCUCGGCCUGUAUCCAGGGCUUCAAUCCUGACAUGAACGUCUCUUCCACCACUUUAUCGGCCAGAUCCAACAGAGGUGCUACUAAUUUGUCAAACAGGUUUCGGUAUUCUUCCACUGUAGUCGUCUGUUGAAUGCGCAAGAACCGACCGUAUAAAGAUCCUUCCCUUGUUGAUCGAAAUCGAAUAAACACUCUUUCUUUUAGAUUUGACCAAUCAGCGAAUUUAUCCCGUUCUUCUUGAGACCGAUACCAAUUCAGUGCGGGUCCUUAGAAGCUAAUCGUUGCCACGGUCAUCUUUUCGUAAUCAGUUAGCUUAUGAAUUUGGAAAUACCUUUCGGCGCGAAACAACCAUGAAUCUAGAUCAUCUCCAUUGAAGAUUGGCAUCUCCACCUUUUUGAAUUUGUUGCGGUCACUGUUAGCGUCUUCACUCAAUUUUAUUUCCUCCUGCUUCGGUUCGUUUUCGCGAAUAGAAGUCCCUUCGUCGUCAUCGUUGUUCUUCACCGGAGUACCCCGCAUUGAUAUCUCGGUAAGCCUUUCGUUCAUCAUGGACCUCUCUAAGGCGGCCGACUCCAUGAAUCGUAACAUCAUUUGGUUCUGUUUUUCCAUGUUUUUCGAUAUUUCGGUCAACGUUUUUUCGACAAUUGGCAUUUUACUCAACUCCUUCUUGAUGUUUUGAAUUUCCUGGUCAUACGACUCCAUCUUCUCUUCCAACCGAGUUUGCGCCAUCUUUGUUUACUUCUUCCAAGAUCACGCUCUGAUACCAAUUUGAUGGAACUCGUAGCCAAAUCCAACUGAGAAUUCUAUCUUAUUGAUUUAAUGUAGCAGAACGUACAAUCCUCUGUUUCCCUCUCUCCCAAGAAAUAACAGAAAGAUUCAAUAACUCAAAAAAAAUAAAGCCUACCCCUCCCUCUCCUAACAAACUUAUUUAUAUGUCUAACUAACCUAACCUUACCCAACCAAUUACUCACAUAUCCCUCCCUCCCCUAACAAACUUAUUCACACGUGUCUCCCCCCUUAACAAACUUAUUUCCCCUCCUCCGGUAUUGAUAUAAUAUUGG
rnacentral:lncRNA from 1 species